UAAAAAUUCAGGUUUUAAAAAAAAAUUAAAAAUUAUUAUUUUUGCCACGUGGCAGACAUUUGGCAGCCACGUGACAUAUAUGUGGCAGCCACGUCAACAUUAUUUAACAGAAGAGCAUAAAUCCUAAUAGACUUAGAUCACAGGGCUUUAAAUCCUAACAGACUUAGACCACAGAGGUUUAAAUCCGAAUUUUUUUACCACAGGAGCUAUCAUCCGAAUACCUUAUGACCAGGGGAACCAUUUAUCCGAUUAGGCCGUAAUUUUAUGCUUAUCUACACUCUUAUUUUUUUAAUGAUUUUAAUAGUCACCUCGCAGCACUGAAGGCAAUUAUAUUACUUUAUUUUAAAGUAGGGGUGGUGCUGUGCAAUUUUGGGGCAGAUUUUAGUUUAUUUAUGAAAUUACCACUGAGUCUAUCUGCCCCCUGAUUUAACGUUAUUUGCAAAAUUGCCACUGGGCUUCAGAAUGGGUUUUGGGUCUUUGGGCAGAAUUUUCGGUUUUGCGAUCCACGCGUUGAUGAUCGCUGUGUAAGAUCGCCGAUUUGGUGAGGGGAUGGGACAAAAACGGAAAGCCAAACCUCCGCCACAAACGAAGUCACGAACGCCACUCUCACUCACCCUCCACCGUUGCACACGAACCCAAUCAUAAUUCUGAAAUCCAAACACGACCUAGAUGGUAAUCCUUCAGAGAAUGGCAAUGGCCACUUCUUCUUCCUUCCUCUCAGUCCCUCUCCUAAAGGCCUCUUCUUUGCUUUCCCCAGUUAAACACUGCGCUUCGCCACUGAGCUCCGAGUUCAGGGCUCUGUCCCUCUACGGCGGUAGAGAUGGAGUCUCUGUUGGAAUAUGAGUAUAAAAACAUGAUUGUGGAUUAGCUAUUAUAUUGAAUGAAUUUUGAAUGGAAAAGUCUUGAUAAAGUGUUUGUGUAAAUCCUAUUUCUUGUAGGAUUAUGAGUGGUUUUAGUGUUCCUUUGGGAAAAGGUUUUGGAUCCUUCUCGGAUUGAUCUUGUGCACUCAUUGUGCAAAAGGGUUUCUGUUUUAGAGUCCAACACUAAUUCUAAUAGGAGAAUGUGUUGGAUUAAUGCUGUAUAUAACCACAAUCACUGCUCUUGCAAAGAUACGGCUCAUAUUGUGUUGAAUACCUAUUGUUCAAAGAGCUCUCUAGUUUUGCUAAAGAGGAGAAGAUUGUCUGGUGGUGAAGCUGCUAUGGCUUCUUCGAGUUCAAGUUCUGCAGGUAUGUUUUGAUUGGUUUAAUGCUGAGAUUUAUGGUUAUGUUGUUCACAUUGUUUGUUGGUAGUAUUGGUGAUUUAUUGGCAUAUCUAUGAUCUGGCAUGUUAUUCUUACAUGUGGUAUCAGAGCCUGGACAGAUUAUUGCCAUUAAGUUCGAAAUUUUGUACAACAAUUUGGACAAGAAACCAUAAUCUUAAAACCCAGAAACGCAUAACCUGUUUUUGAGCAUAACAGUAAAAAACGACACCGUUUAAAAAAAAAAAAAAAAUUUAAAUUUAUACCGUUAUGAUCGCCGGGUUUGCGUCUUUUGCUUUGCCUUGCAUCUUUUCUUUUCAUGGUCUCUGGGUAUAUGGCGAUUCAAUGAAUGAUUCUUCUGAUUCUCUCUGAUUCUUCUCGUGUCAAUUUCAUUCAUUGAUUUCUCCAAACAGGUAUGUCUGCAAUCUUGAAACUUGAAUUUAGGUUAAAAAGCUUAUUUGAACUAGAGAACACCGUAUAUAUGCAAAUUUGUUAGCAUCUCGCCAAUUUGAAUCAAAAUUAUCUAAAUGGAUAAACUGAAGAAUUAUUUUAAUGUUUCCGCUGCUAAUUUGUUUGGGUUUAUUGAAUUUUUUGAUUUUCAAUGCAUGUGGUGUGAUAUUUGAAUAUCAUCCCUUUCGAGCAUGAUUCUUGAAUACAAUCUUCUGUGAGUUGUUUACUCUAUACAUGGUUGUCUUUAUUAAAGUUUGAGACCAUGUGUAUGACAAAAUUGACUCAUUAUGAGGAUUACAUAGUGAAAUAGAUGGAAAUCAUGAAUCCCGAAAAGAUUCAAUGUGAUGAUUUCAUUGUUAUCUUCUGCAGUUUCACUAAAAACAAUGAAUUUGGCUGCUGUACCUAUACUCACUGGUGGGAGCAAUUACAAAAAAUGGAGAAGGGAAAUGGAAUUGCUCUUGACAUUAAAUGAGUAUGAUAUAGCACUUGAUACACCACAACCUGCGCCUCUUACUGAUAAGAGUUCAAAGGCUGAGAAGGUUGAGUUCGAAAGAUGGACAAGAGCUAAUAAAGUGGCAUUAUCCAUUUUGGAGAGCGGGAUGACGGACACUGUUCGUGGAGGUAUCAAAAGGUGUGAUCUAGCAAAAGAUUAUUUCAAAGCUAUUGAGAGCAAAUUCAAGGAAUCACAAAAGGCUGAGAUUGCUCAGUAUAUGACCCUUCUCACAACUUACAAAUUUGAAGGUGGUGGUUCAGUCAGAGAUCACAUUAUGAGGAUGACCGAUGCGGCUGAGAAGCUUAAUUCAUUAGACAUGAACAUUUGUGAAAAGCAGCUAGUGUUCAUGAUUCUGCAAGCGCUUCCUUUGAAGUUCAGUCAAUUAAAAGUCUCUUACAACACUCAAGAUAAGUCAUGGACAGUGGAUGAACUGAUAUCUCAAUGUGUUCAAGAGGAAAAUCGACAGAAGCAAGACAAAGGAAAGGAAGCUGAGACCAUCAAUUUUGUGCAGACUUCUAAAAGGAGGGAUCUCAAUGCAAAUUCUGGUAAAUCUCCUCAAUUCAAACAUCCUGAUAAAUCUUUUGUGUCUGCUAAGAAUUCCCAUUCCUCUAAAUCUAAUAAUCUUAAAGUUAAAACUAAAAACAUUGAAAAGGUUAGGUGUCAUCAUUGCAAAACUAAAGGUCAUUAUAGAAAAGAUUGUGAAAUAUUCAAAGAAUGGCUUAGGGCUAAAGGUAGAGAACUAAUGUAUAUGUCUGUGAGGAAUCAAAUCUCAUUGAAAUUCCGGCAAAUUCCUGGUGGUUUGAUACUGGUGCAUCUGUGCAUAUAACCAAUUCACUGCAUGGUUUUGAAAAACAAAAACAAACAAAUGAUUAUAACGUUUUUGUUGGUGAAGGAACCAGAGUUGUAGUUGAAUCGAUAGGGAAAGUGAAACUAAAAUUGGCUUCUGAAUUUGUGUUGGAACUGUCCAAUGUUUUAUAUGUGCCUGCAAUGAGAAGAAGUUUAAUCUCUGCAUCUAAGUUAGUAGCUGAAGGUGUUAUUUUCAUAGGUGAUAAAGAAUGCAUCAAAUUUUUUUGUAGGGGAGCCUUGAUAGGAAAAGCAGUUUUGCAUGAUCAGUUAUGGAAAAUGCAGUGCACAUUGUUGGACAAUGAGUUAAGUGUUUUAAAUACGACUGCCAAAAGAAUGCAAAAUUUUGACAACUCUUAUAUGUUGUGGCAUAAAAGACUAGGACAUAUUUCGAAGGACAGGAUCAUGCAAUUAUCAAAAUUAAAUUUCAUACCUGCUUUAGAUUUUCAUAAUGCAUCUGAAUGCAUUGACUGUAUGAAGGGUAAAACCACCAACUUUAGGAAAAUGGAUGCCAAUAGAAGUAAAAAUUUGCUUGAGAUUAUACACACCGAUGUUUGUGGACCUUUUCCUAUCAAAACUAUUUGUGGAAAUUCAUACUUUGUGAGUUUUAUAGAUGAUUUCUCCAGACAUGGUUACAUAUUUCUAAUAAAAGAAAAGUCAGCAGUUCUUGAGUGUUUCAAAAUUUUUAAAUGUGAGGUAGAAAAACAACUAAACCUAGUGAUUAAGAUUGUUAGAUCAGAUAGAGGAGGGGAAUACUUUGGCAGGCACACAGAAGCAGGACAACAAAAGGGUCAUUUUGCACGGUUUCUUGAGCAGCAAGGUAUUGUGGCCCAGUAUACUACUCCGGGAACACCCCAACAGAAUGGAGUGGCUGAGAGAAGAAACCGAACCUUGAUGGGAAUGGUUAGAAGUCUCAUUUCAAGAUCUAAGCUGCCUGGUUUUCUGUGGGGAGAAGCAUUGAGGACAUCAAACUAUGUGUUGAACCGAGUGCCUACAAAAUCAGUGCCAAAAACACCUUUUGAGCUAUGGACUGGCAGAACACCAAGUUUUCAUCAUUUUCAUGUGUGGGGUUGCAAAGCAGAAGCUAGGUUUUACAACCCAAAUGAAAGGAAGCUCGAUUCUAGAACCAAUUCAUGCUACUUUGUGGGAUAUUCAGAGAAAUCGAAGGGUUUCAAGUUUUAUUGUCCUCGAGCACAGACAAGAAUUCAAGAGACUCACAAUGCAGUUUUCUUAGAAGACCAAGAUGUAUCAGACUUAGUGCAUGACACUUUUGAGUUUGAAGAAUCAGAACAACUCGUUGGCUCGGUUCCAAUGGCCUACAACCAUAUUUCAGUAUUGCCUAGAAAUCAGACAGAGGAAGAAGAUCUUGAUGAAGAGAUGACACAUGAAAUAGUUGCUGAAAUACAAAAUGAACAUGGAGAUACCUUUUCUACACGAAAUAUACCCCUAAGUGCUCCAAGUUCUCCCAUUGAGAAAGAUACAUGUCCAGUAAAUGAUCAAUUGAAUCUGAGGAAAUCAAGUAGAGCCAAGAAACCUGCAAUUUCAGCCGAUUAUGUCUAUCUCCAGGAGGCAGAAUUUGACAUAGGUGAUAUAGAUGAUCCAGCCACUUAUCAACAAGCAAUUCAAUGUUCUCAAGCUGCAUUAUGGAAGAAAGCAAUGAUGGAAGAGCUAGAUUCCAUGGCCAAGAACAAAGUAUGGACCCUUGUGAACUCCAAUUCAAAUGCUAAAACCAAUAGGUUGCAAGUGGGUCUACAAAACUAAAAGGGAUGCUGCUGCAGGGAGCAUAGAGAGAUACAAGGCUCGGUUAGUAGCCAAAGGCUUUACUCAGAGAGAAGGGAUUGAUUACAAUGACACGUUUUCACCUGUUUCUUCCAAAGAUUCUAUGAGGAUCAUCAUGGCUUUGACAUCUCAUUUUGAUCUGGAGCUACACCAGAUGGAUGUUAAAACCGCCUUUUUGAAUGGUGAUUUAGAGGAAGACAUAUACAUGGUCCAACCUCCUGGAUUUUCUGAAAGGGGGAAAGAUAAUAUGGUCUGCAAGCUAAACAAGUCAAUUUAUGGACUUAAACAAGCAUCUAGGCAGUGGUUCCUCAAAUUUGAUCAGGUAGUUACNCAAGUGUUCUGCUACACUUAAACCAUCCUUGUAUUCACAUGAUGAGCUCUUUGAUCAAGAAUGCUUUUUAGCUGGAGUUUUCUUCUCGAACAAGGACAAGCUUGCCAAAACUCGCGCAUUGGCAUUGACACAUGGUGAAACACUAUCGUCCACCCAUUGUCUAAUUGUACCAAUAGCCUUACGAUUCAUUUUCCACCGGCACGAACAUGCUCUCGGGCUGGCGGCAUCUCCUUCAAUUGGCUCAUGCAGAUCCUUGCAAUAAAGAGGCCUUCAUCCUUGGCUUUCAUGUUACCCAAUUGGAGUUGGUGAGUUUGAUCAUAGUGCCACUUCCUUCCAUCCGAGUACGAGCCAACUUGGCUCUGAUACCACUUGUAGGAAUGUCAUACUACAAGAUAGAGAAUGCACAAGGUAAAGUAGAAAAUGGACACCAAAAUUUAUGUGGUCGGCAAUUUAGCCUACGUCCAUAAGACAAGGAUCAAUCUACUAUAUGAAAAAGUGAGUACAACAAGAUAUCACCAAGCCAAAGACAAGGCUUGAUGGACAAGAAAGUAUGACACACACUUUCUAUUACUCUAAACUUCACUCACAAUGUGUAGUGGAACACUCUCACUCUCACUCUUGGAGUGGAACUCUAGCUUUGGACUUGAUCCUUUGCUACUCACACUUGGUUCUUAAUUGGUUACAUCACACCCAUAUUUAUAGGUGAGAGCUUGACAUUCUACUAGUUUCUAUUUCCUUCUUCAAACCUCUAGUAUAGAAAAUUCUAGACUAGCCACAUAAUUGUAGCUUCUAGAUCUUUCCAUUUGCAACCAAGGAAGCUAGUACUCUCUAACUUCUUCCAUCAACUUAAUAACAUGCAAGAAUUGUCUAACAUGCUCCCGCCUCCUCUCUUGCUUACUAGAAUAAUCUAGAACAUUGAUCAUAGGCUGGACCAUAUACCAACAAGGAGUUCUCUCAAUAGGUUCUGAUGGAAACCUAGUGCUGCAAGCCAAUACUAGCCAAGGCCUUAUUCCUCUGUGGUCAACAAAUGUUUGAUAUCAUCAGAGGCAACGUAAUAUUUUUGCGCAUUCUUGAUUCAGGAACCUUGGCGCCAGCUUGGCAGAGCACUGAUCACCGCGAAAUUCUUCUUCCGAAUAUGAAAGCCGUGGACAGAAGAAGUGGCAUAAACCGGUUCCUCACGUGUGGAACUGGACAAUGAUCCUGGACGGGGAAUGUUUCGUUGAGAAUGGACCGAAUGGAUCGCCUCAGUUGAUCUUGUACAAGGAUGACGCUAAGUAGUCAGGCAGUGGAACGGGAUUCAAUGGCGGCAUACCUGCCAUGCAUCGGAGCGUUGUGUUUAAGAUCAAUUUCUGAACAACAAAGAAAUUUCUGUGCAGUGGACUGUUCCGACUUUUAUUUACUCGGUGAUCACAAUGACGGGUCGGGACUCAACCAGCAUCAUGGCAGGACCAGCACACCAGUGGGUUUCGCUUUGGUCCGCACCUUGGAUGCCUGUGACAGCUAUGCAAGUGUGGUCAAUUUGGCAAUUGCAAUCCUUACACCAACAGUGGUUCAACUGCACAUGCUACCCGGAUAUGAACCAACCUCACCGCAGGAUUGGGAUUUAAGAGAUGGGACAGAUGGGUGCAAGAGGCCGCAGGGUUCGCCGUCCAUGUGCAGGAACGGCAAGGAUUUUGUGAAGAUGGAAAAUGUAAAGGUUCCAGACACGUCCUCUAUAAAAUUGGAGAAUAAUUUGAGCUUAGAAGCGUGUGAGGAGGAGUGCUUGAAGAACUGCUCGUGCUUGGCAUAUGCGAGUGCAGAUGUGAGGAAUGGAGGGACUGGAUGCAUGACAUGGUAUAGAGAUUUGAUGGAUACUAAGCAGUUCACAGAAGGCGGGCAAGAUUUGUACAUUCGCGUUGAUGCAGUAGUUUUAGGUACCUUAUUUUCCUACAGAUUGCGUCAAUUACAUGUUUCAAAUUCAUACCAUUCAUAGCACUGGUGAAUUGAUCUUUUUUUCAUUUUUUCAGCUCAGUAUAAAAACAAGUCAGGAGGAGGGUAUUUUUCCGGGAGAAGGCGACUUGCUAUUAUAUUGGUAGUGUCAAUUUCUGUCGCCUCAUUGCUCAUCCUCGCAGUUCUAUAUUGGUUCAGGAAAAGGAGAAGGAAAGGUAUGCGAAAAGGAAAAGUUUCCCCUUCUAUCGUCUUGUAAAUUUGUUUGCAGCUUUAUUUCAGCUCAAAUUUCAUUUUCUUUGUGAAAUUUUUUAUACCCUGAAAUUUCAAUGGAAUUGAAACAGGGAGAGGAGGAGAACCCAGAUUUCUGAACGAUCCCGCUGCUUCUCGUGUACGAAGCUAUGAAGAUUUGCCAACAAAAAAUGAGGUUGAUGAACACAGAGGAGACACAGAUUUACCUUUUUUCGAUUUAACCACUGUGGUUGCAGCCACAGAAAACUUCUCUUCUGCUAACAAGCUUGGACAUGGCGGCUUCGGCACGGUAUACAAGGUACUUUCCCUAGAUCAUUUUGAGUGUCUCAGCGUUGUGUGGCUUCAAAUAAAAUAUGAAAUACGCUUCCGUGUACUUUGUUUACUCUGCUGCAAAUAUACCAAUACAUAAGCUCUGUGACAUUGAGGCAGAUAAGACAGAAUUGGAUGUAAACAUUAUAUCGAUCUGAAGUUGCCAUUAAGAUUGUCGAGUCUUCACUGUGAUUUCAGGGAUGUCUAGCUGAUGGACAGGAUAUAGCUGUCAAAAGAUUAUCGAGAAAUUCAGGACAAGGCGUAGAUGAAUUCAAGAACGAAGUAAUGCUUAUAGCAAAGCUUCAGCAUAGAAAUCUUGUUAGGCUUUUGGGUUGCAGCAUAUAUAAAGAAGAGAGGAUGCUAAUCUAUGAAUACAUGCCGAAUCGCAGCUUGGACUUAUGCAUUUUCGGUAUGCAAUCUAUGAAUACAUGCUGAAAUUAAGAAAUCCUAAACUUGUAGCUAAUAGAAGUUUUUAUGUGUUGUGUUCAGAUAAAGACAGAAAGUCGUUGUUAGAUUGGAGAAAGCGGUUUCAAAUUAUCAUUGGGAUUGCUCGAGGCGUCCUAUAUCUUCAUCAAGAUUCGAGACUAAAAAUAUUCCACAGGGAUUUGAAAGCAAGCAAUGUUUUACUGGAUGGUUCAAUGAAUCCAAAAAUAUCACAUUUUGGCAUGGCAAGAAUGUUUGGGGAUGACCAAAUUGAAGCAAACACGAAUAGAGUUGUUGGCACCUAGUAAUUCUCUCCUCUCACUUGAAAUAAAACUCUGGAGUUGAUAUUUUUUUUAGUACUGAUAAUGUGUGAUUGCAGUGGUUACAGGUCACCAGAGUAUGCUAUGGAUGGGCUAUAUUCUACAAAAUCCGAUGUGUUUAGCUUCGGAGUCUUGGCACUAGAGAUCAUUAGCGGCAGAAAGAACAAUUUCCAAUUCGAAAACACCUUUCUGAAUUUGGUUGGACUUGUAAGUAGACAAAUAAUUUUUUAGACAUUGAAUCUAACUCUUGCAUAGUCCAAUGAUCUAAACAUUGUGCUCACACUUGUUUCAGAUAUGGGACUUGUGGACAGAAGGAAAAGUCUUGGACAUAAUUGAUUCAUCACUGAACCAGUCGUAUUCGACUCAUGAAGUUAUGAGAUGCAUUUAGAUUGGGCUCUUGUGCGUGCAAGAAAACGCAACGGACCGGCCAGCCAUGCUAGAUGUUGUAUUCAUGCUGGGGAAUGAAACGAAUCUUCCACAUCCAAAAAGGCAGCGUCUAGCUUCAAAACCGGCGGUCCAGAUUCUUCAACGUCUAGAGGAGCUUCCUCUGUAAAUGAUAUAACAGUAACAGUUAUUGAAGCUCGUUGAGUUUGCACUUUUUAGGCCCUUGUAGAGAUUUUGCUUUACUUCUUAAAGUAUUUGUACUCAAAUCGAGAUUUCUUUGUAUGUGAGGAUUUUAAAUUCAAAUUCAAAUCCUAGAAUCCAAACGAGGCCCAAAUGUUUAACAUGAAGACAUGUGAGUAACAAAUUGAAAUUCUCAGUUGUAAACAAAAAUCUUGGGCGUGACAGGUAGCGUGCGAAUUCCCCUUCUUAACAAAACAAGUUUGAGUUUUUAACUUUUUUUUAUUACAAAAAUAAGCUUGGAAUUUUGACAAAAGUUAGAACUUAUAAAUUAAUAUGCACCAAUUCAUUUAUUUUGGAUUCAUAAACAUAGAAAUUUUGAAUUUUCGCGUGAAAAAAAAUUGGAAUUUGGGACUCCAAGUGUUUUAAAUUCUAUGUAAAUGAAUGUCAUUUCUAAAUUUUUAUGAGUGGAAGUUUAAAAAUAAAAAAUUCCUGUUCAGAUUCGAUCGUUCUUGUAGGUUAACCAAACAAAAAAAAAAUCAAAUUUUUUACAAAUUCUAAAAAAUAAAAUUCCAUCAUUUUGAAAUUCCUUAAUAAUUUUAAAUUUCUUUGUUCAGUGUAAAGCUAAAUUGAAAUUCUCAGUUUUCGAUAACUACGCUGGUAACACGCUAAUGACUUUUUUGUUAAAUUAUUAUUAAUACUAAAUUAUUGGACCACAUGCUAAAGACUUAGGUUAUAAAACAUUUCUUCUUCUUUCAAGGACGUCUUCUUAUGUGGACCCAAAAAAUGAUGCCCUCAUAUAUUAUAACACUUCAGACAUACUAUAAUUUUAUGCUUAUCUACACUCUUUUUUUUUUUUAAUGAUUUUAAUAGUCACCUCGCGGCACUGAAGGCAAUUAUAUUACUUUAUGAAAUUACUACUGAGUCUAUCUGCCCCCUGAUUUAACGUUAUUUGCAAAAUUGCCACUGGGCUUCGGAAUGGGUUUUGGGUCUUUGGGCGGAAUUUUCGGUUUUGCGAUCCACGCGUUGAUGAUCGCUGUGUAAGAUCGCCGGCUGUGUGGGAUUUGGUGAGGGGAUGGGACAAAAACGGAAAGCCAAACCUCCGCCACAAACGAAGUCACGAACGCCACUCUCACUCACCCUCCACCGUUGCACACGAACCCAAUCAUAAUUCUGAAAUCCAAACACGACCCAGAUGGCAAUGGCCACUUCUUCUUCCUUCCUCUCAGUCCCUCUCCUAAAGACCUCUUCUUUGCUUUCCCCAGUUAAACACUGCACUUCGCCGCUGGUCCAUCUUUGGGUCAGACGUAUCCUGGUCACGAGGUUUCAAGAUGCAUCCACAUCGGGCAACUUUGCGUGCAAGAAAGUGCAUCAGAUAGGCCAACCAUGUCCGAAGUUUUCUUCUGUUGGGUAAUAAAACAACUCUUCCCUCUCCCAAGAAACUUGCUUUUAUAUUACAAUCCAACAAUCCAAACUCAGCAGUGUCAAACAGAGGAGCUUCCUCUCUAAACAACGGGACGAUAACUACGUUUGUAGCACGGUAAUGGUUAGGUUAUACAACAUUUCUUCUUCUUUCAAUUAUGCGUUCAUGUGUUAUUACACUUCAGACAAUGUACUGUACUUCUAUGCAUGGUACAUACUGUUAAUUUUCUUUUAAUGAUUGCAAUAGUCUCCUCGCGGCACUGAAGGUAAUUAUAUUUUCUUUGAACAACGAUGGAAAGCAACAUAAAGAUUUGUCGACAUAUUCAAAGAUAACAAAACUCUUGGUAGAAAAAAAUGCAUCGGAUAUAUGGAGAGGAGAAGGGAUUAGGUAUAGUCGAUCCAUCUUUGGGUCGGACGUACUUUGCGUGCAAGAAAGGGCAUCAGAUAGGCCAACCAUGGCGGAAGUUACUUUCACAAGGCAUUACGUGGUGUUGAAUUUUAUGACAAAAAUGAAACGUAAAAUCAUUCAUUACGGGUCGUACUCGUACAGACUUGGCCCCAUUCAGAGCCAAUUUGUCUUAUCUAUCUACUGAAUACAACUGGAAGUCGAGCGUAUGAGAAAGAAGCAACCAUUGUAGCACUUAAACUCCUCCAUGAGAAAGCUAACAAUGAAUUCUACUGAAUUCUUUUUUGUCAGUACUGUAUUGCUCGUCUUCCUUGUGAUUCUUCCCUCUUCCAUUUCGGUUACCCUAGACGCCAUUACAUCAAGCCAACCCCUAAGAGAGGACGACGUUCUUCUCUCCACCACUAAAAUCUUUGCACUAGGGUUUUUUAAGCCAGGCAGUUCUCGUAACCGUUACAUCGGAGUUUGGUACAACAAAAUUCCAAUCAAAACCAUUGUCUGGAUUGCAAACAGAGAAAACCCCAUAGUUCCUACUGCUGGAAAUGGACUUCUAGCCAUUCAUGGAGAUCAUGGUGGCCUUGUUAUUUAUGGGGAGGACCAAAACACCCCUAUCUGGUCCGCUAAUCUCACCGUCUCUUCUCCAAACAAUUCCGUGAUAGCCAAGCUUUCGAAUAAGGGAAAUCUUGUUGUUGAAAUUAAUGGUGAAAAGGUGUGGCAAGGUUUUGAUUAUCCCACAAAUACGAUGCUUCCCUUUAUGAAAAUUGGGCUGGACAGGCGGUCCAGAUUGAACCGUUUCCUCACAUCUUGGAAGUCCCAAGAUGAUCCGGGAAUGGGCAACUGUUCGUUCCGGAUGGAGCCAAGUGAGAGUCCACAGGAGUUCUUAUACAAGGGUCAGACUCGAUUGUGGCGGACUGGACCUUGGACCGGUGAAAGAUGGUCCGGGGUGCCUGCAAUGGUAAAACUAUUCUUCACCAACGUUACUUUUGUGAACAAUCAAGAUGAGGUAUCCAUCAUGGAUCUAGUUCCUGAAUCAAGCUUCGUAAAAUUGGUGAUCGAUGAAUCAGGAAACAUUGAACGGUCCGCAUGGGACGAUGAAGUGCAUAAAUGGGUCCCGCAUUGGUCGCCGGAUUGGCAGUGUGAUUCUUACGGGGUGUGUGGUCCGAAUAGCAUUUGUUACCCAUACCCAAACUUUGAAGAUAAAUUUGAGUGCAAAUGCCUACCUGGAUUCGAACCCAAGUUGCAACAUGAGUGGUAUUUGAGAGAUUGGUCAGGCGGGUGCGUGAGGCAAAAGGGUCCAUCCGUUUGCCAAAACGGGGAAGGGUUCGUGAAGUUGGAACGUGUGAAGGUGCCGGACACUUCUACGGCACGUGUGAACAUGAGUAGGAGUCGGGAAGCAUGUAAAGAAGAAUGCCUGAGAAAUUGUUCUUGCACGGCAUACGCAAAUGCAGAUGAAAGGCAGGGAGGGAGUGGCUGUAUAACAUGGCAUGGGGACUUGAUGGACGCAAGGACUUAUUUGGAUACGGGUCAAGAUUUAUAUGUGCGAGUUGAUGCAAAUGUUUCAGGUAUAUUUCCAUUAUCAAUUUAUCUUCUUUCUUAUAUUUUCCUUAUCAAUAAUUCCCCUCGUAACACCGAGGUUCCAUGAAAAAAAAAAAAUCUUCUUUCUUUAUUUCAUUAAAAAAUUUAAGGAAUUAUUCUUUAGUUUGGUAGUUGUACGUUUGUUGUCAUUCUAAAAAAAUCAUUUGGCACUGGUCUCUUGCCGAAUAAUAAAUGUGAAAUUAUUCAGUCAAGCGUGUAAGAUGACUUUUUUAGAGGACUAAUUUUUUUUAUAAAAAAUUCUGAAAUUUCUAUAAAUUAAUACUAAAAAUUUAGUUCUUAUGUUGAUUGGAGCUUUUUACAAGGUUUUUUUUUUCCCGAAUUUUUACAAGGUUUUUUAAACAUGGAAAUAAAUGCUUGUAUAUCUACAGCUCAAUACGCAAAGAAGUCAAACAGUUUUUUUGGCAAGAAGAGGAAGCUGGAAGUUUCAGUAGCAUUUGGUCUAUUGUUCUUCCUCUUGUUUUCCCUUGCAUGUUGGUUGGUAAAGAGGAAGAGAAAAGGUAAACAAAUUUCGUUUUACUAGGUUGCCCUCUAAUCAUUCACAAUUAUGUAACUGGAUAUUGGUUUUAAUUAAUUAAGAACACAAUAUUAUCUGUUUAUGUACUUUUAUCACAGGUCAGAGAAGUCAGGAUAAAUUUUUCAAUGCGACCAUAGCAUCAACCUCCUGGGAAGAUUCUUCUACUAGAACAAAUAUUGAUGAAAGUGGAAUAAACUCCGAAUUACCAUUCUUUGAACUAAGUGCCAUAGUUAAGGCCACAAAUAAUUUUGCUUCCAACAACAAGCUUGGAACAGGUGGUUUCGGCUCCGUUUAUAAGGUACGUAGUUGCCCUCAGAUAAUGUCUCAAAUCACAAAUCAAACUUUGAAUAGACAUUUUUUAGAUAUAUUUUUUAGCCAUCUGCACUCCAAAUCAAAUUUUUUAUUACUUUUUCCUCUACUCACCCUUGUACUUUAAACAUAAGAACAUACCCUUGUAGUUUAAACAGAAGAACAUAAUGAAGAAAUCUUGCAGAGAAAGAAAGAGAAUCAAGAAGAGAGAGGGAGCAAGAUUUAGAGAGAGAGAGAGAGAGAGAGAGAGAGAGAGAUUUUAGACAAAAAGUGAAUCUUUGUUAAUGGUUUCAGAAAAAUACAAGGUAGUGUUCCAUAAGGAUAUAUAUCCAAACUAUAUUGCUCAAGCUAAGCUAACAUUUAGCUCACAGGUAAUUGACACUUGCAAACAAUAGGAUUACAAGACCAUUACAGUUAACAAAAAUCAAGAGACCCGUCCAAUAAAGACUGGAAAGGCUGACUCAAAAAUAUAUUUCAUUAAAAUUCAAACUCAAUCAAUAAUCGAUAAGUGAUGGGAACUAUCUUAUUUCUACUUUUCACAAUUAUCCCACACGGUGAUGUGGAUUUUGAAACUGUAUAAAACACGUAGAAAGUUUUAAAUCUAUAUAUGGUAAGCCAUACUAAUAUAUAUGUAGUAUAUAUAAAUUCCCACAUCCCAAGAACCCUAAUUUAUAAACUCCCAAUCAAACGCAAAAAGGAUAGAGGAAACCCAAAUAAAGGGAAAUUCGAGAAAUUCAACAUACCGUAAAACGCUUUCUAACAUCGAGAGAUACGGGAAUCGGAGAGAAAAAAAGAGCAGAGGCAGAUGAAACAUUGUGGGUUUUCCAAUAGAGAGAUGAGGGAUGAGAUAUGGCAGGAAAGCGCACGCGUAGGAGAGAAAGAGGAAAAGAGGUGAGAGGAGAGCGCGUCUAACCUGAUUCCCAAUCCCGUCCCAAACCCUCUGUACAAAAUUGUGGGCAUUUUGGUCAACAAACAAAAUAGUGGCAGAGUUGUAAAUACAACAAAAUAAUGCAAUUGAAAACCUUACUUUAGAUUAAAGUAAUAAUUCACAAUACUGCGAUCUUUUGUUAUUUCAAUCGCGUUUCUCCUUCACUUGAUGUAGUCAAAGCAUUUUUAUGCAUAUGCAUUGAGUUUUACUCCUUUGUUAAUGUAUAAAUGCAAUUUCAAGGAGAGGAUAUAUAUAUAUAGAGCUAUGAUUAUGUUGACAAUUUUCAUGAAAGGUAAGUGCACUAUAAGUUGAAUUUGGAUUAUAAAUUCAGGGUGUGCUUGAUAAUGGAAAGGAGAUAGCAGUGAAAAGACUAGCCAAGAAUUCUGGCCAAGGAAUUGGAGAGUUUAAGAAUGAAGUUCUGCUGCUUUCAAAGCUCCAACACAGGAACCUUGUGAGGAUCAUGGGUUGCUGCGUUCAAGAUGAAGAGAAGAUGUUGAUCUAUGAAUACUUGCCAAACAAAAGUCUUGACUUUUUCAUUUUCGGUAUGUCUUUCUUUUACUUUUGUUAUUCUUUUUAUACAAGCAAUAUUGUGGAGGGGAAAUCAAGCUCAGGACCUCAGGUGUAGGAUUGAAUGCUCUUAACUCAACUUAGUUACAAGCACUUUUCUUUUCCCUUGUGUAUCUAAAAUUGUCGGUUAGAAACCUUGAACCAAGCAAGAAUACAAUCUAAUUUACUUUGCUUAUUUUGUUCCCAUAUGAAGCAAAAGGGGAGUUCUUGGAUUGGACAAGAUGCUUUGAGAUAAUCUGUGGGAUUGCUAGAGGGAUCUUAUAUCUUCAUCAGGAUUCAAGAUUAAGAAUCAUCCAUAGAGAUCUAAAGGCCAGCAAUGUUCUGUUGGAUUCUGCUAUGAACCCCAAGAUUUCAGAUUUUGGUAUGGCUAGGAUAUUUGGAGCUGAACAAAUUGAAGCAAAUACAAACCGUGUGGUUGGGACAUAGUAAGUUUCAUUCAAAACUGAAAGUACACCUGUUUUUUUUUUUAAGUUUCAUCCCUACGAGUUAUACAAUUAACUUUUGUUGAAUAAUACAGAAAGAAGCUGUGAUAAUUAAUCAAUUUUAUUUUGUUGUUUCAGCGGUUAUAUGUCACCAGAGUACGCAAUGGAAGGACUUUUUUCAGUAAAGUCUGACGUAUAUAGCUUCGGUGUUUUACUACUAGAAAUUGUUACUGGCAGAAAGAACAUCGGCUACCACCACGAUAGUCCUUACUCAAAUUUAGUUGGACAUGUAAGCAUAACAUUAAAACAUUACCAAACUUCUCUCCAUCUGCUUUUAUAACUUGAUGAUUAAUUUGUAAAUGGUUUUUAGGUUUGGGACUUGUGGAAGGAAAAUAGAGCCUUGGAAAUCAUUGAUUCAUCUUUAGGAGAAUCAUACCCUGUCAACAAAGUUCUAAGAUGUAUUCACAUUGCCCUCUUGUGCGUGCAAGAGCAAGCGAAGGAUCGUCCACUCAUGUCAGCAGUGGUUUCCAUGUUGGGUAAUGAUGCUGCAAUUCCUUCACCAAAGCAACCUGGAUUUUUGUUGAAGAGUGGUUAUCAUAGUAGUGGAGACCCAUCAACCAAUACUGAUGGAGCUUGCUCUGUAAAUGACAUGACCUAUACAGAAGCAGAAGGUCGCUAAGGGGAGAACCAGACGUAUAAUCAGACCGACUUAUAUUAUUCAAUUGAGAAUCACAUGAUGAGUGAGAUAAGAAGAGAGGAUAUACCCCGAUUUCACUCAAUAAUUUUCCUUAUAACUAGGGAUCUAAGUUCUAUAUUAAUAUGCAACACUCAUCAUCUGUCUUAUUGUAAAUACACGUUAUAAAAUAUAUGCCCUAUAAUUGGGGAUCUAAGUUCUAUAGCUGUUAUACUCAUCAUCUGUCUUGUUGUAAAUACAAGCUAUAAAUUAUUUGCAACAUUCAGCAUCAGUCCAACCAAGCUUGUGAAAUCCCGUUCCUGGAUUUCACUGUUAUAAUCUACAUGUUUGUAGUAUUGAGAUUUUAUAUUAUUUUUCAAGAAUUUAUAUUAAUUUAUUUGAAUUUAGAUUUCAAUUAAACUAGUUACGAAGAGUGAAGUUUGGAAAGUUAUUAUAUACUUGUUGACCUUUUGAGGUCAUAAGUAACGUUUUCGAAUAAAGCUUGAUCCCACGAAUGCAUAGGCGAAAGGCGUUUGCAAGUCUGGAUUAUAACGGUAUAGUUAAAGACGUUUGAAGUUGUGAUACUAUAAAUUUUAGGAAUUGAUUAUCUCCCACUUUGUGGGUAAGGGCCCAGAUAGAUAUGGGGUUAAGUGGACCAUCAGAAUUGAAAAAAAAAGGGGGGGGGGGGAAGCAACCAAUCAGGAAAGAGGAGGAAAGAAAUGAGAAAGAAAAAGGAAAAAGGAAGGAGGGGAAAAUGCCCCUUUCCCGUCGACCCACCCAACUAGGUUUGACCCGGUUCUAAUUCCGGCGGUUUCCGCUAUUUUUUCCGUCGAACCACCACCAACCAACAACUGCAACCUCUUCUACAACAUCUCAUCUACCAUUCCCACCCAAAAUCAUAGGAAAUUUAGUUGUAGUUUGGUGAAAAACACACCAUGGGUACCGUGGGAAACCUCGUCAUGAUUCAUCAUUUGUGAAACGAUUUCAUUCAAUUACCACCACCAUUAGACUCUCCUUGAACCCAGGAAUAAAGCCCAAACAACCUUGGAGACGUCGGAGCAAGUAUGGAGUUCGUAUUGAAGCACACCUAAUUCUAGGGUUCUGGAUGUUCGUGGGUGAUUUCAGGAGUUUCCAGGCCAAAUUGGCCUUAGCCAUAGGUAUAAAAAUUACUCCCCUCAUUGAGAUCUACAUGCCUGUAAAAUUUGGUAAUUUUUGGAAUUAGUUGAAUUUUCCGACAAGUCGGGGCGGCCGACUGCCAUGUGCGGCGGCGCAUAGGCCGAAGUAACCCCUGACCUUCCUAGGAUAAAUUUGAUACCCCAAUUCCAUAUGUGAAGUCUGAUUGACGAAAUCUCGUCAUAUGGUUAUAGAUUUGAUGGAGACCGCCACUUAGACAUUAUAUGAAUCGAUGAUUAGAUUGUUGGAUCGUCACCAAAAUUUAAUAUGUUAUAGUAUGUAAUAUUUGAGGAUAACAGGAACUUACGGAUUGGGAAUAGAUGUACGGAUCUUCCCGAAUUGGAUUUACAAGUUUGUAAAAUAAAACGUCGACAACCAUUUAAAUUCGUGAUUGGCGGAGAUCCGACCGUUUGAUCAUAAUGAAAUUUUAGUAUGUUAUUCUAGAAGCAUAAUGUGGACUUUGGGAAGUUAUGGAUCAGAAAUCUAAUGUGCGGAUCUUUAGGAUCGAAUUACGUAGAGUUGUGGACCCUAUCGUUGACAGAGAGUUGAUUUGUGGUCAACAUGUCUCGAAACGUUCUAAAUAAUAAAAUUAGUACUACGAGACUAAUUGAAGUCUAGUGGGCCUAUAUUGGUUAGAUAGUGACUUGAAUAUAUGAGAUAUGAUUAUUAUCUUGAUUUCUUAUGUUGGUAUCAUUUGUGAAUAUGAUUUGGUCUUAUAAAUAUGAUUUCUAUUGAAAUGUGAUUUUUAUAUAUUUAGCCAUAGGCCUAUGCUUAUUACAUAUGAUUUGGCUUGUGUACUGAUGAUGUUUGUGAUAUAUAUGUGUUUAAUUAUCUUUUUAAUAAUAUGAAUGAUAAUUAUGAUGAAUGUUAUGACAAGUAUGGGAUCUAAUUAUUGCUUGAUAAUUAUUUGGAUAUGAUUGCCAACUGAAUACCUAUUUGAACUUGGCAUUACUACCUAGUAUGUGAUAGGGAUGAAAGUCUGGAGAUGAGUUAGGUACUUUAUUAGAUUUUUUUAGUAGAAAUAGUAAUUAGGGGAAUUCCUUAUGAUGUGCUCCAUAUGACUAGAUGCUGGUUGAUAUGUGGAAUCGAUAGCGUGUAUACGUAUAAUUGGGUAUAAUGUAUGAGGCUAGAUAAGCCUUUUGUGUAGAGUAGGAAAAGAUAUGGUGAAAUGGGGUCGCCCUGUUGAAUCCCACGAGAGGGGAGGAGGUAGCCACAAAGACGACUGUUGAUGACAAAAGAGUACGAUACUGAGCAUACGAAUUCCAUCACCAGAUUGGUCUAAUUCAAUGAGAACCCCAUACGAACUAAAAUACUCUUGAGAUAAUCCCACUCAAUUCUGUCAUAUGCUUUGUUAAUGUCCAAUUUUAAGGAUAAAAACUCUUUUUUUCCUCGAUGGCGCUUCAUGAGGGAAUGGGAGAUUUCUGAAGCCAGAAUCAAAUUGUCUGAUAUCAUUCUUCCCGGAACAAAUGCGUUCUGAGCAGGAGAUAUGAUGUGGUUUAGAAUUCCUUUCAACCUAUUUGCCAUAACUUGGAAGCAAUCUUAAACAGGACGUUACAAAAGCUUAUGGGCCUGUAUUGAGAGAUAUCAUUAGGGUCAUUUACUUUGGGGAUGAGGCAAACAUGGGUGAAUUUUUUUUUUUAGUAACCUGUCCGAUUGGAAAAUGCAUUGGAUGGCGUUCGUCACAUUCGCUCCAACAAUGGCCUAAUAUCGUUAGAAGAAAAAAGGGGACAUUCCAUCGAGCCCCAGCACUGUUGAAGGUUGCAUAUUAAAGAUAGCAUCCCGAACCUCUUCAGCAGAUACAUGCAAAUCCAAUCUGAGAUUCAUCUCCGAAGUCACCCGACGAUCGAUGGUUUGGAGCACCUCCUCACCACCCCCCGUCGGACCAGCUUUAAAUAAGUCUUCAAAAUAGUUUAAGAUCGAGGACUCGAUACCCUUUUCAUCAGAAAUCCAAUUGCCAUUGCUACCAUAUAACCCUUUGAUAAGAUUUUUGGACUUGCGGUUUUUAGCCCGUUUGUGAAAGAAGCGAGUGUUCCUAUCGCCUUGGCUGAGCCAUAGAGAUCGAGAUUGUUGGUGCCAGUAAGUUUCUUCUUGACCCAAUAAGACAUCGAGACACUCCAUUGGAAGCUUCCUUUCAGCUAAGGCCGCCUCUGACAGUGGUUAAGCAAGAAUAAAACCAAGUUUCAAACGUAUUUCGUUUAUAUCCUCAAUACGUCCUUUGAAGACCAUAUGUUGCCACUUAAGAAGGGCAAUCCUGGUGGCCUUAAUUUUGUGGACCACUUGGAUGUGUACCCUGGUUACAGGACGACUUAAUGCCUCCUCUAUAACAUUCUCGCAGUUUUCGUGGGAGGCCCAAAACUUCUUGAAUUAGAAUCCAUGUCGACAUUUCCUCCUGGGAACAAGUUUCCCGUCUAUGAAGAGAAUAAUAGGAACAUGAUCAAGUUUUGUGGGAUCCAUAUGGUGAACUUUGGCAUUACAGAAUAAGAAUCUCCAUAGAGGGAAUGCCAAGACCACCCGGUCCAAACGUUCUUUUAUGCCUCCCGACUGCGUGGUGAUCCAGGUGAAUUAGUUUCCAGAGAAACCAAGGUCCAGGAGAUUGCAAUUAGACACCGCCAACCUGAAGUCGAGAAUCUGCUUGAUAGGCCUAGAUGGGCCGCCCUCAUUCUUGUUAGCGCUGAGAAGCUCAUUGAAGUCCCAUCUCAUAAUUCAGGGAGGGAACUAGCUGAUGCUAAAGAGCGAAGGAGGUUCCAGGUGGUUGCCUUUUCGGUUGUAAUCGGGUUGCCAUAAAAGCUAGUAAAUCUCCAGUGUAGAGGGUCGGUGUUGCAUCCAAUCUCUCAAUUGAUGUGAUUAUCAGAAGCAGAGAGAAUCCUUAAGUCAAUGCUGGAGUGCCAUAGCAAAUAGAGGCCUCACGCACUUCCUCGAGACUUGACACAAAAUGACCUGUCAAAACUUAACUUGAAUUUCAGAGACAAAAUACUAUGACGCGAAGAUUUGGUUUCACACAAGAAAACUAGGAUGGGAUCUUGCUACUUGAUGAUGUCUUGCAGUGCCUGAACUUUCCAGGGGUUCCUAAGCCCCCAGCAGUUCCAGAAUAAGAAUUUCAUGGUUUAUGAUGCGGUUGCACCCUGUUAACCGUCGCCAAUGAUGUCGAAGGUAGGUGAAUGUUCCUGCCCAGCUAGCCCCUAUUCUCAGCCUAUUCCAGCUCUUUAGAAGGGCUAAUAGCGAUGUCGCAAAGAUGAUCAGAAUCUAAAACCUCAUCGUCAUGUGCUGACCUGAGACAGGGGGAUUCAGCAUCCAUACGACUACCAGACCUGGAUUUGGAGCUACGAAGGUUCAGAUUUAAGAGAUAGAGGGGACGACCCUUUUUUAAGUUGAGGGAAAGUCGAGGUUUUUUGGUCAAGGGAGAGACCAAAAUUGACUUCACGCUUUUACCGUUGGAUUGCUCAGCCAGAUGAGAUGUAUGCUUGAGCUCAAGAUUGCUGAUGUGUAAUAAGUUGGUGCCAGGUGGAAAACAACCUUGGGCUAAGAACUUAGAGGGGCUGGUUUGAACAUGAUCUGAGGCUCGUAAAAACUCAUCCACAUCUUUUAAGGCCCAUAGAGGAAGCUUGUUGGGGUCACACUAGUUUUUUUUCCAAGGAAAGCCCAUUAACAGCUAUGGACAUGGUGUCGUUAGAGAAAGGGUUCUGUGAUUAAAAUGUGGCUGCCGAUCAGUACUGAUGAUAAGAGGGGACACGUACUUCUUUCUGAUGCAACAAUUGGAUCGUAGGGGGACAACGAGUUAGCAGUCGCAGUGAUGGCAGGUCUGACGGUCAGAGAAUUAUCGGUGUACUCUGCCAGUCUGGAUUGAUCAAGUUUGGCCUGUCUAGCCAGGAAUACGGUAGUCGGAAUGUCUGAAUCUUCGUCCAGCAGGUCGUAGAAACCAUAAUCGUCGAUUUCCCAUUUGCAUCUCCAAUGGUGCUUAUUAGCCCCAUCUCUGCUAAACAGCCUCGAAAUUGGGAAUAGUAGAAAACUCGCCCUAAACAGACUUUCGAUGCAAAAUGAUUGGUUGAAUCGGCUUUCACCAGACGGCAGAAUGGGAGUCGGACGAGGGCAGCCGCUUGAAUGACCUAGGCGACCAUACUUAUAGUAGAAAAUUCUGAAACCUUCAUAGCGUAGCCGAAUAGUAUAUGAACACAGCUUUGGGCAUGACACCGAGAAGCUGGUGAGCAAUGGUUUCGAGGUAUCAAAAUCGACUCGCAUGCGGAGAAAGCCUCUAAACCCCAUUUCCAGAGGAUCCUCAACCUCUAGAAUUUCCCCCAUCUUAAAACCCAGGCAUCUCACAUUCUUCAAGGUGCAUUAGUUCCUAGGGAUACCGUGCUCCUAGAUCCCAAUAAAUGGCCCUGUUAGGGAUUAUAUCAUCGAGAAAGUGAAAUGACGGCCAUAGUUUCACUGAGAAGGUAUAGUCCCUGAUGAACCAGGGAUUUCCUUCCAAAAGCCUCAUGGCGACAGCUUCUUCCCCAACUGUGAUAACAUACAAGUUUGCUUUUGCACAAAGAACGCGAAUAACCGCCAUCUUGUUCCAAGUAGAGCGAAUAACCUCCUUCACCACAGUCUGGGAAAAUUCAUGGUCAACGAUGAGUGCACAACGAUGAGUCUGCGAAUAACAUACAAGUGCCUUCGCCCAUGAGCGGUAGGUCUCGGGUUCGAGACUUGGGAGCAGCCUCUCCAUAAAUGGGGGUAAGGCUAGCCGACAUUCACCUCUCCCAGACCCUGCGUAAAGCAUUCUUACUAAAAUCACACUCAGUUAUUUUAAAUACUUCUAAACAAGCCCUAAAACACACCAAAAAAUAAAAACAAAACUGCAUAAUAAGAUGAGCAUUUCGGUUAACACGUACACCAAACAAUUGUAUUCAAAUGGCGGCACAUUUCCAGUACUAACAUAAUUUAGUCUAUCCACUUUGGUAACGUAAAGAAGAGGUAAACCAUGAAUUUAAACUUGGAGGCAGAUUGUCUGCCCUUUCUUUCCCAUGCCCUUCUCAUCCCUUUCUAUUUGUGCGGUCAUGGUUAAGCCACGUCAACAUUUUAUAUUCAUAUUGCUUUUUGUUUUAUUAUCUCUAUUAAAAAAUUAAUAUAAAAUAUUGACGUGGCUUAACCGUGAUCCUACAAAUAGAAGAAGAUGAGAAGGAUAUGGGAAAAAAAUGGCAGACAAUCUGCUCUUUUAAACUUUGGUACUUUGGCAGAAGAAAGCAAAAGAGUUAAAUAAAUUAUUGAACCAUGAAGGAGGUUGAGAUUUGUUUUUAUCUACACGAGCAAUUGAAAAGUCAAAAAGCAUGAGCUAACAAAAAUGGGUCGUCAUCACCAAGUUAGUUGGGUGACUUUUUCUUAUUAAUUUUGGAAGAUGGUACUAAAUUCAUAUUUUCUAUCUUGUUGAUCAAAAGGAAAAACUUAUAUGCCUCGGUUGAAAGUACAUUUAAAAUUGUUGAAAACAUUUUUAGUAAAAAUAUUUUUAAAAUCAAUUUUUUGUAAGAAAAAUUUCAAAUAAUUUUAGGCCCAAAAGUAUUUUUUUUACAAGUGUUUUCUAUUAUUUCAAAAAUACUUCCAAACGAGCUCAUAGUUAAUUAUAAACAUAAAUAGUUUUUUAAAAUAAUGUAUGAUCAUUAUCAUCUAUUCAUACAAAACACACAGAGUAAGGUAGCCAACCAAGAUAUACACAGUUGAAUGAUCCAUUUCUUGUGGGAAAGAAUCAUUUUCACACCAUUCUUAGUUCCAUGGUUCGAUUUCAGUCGUUACUCUUUGAUGGAUAUUUACAUAUACAAUCAAACUAUUUAGACACAAAAUUAAUUUACUUGAUAAGAUACUCUCUUAAAUAAGACAUGUAAUGUGUCCAAUUCUUGAUCAAAAUUAGGCUUUUAAUAUUCAAAGGCCGAGUGGCGUCACAAGAUUUAAUUAUGCAUGCAUGUCAUUUUCCUCAUGAAUUUUUCUUUUAACAAGAAAUGAUAGUAAUUUUCUAUUAACGAACGAUAGCAAAUAUUUAGGUUGUCGCAUGGAUACAAUUUCUAGUCACAAGACUCACAAAUAUAUGAUUUGGAGGUAGUUCACACAAACGAGCAAUAAUGCUAAUCCUUUAUUGGAUACCACAAGCGUGUGAACUAGCACAAGCACAAUCAGUACAAAUCUGCCACAAAGACGGCAGGUGCAACAUACUUAAUUAUACCAGUGCACCCAUAAUGUCACUGUCAUAUAAACGAGACCACAUUAAAUUAUCACUAACAAACUAGGCCACAUCAAAACCACCGCUACCAAAGUUUAUAAUCUUAUCAAUUAAAUGUCUUUAUUAAAUCUUUUGACAACAGAAAAGAAAGCGUCAUAAUUAAGAAAUUGAUUUAAUAACAGUGAGAUAUUAACGAGGCAGACCUUGCGUAGUUGCAUUAUAAAUAUGGAAGAAAACAUUCGACGGUAAUCCUAUCGACUAAAAAAAUUAAGCACGGAAUAUCUCAACAAAAAAUAAAAAAAAUAAAAAAAAGCACGGACUGCGUUUUAUUCAACCUAGAAAAUAAUAAACUGUGUUCUUUUGUCAACCGUGAAGUCGUAACCAAGUUAUUAAUCACGCUUGGAUCAGAGGGUUCACAUUUCAUGAUGCUUGUGUUGAUAUCGUUUGUGUUUCCUAAACAAAUUUGGACGGAGAACUUAAGGUCCGUCGAAACACGUUUACUUGGAAUGAUUUGAUCAAAGUUUAGCAGAGCGAGAAAUUUUUUAACUACGUGAUCAGUUAGUCUUACGAUGUUUUAUCUCUAAUAAGUAUAAAAUUUCUUAAAUUGACUUGGACGUUAUAGAAAGAUGAAAGUGAUAUAUUUAUACACUCAUAACUCAAUUUUACUUUACACAGAACUUUGUUAAUUGUUUGUUAUUGAUCUUCUUCGAUUCAUUUGAUUCGAAACUGAAAAUUAAAAGAGGUGUACAAAAAAUAAAAAUAAGUGCAUGAAUAGCACUAUCUUACUUAUAUUACUAGGUCGAGGAUCAUUGUGUCCCAAACUUGAUUAGAGGACUUGUCAAACUUAGCCUUAGUUUAGUACUAAGGUGAUUCUGAAAAAAAGUGGCUAUUAAAAAAAACUGGGAGUUUUUUUAUGUUUGGUAAACAUUCAGCUUUAGUUUUUUUUCACAGUUUUUGGUGAAAAAAACCCAAAAACACAAAGCUGCAAAACCCAGCUUUGAAAAACCAGUUUUUUUUUUACAUCUGUUUUACAUAAAAGUUUAUCAAACACUAUAAUAUUGUUUUUUUUUCAAAAGCACAUUUACAAAAAAGUUUAUCAAACACUCUGCUGCUUUAUUUCACAGCUGCUUAUUCUCAUAGCACAGCAGAAACAAUUUUUUUUUUAAAGUACAACAAUAUCAAACCAGCCCUAAUGUGAGAUUAGUGCUUUUGAAAUAUUUAGUGUAAUCAAAACACAAAGUGGUACUUUACAUGUCAUUAUCUAAUUAAAGAUUUUUUUUUAAUUAUCUCCUUAAUUGAAUAAUAAUAUAUGAUAUUUCACUCAUGUGCCACAUAUCUUGAAAAAUCUGUCGGGCCUUAUUGUAUGAAAGGGGGGGCGUGUAUAAUUGGUCACGUGACAAUAGGGGAAGAAACACGUGUAUUCUGAGUCGGCAAAUGUUUAUAGCUGGCAAUGUUGACUCUAAUAGGGGCAUUUAAGUAAAUUCCAUAGCAGAAGUAUAGUCGCGAAUCGCGAUUGAUUCCAUGCUUCAACUGUAGGGUAACUGUUGAGGUUAGAAACCAAAGGAAAAAAACAAAGUUACGAAAACACCCCCCCUGAAGUUUUAGCCAAAGACGGGACCUUUUUGUGUCGUUAAGUUGAAAAGCAGAUAAAUGAUGACUUUCUCCAAUAAAUACAGAGAUGCUAACUGGAUAGAUAAUUUCAGUGACCAAGCAAUUAACUUGGAUAGAGUUUGCACAAAAACACAAGAAGAGUAAAAUCCUUAAAGCAAAUAUGUCACAAAGUAUUAUAUACGCAACAAAUCCGAAUCGAUGUUUAGGGCAUCUAUACUCUAAUGAGAAAAUAAAAAUUUGUGAUAGAAAAAUCUUAUUUAUGUUUCUGAUAGAUGUAAAUGAAGCUAUACUCCAAUGAGAAUAAUGGAAAUUUGAGAUCCCAUUUAAUUUUGUCUCUUUGAUUAGCGGGACUCAUCACCAAAAUAUGUAAAAAAAGAAAUAAAUUUAAGUUUAUAUUUACAUUUUUCGACGAAGAUGAUAAUUUAUAUUUCACCAUUGGAUAAUUUUCCAGCAAAGAAAAAAAUUAUAAAAUGUCCAUUUCAAAGUACUUUUGAGAGAUGCCCUUGAGAAGAAAACUUACUUACCGUUAUAAUUGUUUAGUAAUCUGAAAUAAUUGUAUACCGUUAUGCAUUUUAGAAUCCAAUUAUGUAAAUAAUCAUUCAAUAUUAUGUGCUAAAAUCUAGUUAUGUAAAGAUAUGUGAUUAACUCGAGAUACAAUAGUUAUAACAUUCCAAAUUGCGAAUAAUCUGGUAGUUCUCGAAACAAAGAAAGAAAAAAGAAAAUAAAAACUAACGAAAAGUUCUCAAAAACUUUAGUUUUUAAUCAAAAGGACAAUAUAAAUUGUAAGUGAAUAGUACCAGAAGUGACUUUUCAAGGUAAAAAAUGUCAUUCACGUUAAAAGUGAACAGUACUAGGAGUGUUUGAUUAAGAUUCCAAAAAAAAAAACACUUUUGAAAACAAAAUGUGAGAAGGGUGUAAUAGUAAUUUCAUCAGGUGUAUUACAAUUGUUAUUUUUCUUUUUUGGCAUGAAAAUGCGUAUUAAUGUGUUGUGAGUGUAGGAUUUGGUGGUGAAAGUCUCUCUCUCUCUCUCUCUCUCUCUCUCUCUCUCUCUUCGCUCGAAGUCUUGAAGUCUUGAAUUCUCAAAGACACUCCACCAGUUGAGCACCCAAAAACCUCGUAAACCCUUUUUCUUCCAUUUCAUUUCUUUACCGAGUGACGCGAGCGAGUUAAGAAAUGGCGACUCAGUUACCGGACGAUUUCAAGUGCCCAAUUUCCCUCGAAAUAAUGUCCGACCCGGUUAUACUCUCCUUACGUCACACCUUAGAUAGGCACUCCAUCUAAUCUAAGUGUUGGACAAAAGAAUUUUUCCUGCACGAAAGUAUAUGCUCUUUUGUUUUAUUAGAAAUUGAAUUAGUUAAUUACUUGAAAUAUAGUUUUUUUAUUUUAUUUUAUAAUAUUUUCCGAGUUUCUGGAGGCAUCGACAAAGUCAAAUAUCCCUAACGGGGAUGUGGAUACCUCAUCGUUUGGCCAUAACCCAUAAGCACCUGACUUUUCCUGCAAUUAUGUUUAAGCACAUUGCACUCUAUCUUUAAAAUAAUAACAAUAAUAAUACAUCACUGUAUAUUUUUAAGUUAAGGGUGGAGCUAUCCACCUACCUUUUUUUUAUCUUUGACGUAUAUUUCUUAAUUUUUAAUCGUCGGAUUAUAUGAAUUAAAAAUGAUGAAAAUACAUAAGGUAAUAAAAGAUGUGUAAAAAGUAAAAAUAAAAAAUGUGUGGAUAGCAAAUUAACAACAUCCUAAAUUAAUAUCAACCUUACUUAGUUAUUACACCCAAUAAUCAAGUAUAGGAUGGAUUUGUGCUAGAAUUCUUGAUAUUGUCAAGGUCAAGCCAUGUAUUUGGAUCAAUAUGUUUUCAAUCUAGAAAAAAAUUAUGUUGAAAAUGAAAAUUUUGAGUGAAAUAUAUUGAUUUUUCCUAUAGUAUAAAUACGUGUUAAGUACGAUGACCUAUGAAUGACAUAUGACUUACAUUAUGAGGAUUGUAUUUCCACAUGAGUGUGUUAGGUAUCUAUUUAUAUAUACAUAUAUUUAAUAUUUCUAAUAAUACAAAUCAAAAAAAUUAUAUAUAUACAUAUAUUAAAUAAAAACAUAACUGCUCCAACAUGUAUGCCUGGAAGUUGCGGGUAAGUUCACGUUGCAUCGACUGGAAAUCGAGGGCGCGUUUGCCGUUGCAUCGACAACUGGAAGUCAAGCGUAUGCCCUUAAAUUAGCGUUACUGAAACUCAAUCAAAGAAAAAGAAAAUCCAACCUUUCCGGCUUUUUGUUUCUGCAUGUCGAAAGAAGCAGCCAUUUUAGCACUUAAACUCCUCCAUGAGAAAGCUAACAAUGAAUUCUACUAAAUUCUUUUUUGUCAGUACUGUAUUGUUCCUCUUCCUUGUGAUUCUUCCCUCUUCCAUUUCGGUUACCCUAGACGCCAUUACACCAAACCAACCCCUAAGAGAGGGCGACGUUCUUCUCUCCACCACUGAAUUCUUUGCACUAGGGUUUUUUAAGCCAGGCAAUUCUCAUAACCGUUACAUCGGAGUUUGGUACAACAAAAUUCCAAUCAAAACCAUUGUCUGGAUUGCAAACAGAGAAAACCCCAUAGUUCCUACUGCUGGAACUGGACUUCUAGCCAUUCAUGCAGAUCAUGGUGGCCUUGUUAUGUAUGGGGAGGACCAAAAUACCCCUUUCUGGUCCACUAAUCUCACCGUCUCUUCUCCAAACAAUUCCGUGAUAGCCAAGCUUUGGGAUACGGGAAAUCUUGUUGUAGUUGAAAUUAAUGGCGGUAGUAGUGAAAAGGUGUUGUGGCAAGGUUUUGAUUAUCCCACAAAUACGAUGCUUCCUUUUAUGAAACUUGGGCUGGACAGGCGAUCCGGGUUGAACUGGUUCCUCACAUCUUGGAAGUCCCAAGAUGACCCGGGAAUGGGCAACUGCUCGUACCGGAUAGAGACAAGUGAGAGUCCACAGGGGUUCUUAUACAUGGGUCAGACUCCAUUGUGGCGGACUGGACCUUGGAUCGGUGAAAGAUGGUCCGGGGUGCCUCAAAUUAAAAAAACUUUCUACUCCAACGUUACUUUUGUGAACACUCAAGAUGAGGUAUCCAUCAUGGAUGGUACUGUUUAUGAAUCAAUCUUCUUUAAAAUGGUGAUCAAUGAAUCAGGAAACAUUGAACGGUCCGCAUGGCAUGAUAAUAAAUGGGUCCCGUAUUGGUCGCCGGAUCGGCAGUGUGAUUUUUACGGGAAGUGUGGUCCGAAUAGCAUUUGUUACCCAAACCCAAACUUUGCGGAUAAAUUUGAGUGCAAAUGCCUACCUGGAUUCGAACCCAAGUUGCAACAUGAGUGGUAUUUGGGAGAUUGGUCAGGCGGGUGCGUGAGGCAAAAAGGAUCAUCCGUUUGCCAAAACGGGGAAGGGUUCUUGAAGUUGGAAAGUGUGAAGGUGCCGGACACUUCUACGGCACGUGUGAACAUGAGUAGGAGUGGGGAAGCAUGUAAAGAAGAAUGCCUGAGAAAUUGUUCUUGCACGGCAUACGCAAAUGCAGAUGAAAGGCAGGGAGGGAGUGGCUGUAUAACAUGGCAUGGCGACUUGAUUGACACGAGGACCUUUUUGUAUACGGGUCAAGAUUUGUAUGUGCGAGUUGAUGCAAAUGUUUCAGGUAUAUUUCCAUUAUCAAUUUAUCUUCUUUCUUCUCUUUUCCUUAUCAAUAAUUCCUCUUAUAACGCCGAGGUUCCAUGAAAAAAAAGAUCUUCUUUCUUUAUGUCAUUAACAAAUUUGAGGAAUUAUUAUUUAGUUUGGUAGUUGUACGUUUGUUAUCAUUCUAAAAAAAAUCAUUUGGCACUGGUCUCUUGCCAAAUAAUAAAAGUGAAAUUGUUUCGUCAAGAGUGUAAGAUGACUUUUUUAGAGUACUAAUUUUUUUUAUAAAAAAUUCAGAAAUAUCUAUAAAUUAAUACUAAAAAUUUAGUUCUUAUGUUCAUUGGAGCUUUUUACAGGGUUUUUUUUUUCCCGAAUUUUUACAAGGUUUUUUAAACAUGGAAAUAAAUGCGUGUAUAUCUGCAGCUCAAUACGCAAAGAAGUCAAACAGUUCUUUUGGCAAGAAGAGGAAGCUGGAAGUUUCAGUAGCAUGUGGUCUAUUGUUCUUCCUUUUGUUUUCCCUUGCAUGUUGGUUGGUAAAGAGGAAGAGAAAAGGUAAACAAAUUUCCUUUUACUAGGUUGCCCUCUAAUCAUUCACAAUUAUGUAACUGGAUAUUGGUUUUAAUUAUUUAAGAACACAAUAUUAUUUAUUUAUGUACUUUUAUCACAGGUAAGAGAAGUCAGGAUAAACUUUUCAAUGUGACCAUAGCAUCAACCUCCUGGGAAGAUUCUUCUGCUAGAACAAAUAUUGAUGAAAGUGGAAUAAACUCUGAAUUACCAUUCUUUGAACUAAGUACCAUAGUUAAAGCCACACAUAAUUUCGCUUCCAACAACAAGCUUGGAACAGGUGGUUUCGGCUCCGUUUAUAAGGUGCGUAGUUGCCCUGAGAUAAUGUCUCAAAUCAUAAAUCAGACUUUGAAUAGACAUUUUUUAGAUUUAUUUUUUAGCCAUCUGCACUCCAAAUCAAUUAUUUUAUUAUUUUUUCCUCUACUCACCCUUGUAGUUAGGCCUGGCAAACGGGUCGUGUCUGUCGUGUUCUUGUCGUUUUCGUGUAGCACCUGUUAUCUUAACGGGUCGUGUUGUGUCAUACAUGUUAUCUUAACAGGUCCUUAACAAGUCGGGUCGGGUAAAGUGACCCGACCCGUUAAGAAAAAUAUAUUUUUUUUCUUAAAUUUGCACAUACCACACUUUGCCACAUAAAUAUUACUUCAAAACAUUAAAACACAUAAUUUAAUAUAUAUAUAUAUAAUUAUUUUAGUUUUUAGGGGUAUAAAAUUGUUAAAUUAAUAUAUAUAUAUAUAUAUAUAUACAUAUAAUUAUUAUAGUUUAUUCAUACUUUCAUUAAGUAUAACAUAAGAUUUUGUGGUAUCCACUAAUGUAAUUUUUUAAAUUGAAGAUCGAAUUCAUUCAUUGUAUUCAUAUAGAGUCAAGGAGUGUAACUGUAAAAAAUCAUCAAAAUCGGAGUUAAAAUAACCGUUAAAUAGUGAUUUUUCGUUUUAUAAUCGUCGAAAAGUUUUGUCUCGUUACUUGAUCUCUGAAUGUUUGUUCUUUGCAAUUUUUGGCGUAUGCGAUCUCGAAGUAUAUACAAACAUGUAUGACAGUUGGAUUGUUGAAACUAGUUUCGUAUAAUGCGUAUCCUAUCAAAACAAUAGAUUCACUAACACUUAGUUUAUUCUUACUUUCAUUAAGUAUAACAUAAGAUUUUGUGGUAUCCACUAGUAUAAAUAUUUUAAAUUGAAGAUUGAAUUCAUUCAUUAUAUUCAUAUAGGGUCAAGGAGUGUAGCUGUAAAAAAUCAUCAAAAUCGGAGUUAAAAUAACCGUUAAAUCGUGAUUUUUCUUUUUAUAACCGUUGAAAGGUUUUGUCCCAUUACUUGAUCUCUAUAUGUUUGUUUUUUGUAAUUUUUGGUGUAUACGAUCUCGAAGUAUAUACAAAUAUGUUUGACGGUUGGAUCGUUGAAACUAGUUUCGUAGAAUGCAUAUCCCAUCAAAACAAUAGAUUCACUAACACUUAAGAGUUUAUUCAUACUUUCAUUAAGUAUAACAUAAGAUUUUGUGGUAUCCACUAGUGUAAAUAUUUUAAAUUGAAGAUCAAAUUCAUUCAUUGUAUUCAUAUAGGGUCAAGGAGUGUAGCUGUAAAAAAUCAUCAAAAAUGUGAUUUUUCUUUUUAUAACCGUUGAAAGGUUUUGUCCCGUUACUUGAUCUUUAUAUGUUUGUUUUUUGCAAUUUUUGGCAUAUGCGAUCUCGAAGUAUAUACAAACAAGUUUGACGGUUGGAUCGUUGAAACUAGUUUUGUAGAAUGUGUAUCCCAUCAAAACAAUAGAUUCACUAACACUUAAGAGUUUAUUCAUACUUUCAUUAAAUAUAACAUAAGAUUUUGUGGUAUCCACUAGUGUAAAUAUUUUAAAUUGAAGAUCGAAUUCAUUCAUUGUAUUCAUAUAGGGUCAAGGAGUGUAGCUGUAAAAAAAUCAUCAAAAUCGGAGUUAAAAUAACCGUUAAAUAAUGAUUUUUCGUUUUAUAACUGUUGAAAAGUUUUGUUCUGUUACUUAAUCUCUGAAUGUUUGUUUUUUGCAAUUUUUGGCGUAUGCGAUCUUGAAGUAUAUACAAACAUGUUUGACGGUUUGAUCGUUGAAACUAGUUUCGUAGGAUGCGUAUCCCUUCAAAACAAUAGAUUCACUAACACUUAAGAGUUUAUUCAUACUUUCAUUAAGUAUAACAUAAGAUUUUGUGGUAUCCACUAUUGUAAAUAUUUUAAAUUGAAGAUCGAAUUCAUUCAUUAUAUUCAUAUAGGGUCAAGGAGUGUAGCUGUAAAAAAUCAUCAAAAUCGGAAUUAAAAUAACCGUUAAAUUGUGAUUUUUAGUUUUAUAACUAUCGAAAAGUUUUGUUCAGUUACUUGAUAUCUGAAUGUUUGUUUUUUGCGAUUUUUUAAUGGUGCGAUCUAGAAGCAUAUACAAAUAAGUUUGACGGUUGGAUCGUUGAAAUUAGUUUUGUAUAAUUCAUAUCCCAUCAAGUUCAAUGGUAUAUAUAUAUAUAUAUAUAUAUAUAUAUAUAUAUAUAUUAAGUAGAUUUAAUUCUAUUUAUUUUGUACGUAUAAUUAUUAUAGUUUUUUGGGGUAUAAAAUUUAAUUUAAAAUUAUAUAUAUAUAUAAUUAUUAUAGUUAAUAUUUUGGGGGUAUAAUUAUUAUAGGCUUUUUAUAUUAGCACCCCACAAAAUGUUGAAUGCACCCCAUAUUAAAAUUUAAUAUUAAAUGACUUAUUUACUCCACUAUGCAAUGACAAUUUUGACCUUAUUAGGUUUUAAAAAAAAUAAAAAUUUAUAAAUACACCUCAAAUCACUUUUAGCAUAUUAUUUAUUUUCUCAACUAUCAAAACCCUUUCAUCUUCCAUUGUUGAAUAAAACUCUAACCAAUGAAACUACAAACAUGUUGAUUGAGAAAAAUUGUUUUUGACGAAUGGAAUACAAAAUCGAUGUUUCUGAAGCUUUACAUGAGAUAAGACUUCACAUUUUUCAUUGUUUUAGUGAUUUCGAUGACAUCAAUAAUUAUUUAAUCUUGCGUUUGCCGCAUUAUUUAAACUUCUAUAUAUUCAUAUUCAUCUUUUAGGGUUCAUAUUAAUCUUGCGAACCUAGUAACAUGAGUCGUAUUAGUGCUAGAGUCAUAUACUACUUUUACAAAUUGACGAUAGCCAUUCUCCACAUGAACUCCUACUCUCAAUCUUUAGCUGUUUGAUUGACGUACAUUUCUCAUUGUGAGUUUUUCUUUCUUUUUUCUUCUUCUUUUCUUGUCACUGGGAGAUGAUCAGUGGAAAAUGAGGAGAGACAUGGCCUAUAUUUAAAGAAAUCUGAGACCGAUUCAGUUUUGAUUUAUUAAUUAACUUCUACACCUGGAUCAUUAGCAGAGAGAGGGUCUUUAUUUAUUUUGUUCAAGACUAAGUCUAAAGACUUGUGAAAUAUAUAUAGAAGCAUUCUUUGUUAGCAGUAACGAGAGAGUCUUUUUUUUUUCUUUUUUUUUACUCGAAAAGACUCAGCACCACGGGUCAUUUUUAAGGCUUUUUAGAAGUUGAAUAAGAUGAUUUCAAACUAUACUAAGAUGAUUUCAAAUCAUCAUUUUGAAAUCAUUCGGUAAACUAAACGUUCAGAUGAUUUGAAAUAUUUUGACAAAUUAAACGUUCAAAUGGUUAGAUUCAAUCCCUGAAAAUUAAAAAUGAGUGUUAUAAGAUUUGAGAAAUGUGGGGUGUAAAGAAAAUGUGGGGUGUAUGUACAAAAUAUAAGAUGUAUAUUGAGAAUGUGGGGUGUGGGGGUAUUAUGGGAAAGUAUGUGGGGUGUAUUUAGAUAAUUUUUAAGUGAAAAAGCAAAUAUGGGGUGUAUUAAGUAUGUGGGGUUUAUUCAACAAUUUGUGGGGUGUUAAUAUAAUUAGCCUUAUUAUAGUGUAUAUAAUUAUUAUAAUUAUUAUAGUUAAUUUAAUAUAUAUAUAUAAUUAUAGUAUUUUUUAGGGUUAUAAAAUUAUUAAAUUAAUAUUCUGCUUAUCGUGUAUCGUGUUACCCACGUAUAUACCCGAACCAACCAGUUAUCUUAACAGGUGAUUAUCGGGUUACCCGAUAACGACCCGAUUCGUUAUCGUGUCGACCCGAACACCUGUUAAUUUCGUGUUGUGUUGUGUCGAGUUAUUGGGUCGUGUCAGGAAUUGCCAGGCCUACUUGUAGUUUAAACAAAAGAACAUAAUGAAUAAAUCUUGCAGAGAAAGAAAUAGAAUCAAGAAGAGAGAGGGAGCAAGAUUUAUAGAGAGAGAGAGAGAAAGAGAAUCAAGAAGAGAGAGGGAGCAAGAUUUAUAGAGAGAGAGAGAGAGAGAGAGAGAGAGAGAUUUUAGACAGAAAAAGUGAAUCUUUGUUAAUGGUUUCAGAAAAAAUACAAGGUAGUGAUCCAUAAGGAUAUAUAUCCAAACUAUAUUGCUUACAAGCUAAGCUAACAUUUAGCUCACAGGUUAUUGACACUUGCAAACAAUAUUACAGUUAACAAAAAUCAAGAGACCCGUCCAAUAAAGACUGGAAAGGCUGACUCAAAAAUAUAUUUCAUUAAAAUUCAUACCCAAUCAAUAAUCGAUAAGUGAUGGGAACUAUCUUGUUUCGACUUUUCACAAUUAUCCCACACGGUGAUGCGGGUUUUGAAAUUGUAUAAAACACAUAGAAAGUUUUAAAUCUAUAUAUGAUAAGCCAUACUACUUAUAUACAUGUGGAAAUCUAUUCACAAACCUAUUCCUAAGCCAUACUAAUUAUAUAUAAGUGAUGGUUGCAUGGUAUUGAUCUUCUACACAAAAAAAGCAAACGUUUUCCACCCUAGGAAAUUGUUAAGCACCUAUCAAACUAAUUAAUUGGAAACAGUAUGGUGCUUCCCAAUCUAAAGAGUCAAUGACACUAAAGCAGCAGAUUAGUGAAUAGAUUAGCGAAUAGUUAAUUAUGAUUUGUUUUGGGUCCAAAGAAACCUUGUUAGGUGAUGGUGAAUCAAUAUGAAAGUAAACAAUGCCGAUUUCAAAAUGGAUACUAAAGAGCUAUUCAUCCGCAUAAGUAAAUACAUACCAACAGAAAAGUGGGCUAAUCCAACCAAUCUCACCAAUGGACAUUGUCACCCGAGCAAUUCGGACUAAAUCUUUGAUGAAACAAAAAAAUGCUGAGGAAAAUGAUCAUUACCCAAAAUUCCAUUCUGAACAAAUAUAUGGACCAAUCUGAAGUAAGACGAAGAAUUAUGACAUGAAAAACUUAAUAAAACCCAAUUUGAACGAAGAACUCAAUCUGAAGCAGAUUUUCACAUGCAAUAGUUCUAGAAGAUGCCUAAGAUGACAAGGAGUCAUUUGAGACCAUCAACUCAACCCCAUUCGAACGCAAUCCCAAAAUCAAAAAGGACAAAAUGGGCAAACAAAAUCAAAGCAUUUUUAUGUACAUGCAUUGAGUUUUACUCCUUUGUUAAUGUAUAAAUGCAAUUUCAAGGGGAGGAUAUAUAUAUAGAGCUACGAUUAUGUUGAUAAUUUUCUUGAAAGGUAAGUGCACUAUAAGUUGAAUUUGGAUUAUAAAUUCAGGGUGUGCUUGAUAAUGGAAAGGAGAUAGCAGUGAAAAGACUAGCCAAGAAUUCUGGCCAAGGAAUUGGAGAGUUUAAGAAUGAAGUUGUGUUGCUUUCAAAGCUCCAACACAGGAACCUUGUGAGGAUCAUGGGUUGCUGCGUUCAAGAUGAAGAGAAGAUGCUGAUCUAUGAAUACUUGGCAAACAAAAGUCUUGACUUUUUCAUUUUCGGUAUGUCUUUCUUUUACUUUUGUUCUUCUUUUUAUACAAGCAAUAUUGUGGAGGGGAAAUCGAGCUCAGGACCUCGGGUGCAGGAUUGAAUGCUCUAAACUCAACUCGGUUACAAGCACCUUUCUUUUCACUUGUGUAUCUAAAAUUGUCGGUUAAAAACCUUGAACCAAGCAAGAAUACAAUCUAAUUUACUUUGCUUACUUUUUUCCCAUACGAAGCAAAAGAGGCGUUCUUGGAUUGGACAAGACGCCUUGAGAUAAUAUGUGGGAUUGCUAGAGGGAUUUUAUAUCUUCAUCAGGAUUCAAGAUUAAGAAUCAUCCAUAGAGAUCUAAAGGCCAGCAAUGUUUUGUUGGAUUCUGCUAUGAACCCCAAGAUUUCAGAUUUUGGUAUGGCUAGGAUAUUUGGAGCUGAACAAAUUGAAGCAAAUACAAACCGUGUGGUUGGGACAUAGUAAGUUUCAUUCAAGACUAAAAGUACACCUGUUUUUUACAAUUUUCAUCCCUAUUUCACAAGGCCACAAACGUGAGUACAACUUUUGUUGAAUACUACAGAAAGAAGCUGUGAUACUUAAUCAAUUUUAUUUUGUUGCUUCAGCGGUUAUAUGUCACCAGAGUACGCAAUGGAAGGAUUUUUUUCAGUAAAGUCUGACGUAUAUAGCUUUGGCGUUUUACUACUAGAAAUUGUUACUGGCAGAAAGAACACUAGCUACUACCACGAUAGUUCUUACUCAAAUUUAGUUGGACAUGUAAGCAUAACAUUAAGACGUACCAAACUUCUCUCCGUCUGCUUUUAUAACUUGAUGAUUAAUUUGUAAAUGGUUUUUAGGUUUGGGACUUAUGGAAGGAAAGUAGAGCCUUGGAAAUCAUUGAUUCAUCGCUGGGAGAAUCAUACCAUGUCAAUGAAGUUCUAAGGUGUAUUCACAUUGCCCUCUUGUGCGUGCAAGAGCAAGCGAAGGAUCGUCCACUCAUGUCAGCAGUGGUUUCCAUGUUGGGUAAUGAUGCAGCAAUUCCUUCACCAAAGCAACCUGGAUUUUUGUUGAAGAGUGGGGACCCAUCAGCCAAUACAAAAGGAGCUUCCUCUAUAAAUGACAUGACCCAUACAGAAGUAGAAGGUCGCUAAGGGGAGAACUAGACGAAUACUCGGAAAUACCAUCAUUGAAUUUAGAGUACGAUCACGUGAUAAGUGAGAUAAGAAUAGAUGAUAUACUCCGAUUUCACUCAAUAAUUUGCCUUUUAAUUAGGGAUCUAAGUUCUAUAUCUACAACACUCAUCAUCUCUCUUGUUGUAAAUACAUGCUAUAAAUUGUGUGCCUUAUAACUAGGGAUCUAAGUUCUAUAUUUGCAAUACUCAUCAUCUGUCUUGUUGUAAAUACAAAAUAUAAAUUAAUUGCAACACUCGUCAUCAGUUCGACGAGGCUACAUAAAAGUACUUUCUAACCGCCAUAGACAUUUAGGAGGGCUGAGAACUUUGUGGCUCAAGGUUUUAGAAGCAGGCAUACUCAGACACUAAUCAAGCCACGUGUCAACUAACAGUCAAGACUCAAAAACAAAAGUCUAGAGCGGGACAUGAAGCUGGUCUGGCCUGCUCGAAGUGACAUGACUAAUUAAUCAAGGCCUAGCGGGACGCUCGGCACACAUUGGACAUUUGGAUGUUAUGAUAAUUUAGUGUUAGAAAUGAUAAUUUAGAGCUUGAAUAUUGUUCACUAUCACAUGUGCUAGUAUAUGCUUCAAAAAAUUUUAGAGGCAAAAUAUUGUUAAAAAUUAUGAUGCUCUUAUUUGUACGGUGAUUUAUACAAAACACUGUAUUAAUGGUGAUAUUUACAUAAAACUAUAUCAUAGUGAUUAGCGAAUAGUGAUUUCUACAUAAAAUUAUAUUAAAAAUAUUUGAGAUGGUAGUCAAAUCUUAUGCAUAAACUCUGUUGUGAUAGUGCAAAAGUUUUUACAGAUUAGAAAUAGUCCAAAAUUGUUUGAGUGCGGUAUCGGGCUCGAAUUUUUUAACCUCACUCUUGCUCAUCUCCCAUAAGAAUCAAGUCAAGCUUACCCGCAAGCUCGAAAAAAUUAAAUAAGCCAAAUUUAAACAUAAUAGUAUUCAGUUCGGCUUGACUAGUUUGCAGUCCUACAUUUAUUUAAAACACCCCUCUGAAUUAUUACCCAAAGACGGGACCUUUUUGUAUCUUUAAGUUGAAAAGCUGAGUGAAUUAUGACUUUCUCCAAUAAAUCCAGAGAUGAUAAUUGGAUAGAUAAUUCCACUGACCAAUCAAUUAACUGUUGGAAAAUAUUAGUAUUUUGGUUUAUUUGAAUGUUUGGUUUUAUGGGUUUAGCCCGUUAGAAUUAGGUUUGUUAGAGAUUAGGGUUAAUUUAUUAUAAAUAGGGUGCUUUGUUAUUCAUUAGAGAACAAGUUAGCCACAAUGUAGUCUCUUAGGGUUUUGUAGCCGUUUCGGCAUUCUCGUUUGUUUAAUAAUAUUCUUAUUAUUUGUUAGUCUUGUUCGUUGCGCACUCUGAUAUUCAACUUGGUAUCAGAGCGGGUUCGAUCCUUAGGGUUCAACCCGUUCUCAUUGGUAUCAAUUUGUUUGCCUUUGUCGUCGUUCGUUUUAGAUUUGUUAGUUGGUAUUGAUUGUUUGCAAGGAAAAGAAAAAUGAAAGGAAAAAAAAAAGUUUUGCUUGCAGAGGAGAAGAUUCCCCAGCAAAUAAAAAAAUGGAACUUUAACGAAAAGCACCCGGUACUGUUCACUUUAACGAAAAACCACAUUUUUACACUAAAAAGUCAAUCCUGGUACUAUUCACUUUACCCUUUAUUUUGUCCUUAUCAUUAAAACUCAAAGUUUUCAAGCCCUUUUCAUUAGUUUUCCUAUAAAAAAAAGGGGACGAAGGAGAAAAGAAGAAAAAGAAGGAAAAAAAAGAGGAACCACGGAAAGGAAGAAGAAGGAAGAAAAAAAUGGGAAAAAAAAAGGAAGGAAAAAAAUAUGGUUGUUUUGUGGUCCGUGUAUUCUUGCAUUGGGCAUGGUAACUUGAACUUGGAAUGGAAAUUUGGCAUCGACAUUGGUAUCGGCAUCGGCAUUGGUAUUGGCAUCAGCAUCGGAAUCGGCAUUGGAAUCGGCAUUGGAAUCGGCAUCGGCAUCAGCAUUGGUAUUGGCAUCGGCAUCAGCAUUGGAAUUUGAAGGCUUGCAUCCACAUCUGCUUGUUGGCAAACUCAUGUCGUCUACCGCCAUGAGUUUGAUAGGGGGUGUUGGAAAAUAUUAGUAUUUUGGUUUAUUUGAAUGUUUGGUUUUAUGGGCUUAGCCCGUUAGAAUUAGGUUUUGUUAGAGAUUAGGGUUAGUUUAUUAUAAAUAGGGUGCUUUGUUAUUCAUUAGAGAACAAGUUAGCCACAAUGUAGUCCCUUAGGGUUUUGUAACCGUUUCGACAUUCUCGUUUGUUUAAUAAUAUUCUUAUUAUUUGUUAGUCUUGUUCGUUGCGCACUCUGAUAUUUAACUUUAACUUGGAUAGAGUUUGCACAAAAACACAAGAAGAUUAAAACCCUUAAUGCAAAUAUGUCACAAAAUACUAUAUACGUGACAAAUCCGAAUCGGUGUUUAGGGGCAUCUCUAAUGAGAAAAUACAAAAUUUGAGAGGAAAAAUCAUAUUUACGUUUCUGAUCGAUGUAAAUGAAGCUAUACUCCAAUGAGAAUGAUGAAAAUUUGAGAUCCCAUUUAAUUUUGUCUCCUUGAUUAGUGGGACUCACCACCAAAAGAUGUAAAAAAGAAUAUAAAUUUAAGUUUUUAUUUACAUCCUUCAACGAAGAUGAAUAAUUUAUAUUUCGCCAUUGGAUAAUUUUUCAGCAAAGAAAAAAAUAUAAAAUGUCCAUUUCAAAGUACUUUGAGAGAUGCCCUUGAGAAGAAAAGCUUACUUACCGUUAUAAUUGUUUAGUAAUCUGAAAUAAUUAUUUACCGCUAUGCAUUUUAGAAUCUAUUGUGUAAAUAAUUAUUCAAUGUUAUGUGCUAAAAUCCAGUUAUGUAAAGAUAUGUGAUUAACUCGAGAUAGAGUAGUUAUAACAUUCCAAAUUUCGAAUAAUCUGGUAGUUCUCGAAACAAAGAAAGAAUGAAGAAAAAAAACCUCUGAAAACAAAAUGUGAAAAGGUGUAAUAGUAAUUUCAUCACUGUAUUACAAUUGUUAUUUUUCUUUUUUGGGCGUAUUAAUGUGUUGUGAGUGUAUGAUUUGGUGGUGAAAGUCUCUGUCUGUCUCUGUCUGUCUCUGUCUGUCUCUCUCUCUCUCUCUCUCUCUCUCUUCGCUCGAAGUCUCAAAAACACACUCCACCAGUAGCACCCGAAAACCUCGUAAACCUUUUUCUUCCAUUUCAUUUCUUUACCGAGUGACACGAGCGAGCGAGUUGAGAAAUGGCGACUCGGUUCCCGGACGAUUUCAAGUGCCCAACUUCCCUCGAAAUAAUGUCGGACCCGGUUAUACUCUCCUCGGGUCACACCUUUGAUCGGGCCUCCAUCCAACGCUGGCUCGACGCCGGUCACACCCGGUUACAAAAGGGUUGAUUGCUAUUGCACUUGUUCAGUUCGUUCUUCUGAUCCGGUGCUGCGCUUCAAUCGAUAGUAUAACAACUGAUCAAGCGAUCAGGGAUGGCGAAGUUCUAUUCUCUAGUGGAGAAGUGUUUGAGCUUGGUUGAUCUUCAGCCCCAGAAAAUCUACGAACACUAUGUUGGAAUCUGGUAUAAGAAAGAUGUAGAAAAAAGAGUUGUAUGGGUUGAAAACAGAGACAAUCCUGUCAAUGACACUUCAGGAAUCCUCUCAACUGGUGCAAAUGGUAACCUCUUCCUCUAUGCCGAAAACCAAAGCGAUAUUCCCCUCUGGUCUGCCAUAUCCAAUGUUUCAAUCGCAUCAUUACCAUCCAAUUCCACACAUGAGCCUAAUUACAAAGCUCAGCUCUUAGAUACUGGAAAUAUUGUGGAGGGGAAAUCGAGCUCAAGACCUCAGGUGCAGGAUUGAAUGCUCUUAACUCAACUCAGUUACAAGCGCCAUUCUUUUCACUUAUGUAUCUAAAAUUGUCGGUUAAAAGCCUUGAACCAAGCAAGAAUACAAUCUAAUUUACUUUGCUUACUUUGCUAGUGGGAUCUUAUAUCUUCAUCAGGAUUCGAGAUUAAGAAUCGUCCAUAGAGAUCUAAAGGCCAUCAAUGUUCUGUUGGAUUCUGUCAUGAACCCUAAGAUUUUAGAUUUUGGUAUGGCUAGGAUAUUUGGAGCUGAACAAAUUGAAGCAAAUACAAACCUUGAGGUUGGGACAUAGUAAGUUUCCUUCAAAACUGAAAGUACACUUAUUUUUUACAAUUUUCAUCCCUAUGUCACAAGGCCACAAACGUGAGUACAACUUUUGUUGAAUAAUACAGAGAGAUGCUGUGAUAAUUAAUCACUUUUACUUUGUUGCUUCAGUGGUUAUAUGUCACCUGAGUACGCAAUAGAAAGACUUUUUUCAGUAAAGUCCGAUGUAUAUAGCUUCAGCAUUUUACUACUAGAAAUUGUUACCGACAGAAAGAACACCGGUUACUACCAAGAUAGUCUUUACUUAAAUUUAGAGCAUAACAUUAAGACAUUACCAACGUUCUCUCCGUCUGCUUUUAUAACUUGAUGAUUAAUUUGUAAAUGGUUUUUAGGUUUGGGACUUGUGAAAGGAAAGUAGAGCCUUGGAAAUCAUUGAUUCAUCUCUGGGAGAACCAUACCCUGUCAAUGAAGUUCUAAGGUGUGUUCACAUUGCCCUUUUGUGCGUGCAAGAGCAUGCAAAGGAUCAUCCACUCAUGUUAGUAGUGGUUUCCAUGUUGGCUAAUGAUGCAGCAAUUCCUUCACCAAAGCAACCUGGAUUUUUGUUGAAGAGAAGUUAUCAUACUAGUGGAGACCCAUCAGACAAUACUGAAGGAGCUUACUCUAUAAAUGACAUGACCCAUACAGAAGUAGAAGGUCGCUAAGGAGAGAACCAGACAUAUACUCGAAAAGAUUAUAUCAAUCAAUUAAGAGUAUGGUCUCUUAUGAGUGAGAUUAGAAGAAAGGAUAUGCCCUGAUUUCACUCAAUAAUUUGCCUUAUAACUAUUGAUCUAAGUUCUAUAUCUACAACACUCGUCAUCUGUCUUGAAAUGCCGCUCCUUUCAUUUUGCAUAUCAUUGAACUUUUGGUAUUUUGUAAUAAUGUACUAAUGUUUUUUCAUUAGACUCUUAUUUUGGGGUAUGUAAUACUUAAAAGACAAAUGUUGUUUUUAUAUUUUGAAGUAAUAUUUAUGUGACUAUAUGGUAUACAUAUACUAAUUUAGUAUUAUGUUUUCAAUUUUUUGGGGGUCAAAUUAUGUUUUUCAUUUUCAUUAUUUAUUGAUUUAAAAUAUAUUUUUUUAACUGGUGUUGGGGGACUUUUAGGUCGAGGCGGACUUGGGCUUUGAGAACGUCACCCUUGGUGCAAGUUCGUGACAAGUCUGGGAUAUCUCGAAGGAGGUAGCUUGUCCUAGGAAACACCCUGGUAACAUCAACGGCUCAAAGAUAGCACAAAAGAUCAAGAUAAUGACUUGCUCAAGCAAAGCAUGGUGUGGAAGCUAGAAGAUUAUCGGUUUACAUGAGAGAAAGAAGGUUUGCAUGGUUGCAUGGCAUUCUUAGUUGCAUGUUUCGGGCUUUCCUAGGGUGAUAGCAAGGCUUCUAGUGGCUGAGAUGUUUGAUGGAGGGCUGUGGAAAUCACUACAAUUGCAUGAAUGGUGAUACUUGAAGCUUAGAGUAUGCAUCUGGACUAGAUGGAACUCUUUGGGCUUCUUCCUGGGUGGAAACAUCUUACUAUGUUUUGUCUAUCUCUCUCUAUGUAUUUCUCUCUGCGUUCUAACCUCCUCAUUUCUAAUAGCUUCUCCCCCUCUUUAGAUAGGUGAAGAGCUUCUCUUUAGAUUUCAAGAAAUAUCUCUUUGUGGCUUGGUCUUCCCCUCAUUUCUCCCUAGCUAUCCCAGUAUUUCCCUUUUGGUGUAAACUAGAUGCACUGUUUGAGUUAUGCAGAUUGCUGUUUCUUGAGAUGCAGCUUUCCUAGGGCGGCCUUCCGCAAGCGCUAAAUCUAGUAGCGCGCUUCUGGGCUUUUGUGCAUUCGCUGUCUGUGCAGGCUGGGAAUGGAAAGUCAGCAUUAAAUGCCUGACUUGCUAAGCUUGACAUGCAUUUAAUGUAAGAAUCUAGUUUAAUUCUAAUUAAGGGGAUUGGCUUACUAGGGAAAUGGAUAAACUAGGCUAGCUCUCAUUCCCAAUGAUGCCUGCGUGAAAUACAAAGGGUAUAGGCUUGGAUCUUUAGGCUCCUAAGCAGCCCAAAGUCUUCCAUGACCCUAAUUCCACAUAGGCCCGAUAACCUUAUGUAAUCAUCCACACCACAAUCCACUUAGCAAGUCUCGAAUAUGUGACUUGGGCUUAGCGUGAAUAUUGACUAAGGAGGCAUGGCGUGAUGAAUAAUACGUGAGCAUGGUGUGAGUAUUCCGCUUAAUUCUUGUGGCAUGGCAUGCUUGUAAAUAUAUUCCUUGUUGGUCCCGUGCCUUGGCAUGUGCUUGGGCUUGAAUGUAGGCUUUGCAUGAUAAUUGGGCUUUGAGACUUGGUAGGAUCGAUGCGUGACAUUUUUAGGCCCCAACAACGAGUAAAUUGUAACAGGUCAGGUCAUAUUACCUAAUAAUAUUAACGGGUUGAUUUCGAAUCAGGUCAUAUUACCCGUUUACUUUAACGGAUAUUGCCUGACACGACCCGUUAAGAUAUUGGGUAUGUCACGAAAACGACAUGAACACGAAAAACACAACAUGAAUACCAGGUCUAAUGCUCGACACACAUUAGACCUUUGGAUGUUAUGAUAAUUUAGUGUCAGAAAUAAUAAUUUAGAGGUAGAAUAUUGUUGACUAUCACAUGUGCUAGUAUAUGCUUCAAAUAAUUUUAGAGGUACAAUAUUGUUAAAAAUUAUAAUGCUCUUAUUUGAACGGUGAUUUAUACAAGGGGAAACUUGAUAUAAGCAAUUUUUUUUAGCCGAUAGUAGGAAUAGUCCAAUUUAUUUAAAUAAGUCCAAUUCUUUAAAUUUAAUUAUUUAAUUAUCAAUAAUUAUCUAUUAAAUGAUAAGAUUUAUUAUUACUUUAGUCUAAAGAAAGGUUUGGAAUUGACACUGUAGAAAUGAAUAGUGUUUCAAUUCGAAUUUCAGAUUAAUUACUACCAUGCCAUUGAUCUUUCUGUUGGUUUUGGGUCAGCAGCCCAGCCUUCAGCCAGGCCCAAAUGUGUUGGUUUUAGCUGGGAAGCAAGGCCCUCAAUGAGGCCUAAAUUAUUUAACUACAUUUUUGCCCAUCUAGUGUAACAUCCCACAUCGCCCAGGGGAGUAAAUCAUGUAAGCCUUAUAUGUAUAUUCUCAUCUCUACCUAGCACGAGGCUUUUUGGGAACUCAAUGGCUUUGGGUUCCGUAGGAACUCCGAAGUUAAGCGAGUAGCUCGUGAGAGCAAUCCCAUGAUGGGUGACCCACUGGGAAGUUCUCGUGUGAGUUCCCAGAAAUAAAAUCGUGAAGGCAUGGUCGGAGCCCAAAACGGACAAUAUCGUGCUACAGUGGAGUUGAGCCGGGGAUGUGGUGAGGGCCCGGGUCGGGAUGUGACAUCUAGGAUUACAAUCUGAUAGUAGGGAUGGUUUAUUACGAAGGGCAAUUUUGUCCUCUCUGUUUUGGGCGAGAUAGGGGGUCACUGGUUAGGUAUCAUUUGCUGUCGUUCAAUUAGGGUUUCGGGAAGGGUCUGCGAGAGAGAGAUAGAUAGAGAGAGAGAUGGCGAUGGAAGAAGAGAGAGGGGGAGGGGUAGGGGUCUCGACACUGUUGCUGCAGAUGAGAGGGUCGGUAUGGUCAAAGAAAACCAUAUGGGUCGUCAGGAUUUCAGGGAGAUAGGGAAGGGGUCAUCAACAAACCCUACCGAGGGUAAGGUGUGCCGGAUCUUGCGUUGCAUGCCUCAAAUCCAAAGGUUAGUUCCUUUUUAAAAUUGUUUUCUUUAAUGGUGCCUUAGAUUUUCUAAUUGUUUAGUAUGUUAGGUCCAGUUUUAGGGGAUUUGUGAUUUUAUAGAGAGAGAUGGAUAGGGAGAUAGAGAUUGACAGAGGGAAGAAAAAGCAUGGUUGUGUGCAUUUUUUUGGGUUAAUUAAUGGGUUAGCGCACAGGGUCAGUGAGGAGAGUGACAAAGGGGUGUAUAGGAGGGUAUGGGUUUUCACUUUUUUGCUCUGAUUCAACAGGUUAUGCACUGUUUGAAAAUCAUUGUUUAUUGUUUUGUUUUCCGUUUGCUUUGUUAAAACCAUAUUUCAAUUUUUUUGGUUUCAUUGUGCUCAUUUAUGUGCUUCUUAAUAACUUCCUGGUGUUUGCUUCUCAUCCCUUUGUUGGUAGAUUUUUCCCCAUUUCUUGGUUCCUUAUGUAUUCCUUGGUACAAAUCUGUCUAAUUUUUGGCUAUGUGAUGAUCCUUGCAGGUGAGCUACAUUAAUGUUGUUUUGAAACACAGAGCUUCAUCCCCUCGAAUAUGCAAUUCAUAGUAGCAGCCUCACCCUUUCACUAUUAUCUGCUUAAAGCAAAACAUUUUUAUUAUGGCCUUGGUUUCUUGACAUUUUUAGGUAUAUAAUUUGCUAUACUUUUGUUUUGGUUACUUCAGUUAGAUGUAAUGUCACCUAACAUAGUAUAAUAGACAAAAUCACCAUCUCUGUUCUCUUCAAGAUAAUUUAUUUCGUAAUCCAACUUUGUUUGCAAGCUUUGUUUGCAAUAGUAUGUAUAAGCCAGAUCUCUUAUUUCCCUGCAAAUGAAUAGAAUUAAUGCAAUCCUCGGUCAAAUCAUUUAUCACAUUCAGACAAGUUCCCAAUUAUUUUUGCAUAUGAAGAAGACCAUCUUCACCAACACCGGAUUUAUCUGCAAACUUAAUUUUGAUCACCCCGAACUUAUUAAUCAAGAAGCCACUGUUUUAAUAAAAUUUGGCAUAAUCUUUAACAUGAAUAUAGAAGGAAAGAAUGGAUGUAUAUGUGUAGAAAUUAUGUUGGAAGGUUGGUUAAACUUAGGCUUAUUCUCAAGUAUAGUAUAAAUUCUUGGGUUAUUUGGAUUUCAGUAUUUAUCAAACUUUGCCUUGCUUAUGUAUUGAUCUCAUAACUGUCGCUUUCAUACAACAACCCAAAUAUGGAAUCUGCCAUCUGGAUUCUAUAUGGAAGUUGUGAAGCUUUUUUCCCUCAAAAUUUUGGUCUUUUUGUUUUUGUAUGUUGGUUUAAAACAAGGGUUAUUCUACAAAAUGGUCCCUGAGAUUUGCAUGAUCAAUAGAAAUGGUCCUUGAGAUUGAAAAUCAAUAUAAAUAAUCCCUGAGAUUGUCCACCAUCCAUGAUUUUGGUCAUUCCGUUAAAAACUCUUUGGGCAAUUUUCAAAGCUUCGUAACUUAAUUGAUUCUUAACCAAAUUUGACCCAUAAUAUAUAAAAAUGAAUAUAAGAAAGUGUAGAACAAGAUUAUACCUAUUUGGAAGCCCAAUGAUUUCCAGAGAUGGCUUGAAAAUAGCCUGAAAGGUGACUGGUCCGUGGGAAAACUGGAAAACUCGCCAGAAACUAAGUAAACUUUAAGCGUUCAUAACUUCUUCAAUACUCAACGAAAUCAAGUGAUUCAAAAAUGAAAAUCAUACUUCUCAAAGAUACGAAGAGAAUGGUAUCUUUCUUUACUACUAACUUGCCAUGAUUUAGCCGGAAAACUGCUCGAAAGUGGCUAACUCAAAAAUGGUUAGCCACAUUUGAGCCGUUGUUCAACCAAAACACAGCGAUUUAGCCUUCAAAAAAAGUACCAUUCUCUUCGUCUCAUCAAGAAGUAUUAUUUUCAUUUUUGAAUCACUCGAUUUGGUUGAGUAUUGAAUAAGUUAUGAAUUUUUAAAGUUUACCCAGUUUCCGGCGAGUUUUCCAGUUUUCCCAUGGACCAGUCACCUUUUAGGCUAUUUUUCGGCCAUCUCCGGCAACCAUUGGGCUUCUAAAUAGAUAUAAUCUUAUUCUCCACUUUCCUAUCUUCAUUUUGAUAUAUUAUGGGUCGAAUUUAAGAAACAAUUGAGUUACAAAGCUUUGAAAGUUGCCCAAAAUCGUUUUUAACUAAAGGACAAAAUCAUGGAUGUUGGACAAUCUCAGGGACCAUUUUGUAUAAUAACCCUUAAAACAAAUAAAAAGUUUUUGUAUUGGUAUUUUGCUUUUGUUCCUAAACAAUGGCAAUUUUUUACUUCUGAAAUGAUUGUCACCUUAUUAUUUGUUUAUGUGCCAGUGCCAAGUUCUGAUGGUGCUCAUUGCUCUAGGAAAAUUGGGAGGGGAAAUUUUCAUAUGCUUUGUGGAAUCUUUGAUGCAAUUAGCAUUUUAAAUUUGACCCCUCCCAUUAGUUUUUUUUUUUUCUGAUAAAUUCUGUUGCGAUCUAUGUGUGUUGCUGAUGAAAGAAGAUAAAGGUUUAGCCAUGAUUCUUAAUGGUCCCUGAAACUUGUUGAUGCACAAAAUCAGUGGGGAAUUUGGUAUAACAGAAAAUGUUAAGUUUGUGACCUUCGCUAGAUUGCUCCGGUCACUAGUGUGGAUAAGUAUGUAAAUGGACAGAGACAAGGAAGCAAACACAAGAUGUACGUGGUUCACCCAGAUUGGCUACGUCCACGGAGUAGAGAAGUUCUCAUUAAUUGUGAAGGGUUUACACAAGUACAUAGGUUCAAGCUCUCAUUUAGUGAGUACAAGUGAAUGAUUUAGUACAAAUGACAUUAGGAAAUAUUGUGGGAGAAUGAUCUCCUUUUAUAAAAGAGAGUUUCUAGUUUUGUUUUGACGUUAACACGUGUCGUGUUGUGAUUAGCUUCUGAUGUUGACACGUGUCGUGCUAUGAUUGGCUUCUGAUGUCGACAUGUGGUGCACUGUGAUUGGCCUUUUGGUUGGAGGGAAACUCUUUUGGGUCCUUGACGGUAUAACGUUGAUUAGUGCUUAGUAGUUUUGGGAUUGGUCAAGUAUGGUAUAAACAAAACUCAUGGGUACUUUCACUUACUAUGCAUACGGUGAUAAUUGUGGCUGAGGCUGUUAUGAUUCAUAACUAGGCAAUUUCCUCUCACAUUUCCUUUGGUUGUGUAAUGAUUUUCUUUUGUCCUAACUUCACUUGCCAUCAUAUGUUUAGGCUUGGGUUACCCUUGGUAGAGCAAAGUUAAACUUUGGGGAGGCUGAUAGUGCCAUUCAAAGCUUUGACAGAGCAUUAGCCAUCAAGGUACUGUUUCACCUUUCAAGAAAUUAUAAUUUGUACUUCUCAAACUUCUUACACUUUUUUAUGCCUCUUUGAGCCACUGACCUUAGGUGGAGUCUGAUACUGCAAUAUUAUGUACUAAUCUAAUAAACCCUGCAGCUUAUUCGUCUUCUUCAUGGGUAAAAUAACAUGACAGAAAGAAGCAGUAACCAGUUCACCCAUUCCCUUGAUGAUCGUUAUAAUCUUUGUUUUCUUAGUCUCCUCUAUGCCCUCCUCAUCAAGAAAGUUCUUAAACCUGUUCCCAUAUGUGUAUUGUUAAGUUGCUAAUUUAUAGAUUAACCUACUGUGAUUCUGUGCUUGAAGUCAGGCAUAUGGUUAGACUUCCAAAUUGAUGCCUUAGUAGCUUCAAUGCUUGCCUUAAAAUUACUAUAGGCAUAACUGUUACAGUUUGUUUGUACCAUACUUGACCAAUCCCGAAACUACCGAGCACCGGCCAACGCUAUACUGUCAAGGACCCAGAAGAGUUCCCCUCCGACCAGGAGGCCAAUCACUACUCGACACGUGUCAAGAUUAGAAGCCAAUCAGAGCGCAGCACGUGUCGACAUCAAGAACCAAUCAUAACAUGACACAUGUCAAUGUGACAAAGCUACAAGUUUUUCUAUAAAUAGGGGUCAUUCCCCCACAAUAUCGCCUAAUGCCAUUUUGUGUUAAAUCAUUCACAAGAACUCACUAAAUUGAGAGCUUGAUCCUUUGUACUUGUGUAAGCCCUUCACUACUAAUAAGAACUCCUCUACUCCGUGGACGUAGCCAAUCUGGGUGAACCACGUACAUCCUGUGUUUGCUUCUCUGUCUCUAUUCAUUUACGUACUUAUCCUCACUAGUGACGGAAGCAACCAAGCGAAGGUCACAAAACCUGACACUUUCUGUUGUACCAAAGUCUUCGCUGAUUUUGUGCAUCAACAUUUGGCGCCGUCUGUGGGAAACGACACUUAUUCCUACUCUCUUCAGCUGUGUCAAGCUGGUUUCUAUCAUUCGUACACUUUCUUUUGAUCUGGCAUCCCUCUCCAGCAUGGGAAGCGAAGGAAGCCACAGCACACAGAAUGACACCCCCCUUGCACAUAGUGCGAAACAACGAAAGAAGGAAGGAAAACGAGUUAUUCUUCAAGCUAAAGUCGAUGAGUUGGAAGCUUAGAACAACAAGAUAGCAAUGAGGAAUGAGGUCCUCCAGGAGCAAUAUGAGAAGCUCUUCGAGACACUUCACGAAGCUAGGCAAGCUCAGACACGCGAGCUUGUUGCCCCCGUGGAAGUCAACCAUCAACUGGGUGCCCUCCAACAUGGAGGGUCACAUGCAUUCGACAUAGAUAUCCCUGAUAGGGAACAAAUUACCCCUCGAUUUGAUAAUCAACAUGAGGCUUCUCUUAACCCAGUUGCUUCGACCCGAACCAUGAGAAGCGGAGGGAGACACCUCUUUGCUGAAGGGGCAGAAGGAUCGAAAGCUGUCUUUCGCGAUUGUCGGGAUUUCCUGAAGCAACGUCGAGAGAAUUCCAUCCAUAUAAGCUCAAAGAUCAAUGACCCAAGGAUUUCUGAGAGACUCGGUCCCCUGCCACGGCCCGAGCCGGCCACCAACUUGGGGAAGGGGCAACAAGUCCUAGAGAGACAUGAGGGUACAGGGGACUCAGAGGUGUUCCGACAGACAUACCCUGGAAGCCAGUACAGCGAGUCCAGGGAAAAAAUCACAUGCCCUUGAUCAAACCUUCCUAAUUCCAAGAGGAGAUGGAGAUUUACGAAAGAAAGCUCCAGUGGCACAUAACUCCGCUCAGGACCCCCCUUGUCCUACAACUUCUUGAGGAAGUAAACAAGUUGAAGGCUGAACGUCAGGCUAAAAUACCUGACUGGAACCAACCCAGGCCUGGCCCUCUUACAAGGAGGAUCCUCAACACCCCCCUUCAAGCAAAGACAAAGCAGAAGCUUGGCUUGCAACUUUAUACUGGGAAAGAGGACCCGAUUGAGCACCUUAACCUCUUUGAGUCCACCAUGGCAUACCGGAUGCACACCGACGAAGAGCGAUGUCUUCUCUUCCCCUCCACCCUCUCUGGCGGAGCUCUAAAUUGGUAUUGUCGUCUUACACCUGAGACGGUAGACUCAUUUGAGGAAUUGAGGAAACUAUUUGUUUCCCAACACAUUUUCCAAACCGAUCGCUUGCACUCUGCAGAUGACCUGUACACUAUCCGCCAGAAGCCAGACGAGUCAUUACGUAUGUAUGCUGGCCGCUUCAGCCAUGAAUACUCCCGGUGUGCCGAGGCAGACGACAAGACUGCCCUCAAAGCCUUCACGGCAGGCCUACGUGAUUGUUUCUUUAAAUACAUGAUCAAUGUCAAUACUUGGAAGACUUACUCUGAGGUGAUGGCGCAGGCUUAUAACCAUGCCUCCGCCGAGGCAAAGACAUAUCAGGAGAAACCCCCUACAACCAUCCUUUAUCAACAAGUGGGAGGUGGAAGCCAGACUCACCUAAAUGAGAAGACCUCGACUUUCCAAACAGCAGUGGCACCUCCCCAUGCCGUGCAUAAUGCUUCACCGAAUCAACAGACAUAUCAAUUUCAAGGCAAGAGGAAGGAUUUCCAUCCUCACCACUCUCCUUCCAGUAAAAAGAGUAAGGGACACUAUCCCGAUAACCAAGGGUAUCGCCACAAUAACGCUCGCCCCCAGGCAGUCAAUGCAGUGGGUCAAACCCGCGUCAAGAUACCCCCUACCCCAAGGUAUGAGACAUACACGCCCUUGAAUGCCACAUGCGCGGCCAUUUACCCCAGCAUAGCUCACCUGAUACCAAAGCCAAAGCCGAGGCACCCAGAUUACACGCCCCCGAAUAACGCGGGCAUGUUUUGUUGCUACCAUGAGCAUAACGGCCAUGAUAGCGAGAAAUGUAUCAUCCUCCGUGAUCGUAUUGAAGCUUUGGCACGAGAAGGAAAAAUUGAUCAAUUCCUCCUUCACCCUCAAAGGGAUAACCGUAACCAACGCCAGGUGAAUGUCAUAUAUAUUCCAUAAGCGGCGGCACACCCCAUAUCUGAAUCUUCCAAUAGGGCCAUGAAAAACAGUGAACGAAUUCUGAGGCCUGGUCACCAAGUGUUUCACGUGGAAGACAUCAGGGGAGGGAAGUAUCAAAAGCCUAACUGGGAUCCGAUAUGUUUCUACCCUGAGGAAGAAAGAGGCAUCAUCUACCCUCAUAACGACCCAUUGAUCGUGGAGGCUCACAUAGCCAACUUUGAUGUUCGACGAAUCCUCGUAGACACAGGGGCUUCGGUCAAUAUCAUGUUUGCCGAAGCUUUCAGGGCACUCAGUGUAGCUGAACACUUGCUCGAUCGCUCGAUUUCUCCUCUGAUAAGCUUCUCCGGUGAUAUCGUGCAACCCUUAGGGAGCAUACAUUUACCCUUUACUAUUGGUACAGGCCCUUACACGGCUACCAUUACCACUAACUUCCUAGUGGUUGACUGCCCAACGGCAUACAAUGUCAUCUUUGGGCGCACAGGCAUCAAUGAUCUCAAGGCUAUAUGGUAUCCACGCAUAUGCUGUUGAUGAAAUUUCCAACCCCCAUGGCAACGACUACAUCAGAGGAGAUCAGCUUACUGCACGAUCAUGUUACAACACUUCAGUUAAGCAACAACACUUGCCCGGACCCAAGGAAACCCUGUCUGUACAUGACCAAGUCACAAAGACCAGCCUAGAUGAAGCGAACUUGGAUCUUCCUGAUAGCAACAAUCAACCCGAUGAUCCUCGAGAUGACUCUUUCACCCAGCAAGCCCAACCUGCUGAAGAGUUGGAGAAGGUACCUAUCUCAAGAGAUUAUCCAGAUCGCAUGGUGAAGAUUGGCACCACAUUGUCACCACCCCUUCGGUUAGCAUUGAUAUCUUUUUUGAAAGAGAACACUGAAGUCUUCGCCUGGUCAUACGAGGACAUGCCAGGCAUCUCUCCCGAUGUCAUCUGUCAUCGUUUGAGUAUUGACCCCAAGAUCAAGCCGGUGAGACAGAAGCGAAGAUCUUAUGACGCUGAACGAUACGAGGCAAUGAAAGCAGAAGUUGAAAAACUCAAAGGCAUAGGCUUUGUCCGCGAAGUCAAUUACCCGACAUGGGUAGCAAAUGUGGUCCUUGUUAGGAAAAAUCCGACCAAAGAAAGUCUUUCGCUUCAAAAGGUCUUGUGGAGGAUGUGUGUUGACUACACCGACCUAAAACAAAGGGUGUCCGAAAGAUAGUUUCCCUCUUCCUCUUAUUGACAGGCUUAUAGACUCUACGGCAGGGUGUGAGCUCUUGAGCUUUAUGGACGCUUAUUCAGGAUACAACCAAAUCCUCAUGAACCCCUCAGACCAAGAACACACGGCCUUCACUACUGACAGGGGACUAUAUUGCUAUAAAGUCAUGCCUUUCGGCCUAAAGAAUGCAGGAGCAACUUAUCAGAGACUGGUCAAUUCAAUGUUCGCCGAACAAAUUGGGAAGAACAUGGAAGUUUACGUUGAUGAUAUGCUAGUCAAAAGCAAACAUGCUGACCAACACAUCACCAACCUAUCUGAAACUUUCACCAUUCUAAAGAGGUAUCGAAUGAGGUUGAACCCCAACAAAUGUGCCUUCGGCGUGGGCUCUGGCAAAUUCUUAGGCUUCAUGAUUAGCCAACGAGGCAUUGAAGCUAACCCUGAAAAGAUCAAAGCAAUCCUCGACAUGAAAGAGCCAAUAACUUCAAAAGACAUCCAAAGCCUUACUGGCAAGGUGGACGCCUUAACCAGAUUCAUCUCUAAGGCCACAGACAGAUGUGCUCCUUUCUUCAAAGCACUCAAGGGAAAUAAGAAGUACAUUACAUGGACGGAGGAAUGUGCCAAGGCAUUCAGGAACCUCAAAGAGUACAUGAGUAAAGCCCAUCUGCUCUCCAAACCAGAAGUUGGUGACACUCUCAUCAUCUAUCUAUCGGUUUCGGCUUCAGCAGUCAGUUCUGUUCUUAUUCGAAUGGACAGUGGUGUCGAACGGCCCGUCUACUACGCUAGCAAGGCCCUACAAGAUGCGGAGACACGAUACUCCAACAUUGAGAAAUUAGCUCUAGCAUUGGUCAUGUCUGCUCGGAAACUUCGCCCUUAUUUCCAAGCACACGCCAUCAUCGUGCUUACCAAUCACCCUCUUCGACAGAUACUCCAGAGUCCUACACGUCUGGACGAAUGAUCAAAUGGGCGAUAGCAUUGGGUGAGUUUGACAUCUCCUACCAACCAAAACCAGCCGAAAAAGGCCAAGCAGUAGCAGAUUUCAUCGCCGACUUCACAUAUCCUGUUGACAUUGCUUCUACACCUAAAGCAGUAGCUUCAUUACCAUCGAAAGCUCAGAAGAUAGAACCAACAACCCCAGCAUGGAGUCUGUAUGUUGAUGGCUCAUCCAACCAACAAGGCUGUGGAGCGGGACUAGUCUUGACUACGCCCGACAAAGUAGCAAUGGAGUAUGCUCUUCGUUUCAAAUUCAAGGCAUCAAACAAUGAGGCCGAGUAUGAAGCCCUUCUAGCAGGAUUACGUUUGGCCAAACACCUCGGGGUUAAACAAAUUGAUAUUUUCAGUGACUCCCAAUUAGUGGUCAACCAGGUUACCAACAACUUUGAUGCUAAGGACAGCUCCAUGGCAGCAUAUCUUGCGCAAACACAACUUUUGCUCAAACACUUCCACUACCAGAUCACCCAAGUUCCUCGAGCGGCAAACAGUCAUGCAGACGCCCUGGCUCGCCUCGCCUCAGCUGUGGAAGACAAGAUUGGAAGAAAAAUUNCUGGAAGUACUUUUUCUCCAUCCAGGGGUGGUAUCUUUAACCGAUGAAGAUGCACAAGGUAAUGUAUCAAUUUCACUUGAAGCUUAGUUGUAGUUUUGGGCUUGGUCAAGUGCGAUACAAACCCUAUAGUAGGAGUCCCCUAAGUCGCCGAGCUAGGAGAUUUUCGGAAUGAGGUAACAGACAAGGUAAGCAAUCAGACUUCCAAGCAAGCAACCUAGAUCGGAGGUUCGACUUCAGCUUCCGGUUGAUUGUUCUCCUUCUUCUUGUGUUGUAAACAGCAACAAAGAUAAGGAGAAGCAAAUGGAGAAUAAAUGAUAUGAGAUACUUUUGCUUUUGAAGAAGUAACUUUCCACCAGUUUAUUCUUGAACUGGGCUGGAGGGUUUUCUGGUUUCCUCUAGAGUAUAAGGCUGACUCAAGAAUUUAAGGGUCAAAACAAGUCCAUCAAAUCUGGAGUACGUUCGACCCUGAUGAUAUGGGAUACUUUUGUUGUUGACAAAGUAGUGGAUGUAUCGACACGUGUUCUGUUACGCUUGUCUCCACAUGCUUCCUUGUAUCCUUCUCACUUGCCCUAUCUGUUCCUCAGGCAGAUAUGGUAUCUUCUUUGGAAGCAUAAGAUGUUGAAGAUGAGUACUCAAGAGCAAUGCCAGGUAAGUAAUCAGGCAAGGGGUUACAGGCAAUCAGUUUCUAACUGGAAGCUUGAUUCCAAGUGCUGACUGAUUGCUCUCUUUCUCCUUGUCUUACAGGUAAGAACAAGGCCAAAGGAAAAGACAGGGAAAAAGCAUGAUAUGGGAUACUCUUGCUUUUAACCGUGAUGAUAUGAGAUACUCUUGCUCUGGUGUGGCUUGUUUGCAGAGGUAUUAUGGGGAGGAAAAGAAGCUGAGUAUUUCGAGAAACUCUGCUGAGAGUGCCCUCUCGGAUGUGAGGAAAAGUUGAGCAUUUUUUUUUAUUUGCAGGUCUGCCUGGCUAUGGAGGAUGAAGGUCGACAUAUAUAAGAGUCUCCUUAAUAACAAGUAGUAGUGCUAUUCCUUUACCCUUCUUGGUCAUAGCAAUGUAGUGGGAGCUGCAAGCUUCACGUGUUUUAACUUUGUCAGAGCACUUUGAAAAACUGGUAUGUGGUAUCUGAAAAGCUGAUGUUGCGUGUGAAGAUUGCAGACAAGCUUUAUCCAAGGAAAUCUGGCUCUCGAAGUUCGAAAAGCAGUGCCUCUUCGAUUUUUGAACAAGCAAUCCUGUCAGGGAUCUUACUCUCGAGAUUCAGAUAACGGUGCCUCUUCAAUUUUUGAGAAAGCAAUCUUGUUGGGAGUCUGACUCUUGAGAUUCGGAGAACAGUCGAUUUUUUAGAAAGUAAUCUUAUUGGGAGUCUGGCUCUUGAGAUUCGGAGGGUGGUGCCUCUUCGAUGUUUGAGCACGUAAUCCUAUUGGGAGUCUGGCUCUCGAGAUUUGGAGAAUGGUGCAUCUUCGAUUUUUGAGAAAGCAAUCUUGUUGGAAGUCUGACUCUCGAGAUUCGGAGGGCGGUGCCUCUUCAAUUUUUGAGCAAGCAAUCUUAUUGGGAGUGUUUUCUCGAAUGUGAGUAAAGGUUUGACAUUUUUGCCAGUCUGCCUUGCCACGGAGCAUGAAGGUUGACACACAUUGAGACUUUCUAGUUAUCAAGCAGUGGUGUUGUUCCUUUACCUUUGUGGGUAAUAGUAGGGUAGCUGGACCUUCAAAAUUUAUAUGUCUAAACUUUGUCAGAGAUUUUUGGCAAAGUUAUCUGUGGUACCCGAGGAGAUGAUGUUGCAUGUGGAAAGUGGUCUCUAUUCGGAAUCCGGAGAGUGGUGCCUCUUCGAUUUUUGAACCAACGGCCCUGUUGCCUUUUCUUUUAUAAGGGCACCAAUUUGUGCUAGAAGUACAUUUAGAGAGUUAUUGCUUGUAGGAAUUUUCCCCUUACUUCAGAGAUUUAUUGCACCUCAUUUCUCAUUCAUCAUUUCUGAGAAUGUCUGGCUCAUCCGACCAUUGUUUUGACUUGAACUUUGGUGAAGAGGCAGCCAUGCCUUCUUAAGACAACAUAUGACGCCCAUCUUUCUUAUCCCCUACUGGUCCUCUUACCGUUGGGGACUCUAUGAUGAAGAAUGAUAUGACCGCUGCGGUGGUGGCCAGGAACCUUCUCACUCCCAAAGAUAACAGACUACUUUCCAAACGGUCUGAUGAGUUAGCUAUUAAGGAUUAUCUGGCUCAAAGUGUUCAGUGUGCAGGUUCUGUGUCUAAUAUGGCCCAACGCCUAUUUGCUCGAACCCGCCAAGUUGAAUCAUUGGCAGCUGAAGUGAUAAGUUUCAAACAGGAGAUCAAAGGGCUCAAGCAUGAGAAUAAACAGUUACACAUGCUCGCACAUGACUAUGCUACAAACAUGAAGAGGAAGCUCGACCAGCUGCAGGAAUCUAAUGGUCAAAUUUUACUUAAUCAUCAGAGAUUUGUGGGUUUGUUCCAAAGGCAUUUAUUGCCUUCGUCUUCUGGGGCUGUACCGCGUAAUGAAGCUCCAAACGAUCAACAUUUGGUGCCUCAUCUUUCUGGGGUUCUGCCUAGUACUAAGGCUCCGAAUAACCACCCUCUGGUGCCUCCUAAUUCUGGGGCUCUCCCGACUACUGAGACUUCUCCUGAGCAACCUUUGUGAAGGCUCCCUCUUGUUUGUUUAUUUUGAUUCAUGUAUAUGUACAUAUUUGUAACUUAUCGGAGAUAUCAAUAAACAAGCUUUGCUUCAUUUCAACGUAUUAUGUUAAAUACACCAAGGCCUUCUUCAUUAAGUUCUUUGAAUUUUUCCUUUUGUUGAAUCUUGUAUGUUGAAGCUUUAUGAGUGAAGCCUGUAUGUUGAGGUAGUGCUCCCUUAAUUUCCCGAGUGAGGAAAACUGCUUGGUUGGAGACUUGAAAAAAUCCAAGUCACUGAGUGGUCAUGAGACUUCUGAGUAUCAAGGUACAGUAGCAUAUGGUAGGAGUCCCCCAAGUCUCCGGUCAAGAGAGUUGACGAAUAAGGUGUCUUGCUAGUAGCCAAGUUUCCAAAGUAACAAAAUUUCACCAUUUUCCUUUCUAAGUGGCAACCCAAAACUCCGAAUAUAUAUUUAUUUUUUUUUUUCAAAUAAGAGGAGCCUAGGCAAUUUAUUUAUUUAUUUAUUUUUUCAAAUUUUCAAAUUUUUGAAUUUUUGAAUUUCCGAAUAUAUAUAUAUAUAUAUAUAUAUAUAUAUAUAUAUAAAGCUUUGUAGGUGAAGUUUUGAGGUUGAAACUUUGUUGGGUACCAUGAAUUGAUUUUGCUUCACACUAUCUUGUCAAGAUAAUGUGAAGCUUUUGAGAAUUUGUAGUUGUCCUCCAUUGAUGAAGCAAUUUGUAGUUGUCCUCCAUUGAUGAAGCUUUUGUUGGUGAAGCUUUUGUGGUGGGGGAAGCUUUUGUGGGAGAAGCUUUUGUGGUGUGAGACUUUUGUGAGUGAAGCUUUUGUUGGUGAAGCUUUUAUGGGUGAAUCUUUUGUAGGUGAAGCUUUUGUGGUGGGUGAAGCUUUUGUGGGUGAAGCUUUUGUGGUGGGUGAAGCUUUUGUGGGUGAAGCUUUUGUUGGUGAAGCUUUUAUGGGUGAAGCUUUUGUAGGUGAAGCUAUUGUGGGUGAAGCUUUUGUAGGUGAAGUUUUUGUGGUGGGCGAAGCUUUUGUGGUGGGUGAAGCUUUUAUGGGUGAAGCUUUUGUAGGUGAAUGAUGAUGCACAAAAUCAGUGAGGACUUUGGUACAACAGAAAGUGUUAAGUUUGUGACAUUCGCUAGAUUGCUCCGGUUACUAGUGUGGAUAAGUAUGUAAAUGGAUAUGGACAGGGAAGCAAACACAAGAUAUACGUGGUUCACCCAGAUUGGCUACGUCCACGGAGUAGAGGAGUUCUCAUUAAUUGUGAAGGGUUUACACAAGUACAUAGGUUCAGGCUCUCAUUUUGUGAGUACUAGUGAAUGGUUUAGUACAAAUGACAUUAGGAAAUAUUGUGAGAGAAUGAUCUCUAUUUAUAGAAGAGAGUUUCUAGUUUCAUUCUGACAUUGACAAGUGUCGUGUUGUGAUUAGCUUCAGAUGUUGACACGUGUCGCGCUAUGAUUGGCUUCUGAUGUCGACACGCGUCGAGCUGUGAUUGGCCUCCUGGUUGGAGGGAAACUCUUCUGAGUCCUUGACUGUAUAACGUUGACCGGUGCUCAGUAGUUUCGGGGAUUGGUCAAGUAUGGUACAAACAUACUUUAAUCUUCUCCCGGGUCCCCAAUUACAACAAAAAUCAGAAUUGUAUAAAUAUUAAGAACACAAUGAAACUGAAAAAAUUAUAUGGUUCUGGAAGGUAUACAAAAAGUUUCCCCUUCUUUCGUCUUAAAUUUGUUUUGCAGCUUUAUUUCGGCUCAAGUUUCAUUUUCUUUCGUCUAGGAAAUUUUUAUAGCCUGAAAUUUCAAUGGAACUGAAAUAGGGAGAGGAGGACAACCCAAAUUUCUGAAUGAUCCCACUGCUUCUGGUGUACGAAGAUAUGAAGAUUUGCCAAUUGAUGAACACAGAGGAGAAACAGAUUUACCUUCUUUCGAUUUAACCACCUUGGUAGCAGCCACAGAAAACUUCUCUUAUGCUAACAUGCUUGGCCAUGGCGGCUUCGGCAUGGUAUAUAAGGUACUUCCCCUAGAACAUUUUGAGAUCUGUGCAUUAUGUGGCUUCGGCAUCUCUGUUGUCAUUAAGAUUUUCGAGUCUGCACCAUGAUUUCAGGGAUGUCUAGCUGAUGGACAAGAAAUAGCUGUUAAAAGAUUAUCGAGAAAUUCAGGACAAGGCAUAGACGAAUUCAAGAACGAAGUAAUGCUUAUUGCAAAGCUUCAGCAUAGAAAUCUUGUGAGGCUUUUGGGUUGCUGCAUACAUAAAGAAGAGAUGAUGCUAAUCUAUGAAUACAUGCCAAAUCGUAGCUUCGACUUAUGCAUUUUUGGUAUGCCAUCUUUACACACUGCUAUUAAAUACUUUAAGUUUUCUGACAUAAACCCUGAAAUUAAGAAAUCAUAAACUUGUAGAUAAUAGAAGCUUUUAUGUGUGGUGUUCAGAUAAAAACGGAAAUUCGUCGUUAGAUUGGAGAAAAAGGUUUCAAAUUAUCAUUGGGAUUGCUCGAGGCGUCCUAUAUCUUCAUCAAGAUUCGAGACUAAAAAUAAUCCACAGGGAUUUGAAAGCGGGCAAUGUUUUACUCGAUGGUUCAAUGAACCCAAAAAUAUCAAAUUUUGGCAUAGCAAGAAUGUUCGGGGAUGACCAAAUUGAAGCAAACACGAACAAAGUUGUUGGCACCUAGUAAUUGUCUCAUCUCCCUUGAAAAAAAAAAUUCAAGUAGAACCAAUAUUUUUUUUUACUCAUAUUGUGUAAUUGCAGCGGUUACAUGUCACCGGAGUAUGCUAUGGAUGGGCUAUAUUCCACAAAAUCCGAUGUGUUUAGCUUCAGAGUCUUGACACUAGAGAUCAUUAGUGGAAGGAAGAAUACCUUCCAAUUUGAAAACUCAUCUCUAAAUCUAGUUGGACUAGUAAGUAAACAGAUAAUUUUUCAACCGAUGAAUCUAACUUUCGAGUAGUCCAAUGAUCUAAACUUUGUGCUCAAAAUUGUUUCAGAUAUGGGGCUUGUGGACAAAAGGAAAAGUCUUGGACAUAAUUGAUUCAUCAUUGAACCAGUCGUAUUCGACUCCUGAAGUUAUGAGAUGCAUUCAGAUUGGGCUCUUGUGCGUUCAAGAAUACCCAACAGACCGGCCAACCAUGCUAGAUGUUGUGUUCAUGUUGGGGAAUGAAACUACUCUUCCACGUCCGAAAAAGGCAGCAUUUAGCUUGAAAAACAGUGGUCCGGAUUGUUCAACGUCUAAAGAAGCUCCUUCUGUAAAUGAUGUAACAGUAGCAGUUAUUGAAGCUCGUUGAGUUUGCACUUUGCCAGUUCUUGUAGAGAUUUUGUGUUACUUCUCAAGUAUUUGUACUCAAAUCGAGAUUCCUUGUGUAGAGAAGGCAAUGCCUUUGAAAUUGUCGAUUCAUCUCUGGACGGAUCGUACCCUAUCAACGAAGUUGUGAGAUGUAUCUAAAUUGCCCUCUUAUGUGUGCAAGAGUAUUUUGGAUAUUAUACUUUAAUCCAACGGCUAAUAGGUCACUAUAGUUAUGGAAUGUAAGUAGGAUUAGAGUUUAACUUGGACUCCAAGUAAAGAUAAUAUUCCGGUUAUUCUUGAAGAAUAAGAGUUCUUGAUACUAUCCUAUUUGGAUUGAGGUUUGGUAGAUUAUUUGUUUGUACAAUAAGGCAUCCUAAUGACAUCAGAACAGAAUCCUAAUGACAUCAUUAUGGGAUUAUGCAUUCAGUUUUUUUUUUUUUUUUUUUGAAUAAACAAUAUUAUUUACACUAAGAGGUUGGGAGUAGGGUAAGCCUCAAAAUGGGGUUCAAAUUCACCUUUGACAAUAAUCAAACCUUAAACCUCUCAAUUACCAGUGAAGAUCGGAAUAUUACUAAACCGUAGUAAGUGACGAGAGAAUGCAUUAGGGUUAAGUUAGUAUAAAUGCUAAACAUAGGUCCCUGCACAUACCUCUGAAACACAACUCAAAAGAAUUCCCCAUAGGUUUGAGGUAUACUGACACGCCCCAACCCAAAUAUCCUAAUGAUACCUGCAUGGCACGUGCUGACCGACACUCGGAAGUGACGAAAGCCAUAAUUCCAUACAAGCACAAGAAAAUAUCAGCACCUGAAGAUCAAAAAUAAUAAACAAUAACAAGAUCCUGAAUUAAACAUAAGGGUAUCGGAAAGUUCAAUGAUCAUAGAUUCGAAACAAAAGAAAUACAAAUAUGUCCAGAGCAUACUACUACACGGAACUACAAGUGCAAAUAAGAAUUCAGAUUACAAUUCAGCAAGAAAAUCAUACCCAAAUGGAAGAGCUCAAAGUCACUGGUAGGGAAAUACCUCGACACUCGGGUCGUACUCCUCGUCACAAGGUCCUAAGUGGGCACAAAACAGAAAAGGUGAGUGGACCAUAGUUAUAUUUAUACUAAUACUAUUCAAACCCAAAUUCUUUCUUAACAUAAUAACCCCCUGCUUUGAAAACAGAUAUAAUACUACGUAUAGGUUUUUCUAAAACUCUAGCAUGCUAGAAAAGUUUGUAACCAUAAAAUCAUCUCUAAAACAUGCAUCUCGAAAUGCCCGAAGGCAAAACCAUAAAUCCCAUCAAAGUUGUAUUCUCUAGGGGUAUCAUAGUCGCCCGAAGGCAGUACCUGUCCAUCGUCCGAAAGCGAAGCUGUACGACACUGGGUUACGUCAGUCAAGAAACAUGGUAGGCCCCAUCACCCGAAGGUGAAGCUAUACUACUCCGGGUUACGCUGGAGAAUAAACUCUAUAACAUCUCACAUUGACACUAGUUGUGACUAGUGAAGCUGUCCGACACUGCUUUUGGCAAUGAAACUAGGGGUAUAACAUAUAUCCCACUCCUCCUCAUCACAGUGUCCUAUGACCAUAGACAUCUAAUACCCGUGUUGUGUGGAUGUGUUGUAUGAUAACUCACUAGAUAUAUAUACCCAAAAUAUAACUCAAAUCUCAAAGCUCAAGUCAACAACUCAAAUCAUUCUCAUAAACCACAAAUCCAUAAUAUAUCAUAAAUCCGCAAUAUCUCAUAAGGCAUAAAAGAAAUAGUCGUAAACCUUUUCUAAGUGUGAAAUCAAUAGUUAUAACAUUUCAUAAAAUGUAAUUUAAAUAAAUCAUAAUAUAGAAAUUCGUAAAGCAAAGUAUAAUAUAAAACGUAUUCAAAUCAGGUAAUAUGAAUUUGCAUGCUAGAUGGUUAAUUAUAAAAUAUACAUUUGAUAAGGGGUCCACUCACAAGUACUCCGCUCUCGGGGAGCUGCUCGAAUUAGGGAGAACUGGAUCAUCUUCCAUCGGUGCACCUAUACACAAAAUAGAGACUAUUUAAUAAAACGCUAAAGCGAUUGAAUUUGUGAAAACGGAGUGUAGAUUUGGAAUCAGAAUGUCGAAAUUAGUCUAGAAGGGUCCCGAUCGAAAAACUCGAAAAAGUCGACGGUCAACGUUGACCAUAAAGUCAACGGUCAAUGGGUCACAGUCAACGGGUCAAAUGGGUUGGACAUGUUUGGUUGGGUUGGGCCGAGGGUCUUUGGGCCGGGUUAAGUAAAAGGACUUGGGCCUAUUUUAAUUUUAAGUUUUGGGCUUAUGCUAUGAAAUAAAAGGGCGGGCUUAGCCCGUUGUGGGCUAAAUCAUUUGGGCUCUGGGCUGAGUUGGCAUGCGGGUUGGGACGACACGAGUUACUCGUGGGUCACCGGACCCAUCGAAAGAGAACACCGGCUUUUUGGCCGGAAAUUCUCCCAACUUCGAUCUGGGGUUAAACUUGCUGAAAAAUCACAAUUCAAACAUUAAACAAUGAUGCUGGAACCUGUCGGGUCAGAAUUGGCUUGACCGUGUCAGAAUUGGCCGGGAUUCGUCACGAAACCCGUCGGGUUUCCUCGCCGGAUUCUGGAAAAAGGAAACAGAGUGCAUGCAUAAUAAAUCUCAAUGAUCUUCCACCAAAAUUCACAUGCAACAAGGUAUCUAGUGACCUAGGGUCGUGUCCAAUUGAUUUCGAUUGUCAACACCCUCAAAAUCGCCGGAAAAAACCACGGGUUCACCGUCGACAUCUGAGACCAAAAGAGUAGGUGCAUGCAGAGAGUUAAACCCCAGAUUUUUCCACAUAAUACUCGUCUAGAUGGAUUAGAAACCAACACAACCAAGAAGGAAAAAUAGUUCAUACCUGCGAUGACAAUUCAAGAGAGUUCAAGCUCUCAGUGUCAAUGGCAGAGUACGUAAAAGUGCACAGAUGCCACAUGCAACCUUACAGGUGAGUUCCCUAGGUCCUAAAGAUUCGAAGUUCAAGUUUCUAGAAGUUGGUUUGGUCCUUCUCGGAUAUAGAGAGUGAAUGCAGAAAAGAAUUAGGAAGAAGAGAGAGUGUUCAGAUAGUGGGGGAUCACGGGAGAGGGAAGGAAUAAUGGGUUGGGUUUUGGGCUUGUCACAGCCCAAAGAACUGGACCAAUUUGAUAAAACCCAACACAUGGGCAAAUUCGUAAUUUUACACUUAAAUUUUUACGGUGGGUUGUUACUAGGGAUGGGCAAAAUACCUAUGGGUUUGGGUAACCACGGUUAUCCGUCCAUUUAAAGCUCACGGUUAUGGUUAUGGGUAACUGUUUGGAUGAAUAAACGGUUAUGGGCAUAACUGUUUAUCCGUGAAAUUUAAAUGGGCGAUUAUGGGUAUUACCCACGGUUAUAACGGGUAUCCAUCAGUUAUGGUUAUUACCCGCGGUUAUAACGGAUAUCCAUUUACCCAUUUAAUUUAAUAUAUGUAAAAUUAAAAAAAAAAGUAAAAACCCUAAAUUUUCAAUCUUUUCAUGAAACUCAGAGUCUUAAACGCCCCGUCCCCGCUCAUCUCUCCCUCCUUGCUGCCCUCUCUCUCAUCUCCGAACCGAUCCCAAAAGUUUCGGCUUGCGAUUCGGCCACAUCUUUAAAAGUGUUCGGUAAUCCCGAACCAACCGAAUAUUUUAUAUAUAUAUAUAUAUAUAUAUAUAACAUAGGCAUAUAUAAAAUUAGAAGGCAUACAUGAUACUGAAGCAGAAAACUAUAUAUUAUAUAUAUGUAACAUAGGCAUAUAUAAAAUUAGAAGACAUACAUGAUACUGAAGCAGUAAACAAAAUGUUAAAAGGGAUUUCGGGUUUAAUACAGCUCUUCCAAGCAACUCUGCCCUCUCUCUCGCUUAUGUCGCCCUCUUCUGAUUCCUCACAUUGUACGAUUCAUACCUAUCAAAACUAUCUUUCAAAGACUGAGACUAUAACGGUGUUUAAUUGUCAGAAAAUAAAAAUUAUGACAAAUUUUUCUUUUAUAAUUUUCAAGUUGUUAAAAAAAAAACAUGUAGAGGGUGAAAAAAGGGUAAAUGGGUGAAAAAGGAUAAACGGGUUCAAAAAUAGGUAAACAGGUAAACGGUUAUGGUUAAAUAGGUAAACGGUUAUGGGUAUGGUUAAUUGUUUAUAAACGGUUAUGAGUAUGAGUAUAAUCGUUUAUGUAAUUACCCAACAGGUAAACGAUUAUGGGGGUAUGAAUAUAAACGGUUAUGGGUAAAUAACCGCGGUUACCCGCCCGCCAUAACCGUUGCCCAUCCUUAGUUGUUACCUAUACAAUGGUGGUGAGUGUGCAAAAGGCCUUGCUUGUGUUCUUAGUGUGUUCGUGUGCUUGCUGCAGUUCGUGGCUUGCUCUGCUGUCGAAAAUGGUUUCUCCAGGCUAGUAUUUUCAUGCUGUUUUUAUUCACAUGCACAUAUUAGGAUUUACAGAGUAUGCAACUGAGCGAGCGGCCAACAAUGUCGGCUGUCAUUUUCAUGCUAUGUAAUGAAGCAGUAGCUUCUUCAAUAAAACAACCAGCAUUUUUAUUAGAGUUGUAACAGUGGGGACCCAUCACCACAGUAUUGAAGGAGAUAAUUCUGUAAAUGAUGUGACUUGUAGUAGCGUAGAACCUCGCUAAACUUAAAACUCCUGAGAUAUUCCUAAACGUUGUAUGUUAAACUACUAUUGGUAGCAGCUUGUAAAAGGUUAUUAACCACAAAAAUUUUGCUUCUAAUAAGUAGUUCCAAUUUUCUUUCUAGUGCAUUGACAUGCGGGACGUCAGAAUUAUUGGUCUCGAUUGUGACGUAAUUGAAGAGAAAUUGUACUAGUCUACUUGGCUAGUUCUUUAAAUUAUGUGACAUGUACUAUUGUGGAGGCUUAGCUAACAUAAAAUUUGGCACAAAAUUGAGCUUAAUGAUGUUCUAAAAUUCAUACAGCGCCGACCUCAUUUAAUGAGAUAAGACUUUAUUGUUGUUGUUUGUACUAUGGAUGAUGCUUGAUUUCUAACAGCCUUGGAUUUGAAAUGUAAAUCCGUCCUCUACAUAUGACACAUUCACAUUUAUUAGAGUUUAAGAAUGAGAGAUUUGUGUUAAUCAAACUUCAUGUACAGGAAAGAAGAUGUUGAUCAGUGAUGCUUUAAUGCCAAAUAAAUAAUCCUAGGACUUUUCAAAUUGGUUUACCAUUAUUUAUUUUAUUACGGAUCGCUUUUACCAUAGUAUCCAUUACUAAAUUACUAAUCACAUCUUAGCAUUCAGGCCAGCCCUGAGGGUAGCCGAGGUAGGCCGCCUAGUGCCCCCAAGUUCGGGGGGCCCCCAAAUUUUUUUAUACAUCCUGCAUAUAAAAUAUAAAUAAAGAAAACGUAAGAAACACCACAAUUAUUUUGUUGGUGCAGUGGAAACGGUUCCACUCUGUUUUCAUUGAGGUGGGCAGUUCGAAACACCUUGUAGGUAUUAGUUUUUGCGUUUUUCAAAUCUAUGAAAUUAAAGAUUAAAAUUAAAGAUAAAUUGCUCUUUAAAAAUUGUAAAAUUACAAGAAUCAAAAGGAGUUAAAAUAAUUCAACAAAUAUUAAUUUUGAAUGAAUUUAAAAUUUUCAACUUUAGAAAAAAAAAAAAAAAAAACCUCAUGGUAGUGAGUGGUUUAUGUUUAAAUUCUUAUUUAUUUUCAAAAAUAUUUUAAAUAAAAAUUGUAUAAAUAGAAAAAACUUGAGUUUCUUAAAUAAAAAACAUACAAAGGCCAAUUGUAAGAAGCUAGUGAAAUUAAUGGCCUCAAUUUGUCCAAAUGCAUUUUUUUUUCUUUUGCUUUUGAAAAUAACCUAAAAAAAAUAACAAAAACCAGAAUAAUCAUAACUUUGUAAUCCUUUUUCUUUCAACUUUCCAGUCUUUCUAUUUCUGUUGAAUGUUUAAGCAACUAUCACUUGGUCCUGAAGAUUGUAAUUUGAGGUAACCAUAACUUUGAAUUUAAAUUUUCUUUUUCAAUAAUUUAUUGUUAAACUAGGUUAUUCUAAAAUUUGAUUUGCUAGUGUGUGUUGAUUUUAGAAAGAACACAAGAGAACCACUAGGCGUUGUUGAAUUAUUAUAUUCGUCAAUCAAGUUUUAUUGUUUUUUACUCUCUUGAUCAUCAAGUUUUAUUGCUCUUCACUCUCAAUCUUAGUGCAUUUGCGUCUAAAGACAUGUGACAUGGAAUAUUAAGUAAUGUUAGUAUAUAUUUUUUUUUUCUUUUGAUAUUAAUUUAUAAUGAUAUUGGAUAAGCUCAUAUUUAUAUAUAUUUUACAUCAAAUUCACUUGUCUUUUCUUAGUUAGUUCCUUAUAUUUUUGAGCUAUUUACAUUGUUUUUGUGUUUUGUGGGAUUUGUCAAGCCAAGAAAAGAAAAAUAGCACAAAUAGGAUUUUUAGUAACAAAUUCGUCAAAACUGCCUGUGCAGAUCAGCUGACUUUGGAAGCAAGUUGCGAACAGCUCAGAAUGAAUUAGAGAAUGAGCCUUAUAUGCUUGGAAAUCUACGGAUGUCUAUUUUCUGGAGCAUUUCGCAGAUUGUUAAUAUCAUUUUUGUAGAAGAAGUUAUGGCCAUUUUAACACUAAAAGGUUCACAAGAGACUGAGCAGUUUGUAACUACAAUGAAAGCAAUAAACCCAAUAAGUCUAACAUCCAAAACUGAUGCAGCCAAGAACAAGUCAGCUGAUACCUAUUCAAAUAUCAGGGGAAAUGGAAAUAAAGAUGAGAAUUAAGUGGGAGUAAUGGGCAUAAAGGCUACCCAAAGAGUUACAAUUGUUUUACCAUUUCCUCUCACUUAUGGUCAUCACUAAAUGAUUGUUAGUGGGGUGAGUGAUGGAAAACAAAACUGGGAUAUCAAGCAAGAACAAAAAGGUGCAGGUUGCAGCUGCAAAGUGGGGGGGGGGGAAUAGGAGAAGAAAAAAGAAAAGAAAAGAAAGAGGACAAGGCAGCAGUGUUGGGGAAGGAAAGGAAGGAGGAAAUCUUGACAUUCUCUUCUCUCGGUUUUAUCUUCUCAAACUCAUGUCUUUCUUUUGGUUUUAUUUGAUAAUAAUGUGUAACUAAAUUCUUAGUAGUUAGGGGCUGUUUUGAAGCCCCAAAUAUGAUUACAAGUUUGUUAUGACAUUUUGUUUGAAUUACUUUUAUGAAUGGAUGAAAAUUGAUUCACUACUUGUCUCAUUGAUGAAUUAUUUAUGUGUUUUCUACGGAUGCAUACUUAGUAAGCAUAUCUAGGAUUCUAAAGCUAUGAAUAUGUAUGUGCCUGCCCUUGUCGAAUGAGAACCUACAUAUGUUCUAGAGUAGUACUUGUCAAUUGCGAUUAACAUGUGAACUAAUUUCUAGGAUAAGUAAGACAACGUCAGUACUUACGAUGCCAUUCUAGAUUGCAUGCUAGGGACUAAGUUAAGUUGAAAACGUCAUUCUCUUAACAUACUACAUAAGAAAGAGUAAUUUCGUAGAAUUUAGGUAAGUGUAAGUUGGUCUAAUAAUUAUUUUUCGGUGGCUGGUCAGUAGGGACAGCAACUAGUUUACCCUUAUUUUCAUAUGCUACAAUUGACAAAUCUUAGUGUUAAUGAGGAAAAUCAAUAAGACAUUUGUGUGCUAUUUUAUGGUGUGCUUUUAAUCCUAUCAAUAUUCGAUGAAGAAAUAUACUUUUUAUGUAAUUAGCGAAUUCUUCUUACUACAUACCAAUAUACAAAGAGUCGGAGGUCCGAGAACUUUAGGGCCCCACUUUGAAGACUCGCCUAGGGCCCCCAAAUUCUCAGGGCCGGCCCUGCUAGCAUCUUACCACCUUCUAGCACAUUUAUUAGGUGUUAGAUUUUAUCACAAAAAUUAAAAACAAAACCAUUCAUUGUAUUUUGUAAUUUAUUUUACCAAUUUUUCGACAUGAGAUAUUUUUGCAUUCUUCAACAGCGUGCACAUCUCUCAACCUAGUCGCUACGGGUAGCACUUAAACUCCUCAAUGAGAAAGCUAACCAUGAAUCCUACUAAUUUUUUUUGUCAAUAUUGUGUUGCUCAUCUUCCUUGUGAUUCUUCCCUCUUCCAUUUCGGCUGCUCUAGACGCCAUUACACCAAACCAACCCCUAAGAGAGGGCGACGUUCUUCUCUCCACCACUAAAAUCUUUGCACUAGGGUUUUUUAAAGCCAAGCAAUUCUCAUAACCGUUACGUCGGAGUUUGGUAAAACAAAAUUCCAAUCAAAACUGUUGUCUAGGUUGCAAACAGAGAAAACCCCAUAAUUCCCCUAUUGCUGGAACUGGACGCGCCCUAUAUUAGAAAAGUAUUCUCAUUGAAUGAAUAAUUAGAGUACAUUUGGUAUUUAUACAAAGAGCUAUAUUUGACAGCUCAUCAAAACUAACCUAUAACUAUCUAAUAACAAACUAACUUUCCAAUGACUAAUUACAACAGAAAUCACUAACUAUCCAAUGACUAAUUACAACAAAAUCAAGAUAAACAAUUAUCCUUAAUAUGCCCCCUCAAACUGAACUUGGGCAACCGAAGUGAUAGUUUGUCUUAAGCAACAGAAAACGAGACUUGGACAGAGAUUUAGUACAUAUAUCUGCAAUUUGAUCAUGUGAACAUACAAACUGAACAGUUACAGCUUUAGAGAGAACUUUUUCCCUGAUAAAAUGAUAGUCAAUCUCCACAUGUUUAGUCCUUGCAUGAAAUAAAGGAUUUUUUGCUAAGGAAAUCGCAGAAAUGUUAUCACACCACAAUUUUGGUGGAUAUGGAAGAGAUAGACCAACAUCAACAAGCAAUUUACAAAGCCAUGAAAGCUUAGCAGCAGUGUUAGCAAGAGAUCGAUACUCUGCUUCAGUGGAUGAGCGAGCCACUGUUGGUUGCUUUUUAGCACUCCAACUAAUAAGAGAGUUUCCAAGAAAUAUGCAAUAACCUCCAGUUGAUCUUCGGUCCAAGGCUUACCCUGCCCAAUCAUCAUCUGAAAAGGCAUUUGUAAUGAGUGAAGAUGAUGUUUUUGGAAACCAUAGUCCCAAAUCAAGAGUGCCCUUCAAGUAUCUCAAUAUUCUUUUAACUGCCUGCAAGUGAGACUGUCUGGGUUGAUGCAUAAGCUGACAGACCAAGUUAACAGCAAAGGAUAGAUCAGGUCGAGACCAAGUAAGGUAUUGUAACCUUCCUACAAUUGAUUUGUACUCAUCUGGAUGAGAGAGCAAUGGAGAAGAGUGGUCAAGUUUUGAUGUACUGAGAGGUGUUGCACAUGGUUUUGCACCAGCCAUGUUGGUCUUGGUAAGUAGAUCAAGAAUAUACUUGGGUUGUGAGAUAAAAAUACCAGAUAAUGACCUUUUAACCUCAAUUCCAAGAAAGAAAUGAAGAGGACCCAAGUCCUUGAUUGGAAAUAGAGAACUCAGUUGAGCUAUUGUGUCUUUGCAAGCCUGUGAAGAGGGACCCGUGACCAAGAUGUCAUCAAUAUAGACUAGGAUAAAAACCAGAGAAGGUUCAUUCUUGACAAAAAGAGAAUGAUCAUUAUGUUAUCCAUGAAAUCUCAUUGAUUUAAGUGCACCAUGAAGCCUCUCAUACCAGGCGCGAGGAGCCUGCUUUAGUCCAUAAAGACUCUUGUGAAGUUUGCAAACAUAGUGGGGCUUUGUAGGAUCUUGAAAACCAUAUGGUUGCUGCAUAAACACAUUCUCAGAUAGAUUACCAUGUAAAAAGGCAUUACUAACAUCAAACUGAUUGAGAAACUAAUCAUACUGAGAUGCUAGUGUGAGAAGAAGCCUGAUGGUUACUGGUUUAGCCACAUGGUUGAAUGUUUCUGUAUAAUCUAAACCCUCAUGUUAAUGAAAACCCUUGGCUACUAAACGAGCCUUGUAUCUGUCAAUAGUGCCAUCAGCUUUCCUUUUAAUACGGAACACUCAUUUACAACCAACAUGAUUAUGAGAAGGAUGUGGGGGAACAAGAAACCAAGUGCCUAUGUGAACCAGGACAUUAAAUUCCUCUUGCAUAUCUUGUCUCCAGUGAGGAUGUUUUGAAGCUUGGAGAUAAGUAGCAGGAAGAUUAUCUGCAGAAAUUUGGGAAGGAAGAGGGUGUUUGGUAGCUGAAUAGGCUUUUGGUUUAAAAAUGUUGGAUUUUGAUCUUGUUUGCAUAGGAUGAGUGUUUAAAGGUGGGGUUGGUGAUAUGUGUGAGGAAUGAGGAGAGACAGGGUGAGGAGAAUGAGGGAGAGGAGGUGAAAAAGUUGAAGUAGAAAAAGGUGCAUAUUGAUUUAGGUUGAUUACAAGUUGCAUAGGAUAAGAUGCUGCAGGGAAUUUGGUGAAGGUAAGAGUUGAAGGUAUGGGAGAGGAAAAGAUUGAGGCUGAGGAUGAAGAAGAUGAAACUGGAGAAACUUGAUGAAAUGGGAAAGUCAGCUCAUCAAAGAUGACAUGCCUUGAAAUAUAAAUCUUGUUGGAUUGAAGAUCAAGACAUCUAUAGCCAUUGUGAUUGAGACUAAAGCCAAGAAAGACACAGGGCUUGCUUUUGGGUUCAAGUUUGGAAGCUACAUAAGGUUUUAGCCAAGGAAAACACCUGCACCCAAACACUUUACGUGUUGUAUAAUCUGGAGGCUUGCUGAAAAGUUGUUCCCAAGGACAGGAUCUAGACAUAGUAGGCAACCUGUUUAUGAGAUAAAAUGCUGUGGAGAAUGCUUCAACCUAGUAAACAUGAGGAACAUGAGAAGCAGCUAAAAGUGUGCGAGCAACUUAUACUAAAUGUCUAUGCUUGCGCUCCACACAGUCAUUUUGUUUUGGUGUGUGAGGGCAUGAGAGUUGAUGAUGAAUGCCAUUGUCUUUAAGAUAUUGAAUAAACACGGAACUAAGAAAUUCACCAUCAGAGUUAGAUCGUAAAGUGACAACUUUAGUAUUUAACAAAGAUUCGACAAGAACUUUGAAUUCAACAAAGGUUUUAAAGACCUCAGAUUUACAUUUGAUCGGAAAGAACCAGUUAUAUCGACUGAAAUCAUCCACUAUAAAAAGAUAAAACCGAUAACCAGAUACAGAGAGAAAUGGAGCUGGACCCCAAACAUCUGCAUGUAAAAGUUCCAAAGGUCUAGUGGUAACACUAGAAGCUGAUACAAAUGGCAGUUUUGAACUUUUACCCAAUGCACAAUUUGAACAGAAGGUUUUAUUCAUAAUAGUAGUGAGAGGAAUACUAGACUUAGACACAAGUUUAUGUAAAACUUUGAAAGAGAGAUGACCCAAUCUUUGACGCCAAAUCUCUGGAGAAGCUUUGAUAGUAGCUGCAAAAUCUUAUGUGAACCAUCAUUGACAGAUGUAAUGAAUGGAUAAAAUCCAUUUUGCACAGGUCCUUUAAAAAGCGUCCUCUUCGAAAUAUGAUCCUUCACAGCGAAGUGAAAAUGAUAUAGGCGAAUUGAACACCAAUUAUCAAGUGUAAAUUUAUUUGCAGAGAGUAAAUCUUGCUUCAAAUCAGGCACAUGUAACACAUCAUGCAAAUCAAAACGAUGAUGAGGAGUAGAUAUAGAGGUAGAACCAGAAUUAGAUAUAGGCAAACCUUCACCAAUGUAGACUUGUUCAGGGCCGGUGUAUGGUGCUGGAUUUUGAAGAUUCGCCAGAGAACUUGUCAUAUGUGAGCUAGCUUCUGAAUCAAGAAGCCAGGAAUGAGAAGUACUCUGUGAAGGAUUAGCACACAUAGCCAUCUAAGAAUGUCGAUUGCCAAACUGAGGAUUCAUACAAUGAGGGCAAUCAUAGGCUUCAUGAUUAUACUGACGACAUAUUUGACAAGUUGAUAUUCUGCCACUGAAAUUAAAGCCCGAGCGACCUCCACAAUUGUUCCUCUGAGUAUAGCGAGAGUAAUUUGGACGCUGACUGUUACCACAAUAACCGGAGAAAUUGCCCUUAUUUUGAGAAUUCCUAGGGUUAGACAAAAUGCGAGCUUGAGAACAACCUUGAUACUGAUUAAACUAAGAUGAAUUCUGAGCAAGAAAGGCCUGAGAGCCAGUAUUGGAAGUCGGUGUAGGAAGAAUGCCAGAGGAUAAUGCAAGAUUCGAAUUGAGGCCUGAAAAACGCCAGAGGAUGUAGUAGCUUUCUUGCGAGUGGUAAGCUGAAUUUCUUUACUUAGAAGUAAGCCAUGUAACUCAUCAAGUGUUGUAGAGCCAAGACGGAAUUGGAUCGCAUCAACAAAGGAAUCAUACUCCGGCGGCAGGCUAUGAAGAGUUAUAGAAAUCAGAUCAGAGUCUUCAGUCGGAGCUUCGGCGCUGGCAAGAGCAUCAGCAAUGUCUUCAAUUUGUUGAAGAUAAGCAAAGGCGGUGGAAUCACCUUUUGAAAUAUUAUGAAGACGAGAUCGGAGUUCAUGAAUAUGUGAUUGAGAAGCUGCUGCAAGGCACGAUUCAAGCUUAGACCAUAGCUCUCGAGAGGAAUUUACACCCAUAGUAUAGGGAAUUAGGGAUUCAGAAAGUGUAGAGUUGAUCCAUAUGAGAAUAUUUUGAUCAUUCGCAUACCAAGAAACAUAGUCAGGGUUGAAAUUGCGAUUACCGGAAGAAUCAAGAAGAAAUUGAGGCGGUGCCGCCAUAGAUCCAUCAAUGAGACCGGUAAGAUUGUAGCGACGGAAGAUUGGGGCAAAGAGAGCACUCCAGGUCAAGUAAUUUGUAGUGGUGAGCUUGAUUGGCACCAUAGAUCCGAUGUUUUGGAUCAUAAUGGAGGUAGAAGAGAAGAAUUAGGGUUUGAGGAAGAAGUCGGAAUGGGAUGAACAUGUGUAGCCGAUUCCGACGAAGGAUACGCCAUGGCUGAAUUGAUGAGAGAAACUUGAAGAGAUCAAACGCGAUCGAGAAAUCGAUCAGAGAAUCAGAGAAUCAGAAAAGAGAAAAAUUGUAGGGAGAAGCGAGAAGGAUUGGAUCGAAGAGGGAGAAGUCAAAAGACAAAGGCAGGUGAUACCAUAUUAGAAAAGUAUUCUCAUUGAAUGAAUAAUUAUAGUACAUUUGGUAUUUAUACAGAGAGCUAUAUUUGAUAGCUCAUCAAAACUAACCUAUAACUAUCCAAUACCAAACUAACUGUCCAAUGACUAAUUACAACAUAAAUCACUAACUAUCCAAUGACUAAUUACAACAAAAUCAAGAUAAACAACUAUCCUUAAUACCCUAGCCAUUCAUGGAGAUCAUGGUGGCCUUGUCAUAUAUGGGGAGGACCAAAAUACCCCUUUCUGGUCCGCUAAUGUCACCGUCUCUUCUCCAAACAAAUUCGUGGUAGCCAAGCUUUUGGAUACGGGCUGGACAGGCAGUCCGGGCUAAACCGGUUCCCCACAUCUUGGAAGUCCCAAAAUGACCCGGGAACGGGCAACUGUUAGUACCGGAUAGAGUCAAGUGAGAGUCCACAGCAGUUCUUAUGCAAGGGUCAGACUCCAUUAUGGGGGGCAGUGGCGAAGCUACGUGAGGACGAGGAGUGGCAGCCGCCCCUCCCCUCGCCGGAAAUCAAGCACAGGAGCGGCGAUUCCGCCCCUCCGAUCUCGUCGGAAGUGAUGAAAUUCCGUUUGGUUUUCUGGCCUUUUGGGUUUCCCUGUUCUAUCACAGCACAGGCUGAUCACGGGCUCUCUUUUUUUUUCCAAAAAAAAAAACCUAGGCCAAAGAAAUGAGGAAUGAAGAUCUGCAUUUAGCAGCUUCUGGAUAUUGGAAAUGUUCUGGUUUGGUUCUAACGAAGAAGAGGAGAAAGGAAGAAGAGAGAGACUCUCUCUCUCCCAUCCCACCCCACGUGACCUUUACAAUUUGUUUUUUUUUUAAAUAUUGGCCAACCAAUAUGCGCCACCUAACCUGCUUUUGUUGAUUUAUAUUGGAAUUUAUUUUAUUUUUUAAUUAUUGUCCAAUUAAUUUGACCAAUCUUUCAAUAUUUAUUAAACCACUUGUUUGACACUGUUAUUUAUCUUAAAAUUCACUAUAAUUUAUACGAGCUUCAAAAAAUAAUUUGUAAAAUAUUAAAAACUUGUAAUUAUGUUUUUUCUUCUCUUACCAUCAAAUUCAACAAAGUAAUGAAGAAAAUUUGUCAAUAUUUUUAUAUAUUAUAUGUUUUAUAAUCAAUGUUUUUUGGAUAUUACAAACUAUAUAAUAAAUAGACAAUUAUUUAUACGGUGUAUAAUAAAUUUAUUCAAAUUUGCCUAGGUCCUUGCCGAAGUGUAAAGUCAUGUCCAUCGUCUGACUAGAGCUUAACAUCUUUUAAAACUUUGCUAAUUAUACAGUUAAGUAAUAGGACGAUACAACGAGAAACGGUGCUAAAUCAUCCUUCAAAUAAUAUUGUUUUUCAAACCCUCCUUCGACUAUUUUGAGUAGUCCAAAUCCUCUUUUGAAUAUUUCGGUUAGUGCAAAUUCUCCUAUGAAUAUUACGGGUGGUUCAAAUAAUCUUCUUGCAAAUGCAAGACUUACACCUCGAAUGAAUGUUCACAUUUUUCGGGACCCUAAAUUUUUUAAAUUUCGCCCCUCCCCCCAAGAAUUCCUGGCUUCGCCACUGGUGGGGGGCUGGAUCUUGGACCAGUGAAAGAUGGUCCAGGGUGCCUGCAAUGACGAAAAUUUUCAUCUUCAACGCUACUUUUGUGAACAAUCAAGAUGAGGUAUCCGUCAUGUAUGGUAUUGUUGAUGAAUCAAUCUUCUCAAAAUUGGUGAUCGAUGAAUCAGGAAUCCUUGAACGGACCAAAUGGCAAGAUCAAGCGCAUCAAUGGGUCAAGUUUUGGUCCGCCCCGGUUAAGCAAUGUGAUUUUUACUGGAAGUGUGAUUUUUACAUUGCGGAUAAAUUUGAGUGCAAUUGCCUACCUGGAUUCGAACCCAAGUUGCAACAUGAGUGGUAUUUGAGAGAUGGGUCAGGCAGGUGAGUGAGGCAAAAAGGAUCAUCCGUUUGCCAAAACGGGGAAGGGUUUGUGAAGUUGGAACGUGUGAAGGUGCCGAACGCUUCUAUGACACGGGAGAGCAUGAGUAUGAGUCUGAAAGCAUGUGAAGAAGAAUGCCUGAGAAAUUGUUCUUGCAUGGCAUACGCAAUUGCAGAUGAAGGGCAGGGAGGGAGUGGGUGUAUAACAUGGCAUGGGGACUCGAUGGACACAAGGACUUAUUCGGAUACGGGUCUAGAUUUAUAUGUGCAAGUUGAUGCAAUUGUUUUAGGUAUAUUUUCAUUAUCAAUUUAUCUUCUUUCUUUCUUUACAUUAUCAAUAAUUUUCCUCGUACCGUCGACGUUCCAUGAAAAAAAAACUCUUCUUUCUUUUAUUUCAUAAAAUAUUUGAGGAAUUAUUAUUUAGUUUGGGAGCCGUACGUUUGUUAACGUUCUAAAGAAAUCAUUUGGCACGGGUCUCUUGACAAAUAAUAAAAGUGAAAUUGUUUCAUUAAGAGUGUAAGAUGAUUUUUUUGGAGUACUCAUAAAUUUUGGAAAUUAAUAUAAGUUCUCACGCUAAAAAUUGAGUUUCAUACAUCUGUUAAAAUUGUUAUUAAAUCAACCGUUAACUGGUGACGUGAUGCUUACGUGGAUAAUAAUUAAGCGCCACGUGUCAAUGGGCCCACGUGGACAUUAAAAAUAAAAAAAAUUCAAGGCUUCUCCUACCUCACCCCCUCCGUCUCUUCUCCCUUCUCCCACCUCUGCACCGACCCUUCCGCACACCAACCUUCAAUUCCUCUUCAAUUCUACGCUCUCCCUCUCUCUGUGACAAAAAAAGAAAAUUUUAACUCUUUUUUUUUCUGGGCGUCUCCUACCUCACCCCGCGCGUCCCCCCCCCCCUCCCCCCGGCGCGCCUACUCCCGUGAACUCGCCUCCUCCUUCGGGAUCACGUUCUGAUAAAAAAAAUUUAAGGAACCUAGCCCUCGGAAACCCUCCUUCAGCAAAUUCGAAGAACCAAAUCCCCGAGGGACCUGAUUUCGACCAACAACCGAAAGUGGGUGUGCCCAGGAGCGACGACUGAGGGGAUUUGCUAAGGUGGUUGUGCCCAGGAGCAACGACAGUGAAUCGGCGGCAGGAAGGUUGAAUUGAAAGGUGGGAGUUGUCUUAAUAGCGCCAUAUCACCAGUUUGUAAGAAACCUAAUUGGACUAAAUUAAAUUGUAUAAGAAAGAAAUGCAUUUGCCAAUUGUACAAACUGGUGGGAGUUGUAAACGUGCAAAACUGCUUACUAUAAUCAAGGAAUAUGUGGUGAUUCUGAUCAGGAAACAACUUGCAAUCUGAAACUGCAAAUAACUGUAAAGAACCAACGGUCCACGAUAGAUGGAAGUUGGCAAAGGUUAUACUUAUAAAAGGACUCCCUGCUCACAAAGAAAACGUUCUGUAAUUAGGGUUCUAUCACCAUUGGAACAUAAGGUCUUGAGUGAGUAGAAGAAUUCUUGAGUGUGUUAACAGUAACCAUGGCUGCACUAGGUAAGUCUUUCUUAUCUAAUUUCAAAUUGUGACCUAGUAUGCAUGCUAAUAACUAAGGUUUUUCCAACAUUUGGUAUCAAAGCUAUGUUAGCAAGCCCCUAGGUCGGAUGAAUUAAUAAAAAAUCCUAAUGCUUUAAGAAUGUACAAAAUUUGUAUGGUGAUUGCUGCAGUUUAUUUUUAUCGUGGGCACUAUAAUUCUUCCACUAAUAUGUAUUUCUCUUCUCUGUGUUUGUGUUGGUUGGUGGAGUUGGGUUUUUUGGAUCUUUUGAAUUGGAGCUUCAAAUUCCAUCGUGCAUGUGUGGUUCAAGCAUGUUGCCCAAUCUGAAAUUCUCACUCUCUCAAUCGGCUGGAUGGUGUCUUGGUUUUGUUGAUGCUUGGUUGAAGGAACAGAUAAUCAUGCUAUUUUAACCAUUGGACAAAUGUUUAUUAAAUCUUCACCAAAGUGGGAUUUUAUGGAAAUUUUGGUCUGGGACAGGAAGCAUGGAGUGAUUCAAUUUCCAAGGCUUUAACUCUUGUUGACGACGAAACCAAGCAAAGAUCGCAGGGCCUCAAGAAGAUCUUACUGGCCUCGGUCUUGGCCAUGGUGGCGGAGACGACGUUUCCGGUAGACAUUACGAAGACUUCCAUUUUGCUGCGAUAAUGACUGCUCCAAUGAUCAUGGAUUCAAUUGGGGGAAAUGCCGAAAAUGGCAAACUCCUUUCUCGAGGAGGUGCUGGACCAUGUGUUCUCAUUCAUAUAGACGAACCAGGACCGGAACUUGAUUUCGGUAGUGUGUGCAAGUUGUGGUACGAGAUCAAACUAUGGUGCUGGCGGCGUGCAAAACUGCUUCCUAUAAUCAAGGAAUAUGUGGUGAUUGUGAUCAGGAAACAACUUGCAAUCUGAAACUGCAAAUAACUGUAAAGAACCAACACUCCACGACAGAUGGAAGUUGGCAAAGGUUAUACUUAUAAAAGGACUCUGCUCACAAAGAAAACAUUCUGUAAUUAGGGUUCUAUCACCAUUGGAACAUAAGGUCUUGAGUGAGUAGAAGAAUUCUUGAGUGUGUUAACAGUAACCAUGGCUGCACUAGGUAAGUCUUUCUUAUCUAAUUUCACAUCGUGACCUAGUAUGCAUGCUAAUAACUAAGGUUUUUCCUACACAGUUAACUGCUGAUUUAACAGCAAUAUUAACAUAUGUAUGAAACUGUCCCAAACUUAUGACUUCAGGUACCAUUCUGGGAUGAAAAAAACUUCAUGUACCAAAUGUUGAAAAUCAAGAAACUUCAGAGUAGUAAAUUGAGAUUAACCUUUGUUAAAAAUUAUAAUCCUCUUAUCUGUACGGUGAUUUAUACAAAACACUGUACAAAUGGUGAUUUUUACAUAAAACUAUAUUAUAGUGAUUUCUACAUAAAAUUAUAUCAAAAAUAUUUGAGAUGGUAGUCAAAUCUUAUGCAUAAAACUCUCUUAUGAUAGUGCAAAAGUUUUUACUGAUUAGAAAUAGUUCAAAAUUGUUUGAGUGCGGUAUUGGACUUGAAUUUUUUAAACUGACUCUAGCUCAUAUCUCAUAAGAAUCAAGCCAAGCCUACUUGCGAGCUCGAAAAAAUUAAUCAAGCCAAAUUUAAACACAAUAGUAUUCGGUUCGGCUUGACUAGUUUCCAAUCCUACAUUUAUUUAUUUAUUUGUUGAUAUUUGCUCUUUACUUCUUUUCUAUAAAAUUGUUUCUUGCAAAAGAAAAGCGUAUAAUGUUGACCCAGCAAUAGAAUUAUAAUGGUCUAGCAUAACUCUUGUAUAUUAUUAUAUGGUUUUUCAAACUAAAUAAGGGCUUUGUUAUGUGCUUUUUGUAGAAGCAUUUUAAGUGUUUUUUUUAAUAUUUACUUGCAUUUUUACAGAUCAUUGAUACCAAAGCACUCUUAUUAAAAGAACUUUCAAUUAUUUAAACACUUUUAAAUGAACCCUAAAAUACAGAAAAAAAUAAAAACAAAACAGCGUAAUAGGAUGAGCUUUUCGGUUAACAUGUACAUAAUUUAGUCUAUCCACUUUGGCAUUCUAAUGGCGGCACUAACAUAAUUUAGUCUAUCCACUUUGGUAACGUAAAGAAGUGGUAAACCACGAAUUUAAACUUUGGCAGAAGAAAGCAAAAGAGUUGAAUAAAUUAUUACUGGAUGGUUCAAUGAACCCAAAAAUAUCAGAUUUUGGCAUAGUAAGAAUGUUUGGGGAUGACCAAAUUGAAGCAAACACGAACAAAGUUGUUGGCACCUAGUAAUUGUCUCCUCUCCCUAUAAAAAAAAUAAAAUUAAGUAGAACCGAUAUAUAUAUAUAUAUACAUUUUUUUUGAUAUUGUGUGAUUGCAGCGGUUACAUGUCACCAUAGUAUGCUAUGGAUGGGUUAUAUUCCACAAAAUCCGAUGUGUUUAGCUUUGGAUGCUUGGCACUAGAGAUCAUUAGUGGAAGGAAGAACAGCUUCCAAUUCGAAAAGUCAUCUUUGAAUUUGGUUGGAAUAGUAAGUAAACAAAUAAUUUUUCAGACGAUGAAUCUAACUUUCGAGUAGUCCAAUGAUCUAAACAUUGUGCUCAAAAUUGUUUCAAAUAUGGGAUUUGUGGACAGAAGGAAAAGUUUUGGACAUAAUUGAUUCAUCACUGAAGCAGUCAUAUUCGACUCAUGAAGUUAUGAAAUACAUUCAGAUUGGGCUUUUGUGCGUGCAAGAGUACCUAACAGACCGGCCAACCAUGCUAGAUGUUGUGUUCAUGUUGGGGAAUGAAACGAUUCUUCCACAUCCGAAAAAGGCAACGUUUAGCUUGAAAAACAGUGGUCUGGAUUCUUCAAUUUGUAAAGGUUCUUCUUUUGUAAAUGAUGUAACAAUAAUAGUUAUUGAAGCUCGUUGAGUUCGCACUUUGCGGGCUCUUGUAGAGAUUUUGCAUUACUUCUCAAGUUUUUUUACUCAAAUCGAGAUUCCUUGUGGAGAGAAGAGGCAAUGCCUUUGAAAUUGUUGAUUCAUCUCUGGGCAAAUCGUACCCUGUCAACGAAGUUGUGAGAUGCAUCUAAAUUGCCCUGUUAUGGACUGUAAGUAGGAUUAGAGUUUAGUUAUAAGCUAUAACUUGGGUUCCAUGUAAAGAUAAUAUUCUAGUUAUUCUUGGAGAAUAAGAGCUCCUGAUAUUAUCCUAUUUUGAUUUAGAUUUGGUAGAUUAUUUCCUCGUACAAUAACGAGUCCUACUGACAUCAUUAUGGGAGGAUGAAUUAGGUUUUUUUUUUAACAAACGAUAUUAUCUACACUAAGGGGGUGGCAGAGUGGGCUAUGCCUCAUAAUAGGGUUCAAAUUUGCCUUUGGCGAGAAUCGAAUCUAAACCUCUCACUUACCAGUGAAGAAGAAUAUCAUUAGACUGUAGUACUAAGUGGCGGGAGGAUGCAUUAGGAUUGAGUUAGUAUAAAUACUAAACAUAAGUCCCUGCACAUACCACUAAAUAACAACCCAAAAGAAUUCCCCAGAGGUUUGAGUUAUACAAUGGUGGUGAGUGUGUAGGCGGCCUUGCUUGUGUUCUUAGUGUGCUCGUGUGCUUGCUGCAAUUCGUGGCUUGUUGUGCUAUUGAGAAUGGCUUCUCAAGGUUAGUGUUUUCAUGGCGUUUUGAUUCACAUGAACAUAUUAGGUUUAACAGAGUAUGCCACUGAGCUGCCAACAAUGUCGGUGGUUGUUUUCAUGCUAGGUAAUGAAGCAGCAGCUCCAUCACCAAAACAACCAGCAUUUUUAUUGGAGUUAUAUAUAACAAUGGAGACCCAUCACCACAAUACUGAAGGAUAAAAUUUUGUAAACGAUGUGAGAUGUAGUAGCGUAGAACCUCGCUAAAACUCUUAAGAUAUUCCGAAAUGCUGUAUGUUAAGCAACUAUUGGUAGCUUGUAAAAGGUUAUUAACCACAAAAAUUUUGCCUCAAAUAAGUAGGUUCCAAUUUUCUUUCUAGUGCAUUGACAUGCAGGGCAUGUCAAAAUUAUUGGUCUCGAUUACAACGUAAUUGAAGAGAAAUUAUACUAGUCUAGUUAGCUAAUUCUGUAAAUUAUGUGACAUAUAUUAUGGUGGGGCCUUAGCUAACAGAAAACUUGGCGAGAAAUCGAGCACAAUGACAUUAUAGAAUUCAUACAACUGACUUUACUUAAUAAGAUAAGACUUUAUUGUUGUUGUUGUUUGUACUAUGGUGGAUGCUUGAUUGCUAACAGCCUUGGAUUUGAAAUGUAAAUCCGUCCACUACAUAUGACACAUUCACAUUUAUUAGAGUUUAAGAAUGAGAGAUUUGUGUUAGUCAAACUUCAUGUACAGGAGAGAAGAUGUUGAUCUGUGAUGCUUUGCUUGCCAAAUAAAUAAAAGGAAAAUUAAUGAAAAUGACUUGAAAACUUUGAAUUUUAACAAAAAUGACAAAAAGAUGUUGUAAGUGAAUAGUACGAGGAGUGACUUUUUAGAGUAAAUUCGUUAAAGUAAACAGUACCAAAAGUAUUUCGUUAAAACUCCCGUAAAUAAAUUCCAAGACUUUUCAAAUUGGUUGACCUUUAUUUCAUUUUAUAACAGAUCGCUUUUACCAUAAUGUCCAUACUAAUCACACCUAGCAUUUUACUAUCUACUAGCACAUUACGGGGUGUUGAAUUUUAUGACAAAAAUGAAAGUUAAAAUCAUUUAUUAUAUAUUGUAAUUUAUUUAUCAAUUUUUCGACAUAUAUUUUUGCAUUCUUCAACAGCGUGAACAUCUCUCUCCCUGGCCACUACGGGUCGUACUUGGCCCCAUUCGGAGCCAAUUUGUCUUAUCAAUCUACUGAAUACAACUGGUGUGGUCAGAAUUGAUGAAGUGGAACUUUCUAGCUAGGAUCAGUUUGAGGGAAUUGUUAUGUCUCGUCCACAUGUUUGCCUGGAAGUUGCGUGUAAGUUCAUGUUGCAUCAACGACUGGAAAUCGAGGGUGCGUUCACCGUUGCAUCAACGACUGGAAGUCGCCCGUAUGCCCUUAGAGUUACUGAAACUCAAUCCAAGAAAACAAAAUCCAACCUUUCCGGCUUUUUGUUUCUGCAUGUCAAAAGAAGCAGCCAUUUUAGCACUUAAACUCCUCCAUGAGAAAGCUAACAAUGAAUUCUACUGAAUACUUUUUUGUCAGUACUGUAUUGCUCCUCUUCCUUGUGAUUCUUCCCUCUUCCAUUUCGGUUACCCUAGACGCCAUUACACCAAACCAACCCCUAAGAGAGGACGACGUUCUUCUCUCCACCACUAAAUUCUUUGCACUAGGGUUUUUUAAGCCAGGCAAUUCUCGUAACCGUUACAUCGGAGUUUGGUACAACAAAAUUCCAAUCCAAACCAUUGUUUGGAUUGCAAACAGAGAAAACCCCAUAGUUCCUACUGCUGGAACUGGACUUCUAGCCAUUCAUGCAGAUCACGGUGGCCUUGUUUUGUAUGGGGAGGACCAAAAUACCCCUAUCUGGUCCACUAAUCUCACCGUCUUCUCCAAACAAUUCCGUGAUAGCCAAGCUUUUGGAUACGGGAAAUCUUGUUGUAGUUGAAAUUAAUGGCGGUAGUAGUGAAAAGGUGUUGUGGCAAGGUUUUGAUUAUCCCACAAAUACGAUGCUUCCUGUUAUGAAACUUGGGCUGGACAGGCGAUCCGGGUUCAACUGGUUCCUCACAUCUUGGAAAUCCCAGGAUGACCCGGGAAUGGGCAACUGUUCGUACCGGAUAGAGCCAAGUGAGAGUCCACAGGGGUUCUUAUACAUGGGUCAGACUCCAUUGUGGCGGACUGGACCUUGGAUCGGUGAAAGAUGGUCCGGGGUGCCUCAAAUGCAAAAUAAGAUCUUCUUCAACGUUACUUUUAAGAACAAUCAAGAUGAGGUAUCCAUCAUGUAUAGUGUUGUUUAUGAAUCAAUCUUCGUAAAGAUGGUGAUCGAUGAAUCAGGAAACAUUGAACGGUCCGCAUGGCAAGAUAAUAAAUGGGUCCAGUAUUGGUCCGCGCCGGAUGGGCAGUGUGAUUUUUACGGGAAGUGUGGUCCGAAUAGCAUUUGUGACCCAUACCCAAAAUUUGCCGAUAAAUUUGAGUGCAAAUGCCUACCUGGAUUCGAACCCAAGUUGCGACAUGAGUGGUAUUUGAGAGAUUGGUCAGGCGGGUGCGUGAGGCAAAAAGGAUCAUCCGUUUGCCAAAACGGGGAAGGGUUCGUGAAGUUGGAACGUGUGAAGGUGCCGGACACUUCUACGGCACGUGUGAACAUGAGUAGGAGUCGGGAAGCAUGUAAAGAAGAAUGCCUGAGAAAUUGUUCUUGCACGGCAUACGCAAAUGCAGAUGAAAGGCAGGGAGGGAGUGGCUGUAUAACAUGGCAUGGGGACUUGAUGGACACAAGGACUUAUUUGGAUACGGGUCAAGAUUUAUAUGUGCGAGUUCAUGCAAAUGUUUCAGGUAUAUUUCCAUUAUCAAUUUAUCUUCUCUCCUCUCUUUUCCUUAUCAAUAAUUCCCCUCAUAACGCCAAGGUUCCAUAUAAAAAAGAAAAAAAAUCUUCUUUCUUUAUUUCAUUAAAAAAUUUGAGGAAUUAUUAUUUAGUUUGGUAAUUGUACGUUUGUUAUCAUUUAAAAAAAAAAAUCAUUUGGCACUGAUCUCUUGCCAAAUAAUAAAAGUGAAAUUGUUUCAUCAAGAGUGUAAGAUGACUUUUUUAGAGUACUAAUUUUUUUUAUAAAAAAAUUCAGAAAUUUCUAUAAAUUAAUACUAAAAAUUUAGUUCUUAUGGUCAUUGGAGCUUUUUACAAGGUUUUUUUUCCCAAAUUUUUUCAAGGUUUUUAAACAUGGAAAUAAAUGCUUGUAUAUUUGCAGCUCAAAAUGCAAAGAAGUCAAACAGUUCUUUUGGCAAGAAGAGGAAGCUGGAAGUUUCAGUAGCAUGUGGUCUAUUGUUCUUCCUCUUGUUUUCCCUUGCAUGUUGGUUGGUAAAGAGGAAGAGAAAAGGUAAACAAAUUUCCUUUUACUAGGUUGCCCUCUAAUCAUUCACAAUUAUGAAUUAUAUAAGAACACAACAUUAUCUGUUUAUGUACUUUUAUCACAGGUCAGAGAAGUCAGGAUAAAUUUUUCAAUGUGACCGUAGCAUCAACCGCCUGGGAAGAUUCUUCUGCUAGAACAAAUAUUGAUGAAAGUGGAAUAAACUCUGAAUUACCAUUCUUUGAACUAAGUACCAUAGUUAAGGCCACAAAUAAUUUCGCUUCCAACAACAAGCUUGGAACAGGUGGUUUUGGCUCCGUUUAUAAGGUACGUUGUUGCCCUCAGAUAAUGUCUCAAAUCAUAAAUCAAACUUUGAAUAGACAUUUCUUAGAUUUAUUUUUUAGCCAUCUGCACUCCAAAUCAAUUAUUUUUACCUCUACUCACCCUUGUAGUUUAAACAGAAGAACAUAAUGAAGAAAUCUUGCAGAGAAAGAAAGAGAAUCAAGAAGAGAGAGGGAGCAAGAUUUAGGGAGAGAGAGAGAGAUCUUAGACAGAAAAAGUGAAUCUUUGUUAAUGAUUUCAGAAAAAAUACAAGGUAGUGAUCCAUAAGGAUAUAUAUCCAAACUAUAUUGCUUACAAGCUAAGCUAACAUUUAGCUCACAGGCUAUUGACACUUGCAAACAAUAGGAUUACAAGACCAUUACAGUUUAACAAAAAUCAAGAGACCCGUCCAAUAAAGACUGGAAAGGCUGACUCAAAAAUAUAUUUCAUUAAAAUUCAAACCCAAUCAAUAAUCGAUAAGUGAUGGGAACUAUCUUGUUUCGACUUUUCACAAUUAUCCCACACAGUGAUGUGGAUUUUGAAACUGUAUAAAACACGUAGAAAGUUUUAAAUCUAUAUAUGAUAAGCCAUACUACUUAUAUAUAUAUGUGUGUGUGUGUGUGUGUGUGUGGAAAUCUAUUCACAAACCUAUUGUUAAGCCAUACUACUUAUAUACAAGUGAUGGUUGCAUGGUAUUAAUCUUCUACACAGAAAAAGCAAGUGUUUCCCACCCUAGGAAAUUGUUAAGCACCUAUCAAACUAAUUGAUUGGAAACAGUAUGGUGCUUCCCAAUCUAAAAAGUCAAUGACACUAAAGCAGCAGAUUAGCGAAUAGAUUAGUGAAUAGUUAAUUAUGAUUUGUUUUGGGUCCAAAGAAACCUUGUUAGGUGAUGGUGAAUCAAUAUGAAAGUAAACAAUGCCGAUUUCAAAAUGGAAACUGAAGAGCUAUUCGUUGAAUGAAGUAACAAUUAAAUCUGUUAAAUUACAGCAGGAGAAGUCUAAUAUAUACAGAAAGCCGCAUAAGUAAACAUAUACCAACCAAAAAGUGGGCUAAUCCAACCAAUCUCACCAAUGGACAUUGUCACCCGAGCAAUUGUCGGACUACAUCUUAGACGAAACAAAAAAAUGCUGAGGAAAAUGAUCAUUACCCAAAAUUCCAUUCUGAACAAAUAUUUGGACCAAUAACGAAGAAUUCUAGAAAAACAUGAAAAACUUAAUAAAACCCAAUUUAAACGAAGAACUCCAUCUGAAGCAGAUUUUCACAUGCAAUAGUUGUAGAAGAUGCCUAAGAUGAUAAGGAGUCAUUUGAGACCAUCAACUCAACCCCAUUCGAACGCAAUCACAAAAUCAAAAAGGACAAAAUGGGCAAACAAAAACAAUGAGAAAGCACCUACCUUGAGCUUGAAAGAGAGAGGAAGAAGAACGACGGUGCCCUUCUUCAGCAGAAUUUUGCCGAUAUUGUUUCCGGCCGUUGCCGCCAGCGCUAGGAAGAUCGACUCUCACAUCCCAAGAACCCUAAUUAUAAACUCCCAAUCAAACGCAAAAAGGAUAGAGGAAGCCCAAAUAAAGGGAAAUUCGAGAAAUUCAACAUACCGUAAGACGCUUUCUGACAUCAAGAGAUACGGGAAUCGGAGAGAAAAGAAGAGCAGAGGAAGAUGAAACAUUGUGGGUUUUCCAGUAGAGAAGGAGCGAGAGGAGGGAUGAGAGAUGACAGGAGAGCGCACGCGUAGGAGAGAAAGAGGAAUAGAGGUGAGAGGAGAGCGCGUCUAAACCGAUUCCCAACCGUACCAAACCCUCUGGAGAAAAUUGUGGGCAUUUUGGUCAACAAACAAAUAGUGGCAGAGUUGUAAAUACAACAAAAUAGUGCAAUUGAAAACCUUACUUUAGAUUAAAGUAAUAAUUCAAAAUACUGCAAUCUUUUGUUAUUUCAAUCGCAUUUCUCCUUCACUUGAAGUAGUCAAAGCAUUUUUAUGCAUAUGCAUUGAGUUUUACUCCUUUGUUAAUGUAUAAAUGCAAUUUCAAGGGGAGGAUAUAUAUAUAUAGAGCUACGAUUAUGUUGAUAAUUUUCCUGAAAGGUAAGUGCACUAUAAGUUGAAUUUGGAUUAUAAAUUCAGGGUGUGCUUGAUAAUGGAAAGGACAUAGCAGUGAAAAGACUAGCCAAGAAUUCUGGCCAAGGAAUUGGAGAGUUUAAGAAUGAAGUUGUGCUGCUUUCAAAGCUCCAACACAGGAACCUUGUAAGGAUCAUGGGUUGCUGCGUUCAAGAUGAAGAGAAGAUGCUGAUCUAUGAAUACUUGCCAAACAAAAGUCUUGACUUUUUCAUUUUCGGUAUGUCUUUCGUUCACUUUUGUUAUUCUUUUUAUACAAGCAAUAUUGUGGAGGGGAAAUCAAGCUCAGGACCUCAGGUGUAGGAUUGAAUGCUCUUAACUCAACUUAGUUACAACUGCCUUUCUUUUAACUUGUGUAUCUAAAAUUGUCGGUUAGAAACCUUGAACCAAGCAAGAAUACAAUCUAAUUUACUUUGAUUAUUUUUUUUCCCAUACAAAGCAAAAGAGGCGUUCUUGGAUUGGACAAGAUGCUUUGAGAUAAUCUGUGGGAUUGCUAGAGGGAUCUUAUAUCUUCAUCAGGAUUCGAGAUUAAGAAUCAUCCAUAAAGAUCUAAAGGCCAGCAAUGUUCUGUUGGAUUCUGCUAUGAACCCCAAGAUUUCAGAUUUUGGUAUGGCUAGGAUAUUUGGAGCUGAACAAAUUGAAGCAAAUACAAACCGUGUGGUUGGGACAUAGUAAGUUUCAUUCAAAACUGAAAGUACACUUGUUUUUUAAAAGUUUCAUCCCUACAAGUACAAUUAACUUUUGUUGAAUAAUACAGAAAGAAGCUGUGAUAAUUAAGCAAUUUUAUUUUGUUGUUUCAGUGGUUAUAUGUCACCAGAGUACGCAAUGGAAGGAUUUUUUUCAGUAAAGUCUGACGUAUAUAGCUUCGGCAUUUUACUACUAGAAAUUGUUACUGGCAGAAAGAACACCGGCUACUACCAAGAUAGUCCUUACUCAAAUAUAAUUGGACAUGUAAGCAUAACAUUAAGACAUUACCAAACUUCUCUCCAUCUGCUUUUAUAACUUGAUGAUUAAUUUGUAAAUUUUUAGGUUUGGGACUUGUGGAAGGAAAAUAAAGCCUUGGAAAUCAUUGAUUCAUCUCUAGGAGAAUCAUACCCUGUCAAUGAAGUUCUAAGAUGUAUUCACAUUGCCCUCUUGUGCGUGCAAGAGCAAGCGAAGGAUCGUCCACUCAUGUCAGCAGUGGUUUCCAUGUUGGGUAAUGAUGCAGCAAUUCCUUCACCAAAGCAACCUGGAUUUUUGUUGAAGAGAGGUUAUCAUACUAGUGGAGACCCAUCAACCAAUACUGAUGGAGCUUGCUCUGUAAAUGACAUGACCUAUACAGAAGCAGAAGGUCGCUAAGGGGAGAACCAGACUUAUAAUCAGACAGACUAUAUUAUUCAAUUGAGAAUCACAUGAUGAGUGAGAUAAGAAGAGAGGAUAUACCCCGAUUUCACUCAAUAAUUUGCCUUAUAACCAGGGAUCUAAGUUCUAUAUUAAUUUGCAACACUCAUCAUCUGUCAUGUUGUAAAUACACGUUAUAAAAUAUAUGCCCUAUAAUUGGGGAUCUAAGUUCUACAUCAGCUAUACUCAUCAUUUGUCUUGUUGUAAAUACAAGCUAUAAAUUAUUUGCAACAUUCAGCAUCAGUCUGACCAGGCUUGUGAAAUCAUGUCCCUGGAUUUCAUUGUUAUAAUCUACGUAUUUGUAGUAUUGAGAUUUUAUAUUAUUUUUUGAGAAUUUUUUUUAAUUUAUUUGAAUUUAGAUUUCAAUUAAACUAGUUACGAAGAGUGAAGUUUGGGAAUUAUUAUUUACUCGUUGACCUUUUGAGGUCACAAGUAACGUUUUUGAAUAUAGCUCAAUCCUACGAACGCAUAGGCGAAAGCCGUUUGCGAGUCCGGAUUAUAACGGUAUAAUUACAGACGUUUGAAGUUGUGAUACUAUAAAUUUUAGAAAUUGAUUAUCUCCCACUUUGUGGGUAAGGGCCCAGAUCGAUAUGGGCUUAAGUGGACCAUCAAAAUUGAAAAGAAAAAAAAAAUAAAUAAAUAAAGUUGGGGGGGGGGGGAAGCAACCAAUCAGGAAAAGGAGGAAACAAAAGGAGAAAGAAAAAGGAAAAAGGAAGGAGGGAAAAAUACCCCUUUCCCGUCGACCCACCUAACUAGCUUUGACCCGGUUCUAAUUCCGGCGGUUUUCAUUAUUUUUUCGGUUGAACCACCACUAACCAACACCUACAACCUCUUCUACAACAUCUCCUCUACCAUUCCCACCCAAAAUCAUAGGAAAUUUAGUUGUAGUUUGGUGAAAAACACACCAUGGGUGCCGCGGGAAACCUCGUCGUGAUUCAUCAUUUGUGAAACGAUUUCAUUCUGUUACCACCACCAUUAGACUCUCCUUGAACCCAGGAAUAAAGCCCAAACAACCUUGGAGACGUCGGAGCAAGUAUGGAGUUCGAAUCGAAGCACACCCAAUUCUAGGGUUCCGGCUGUUUGUGAGUGAUUUCAGGCAUUUCCAGGCCAAAUUGGCCUUAGCCACAGGUAUAAAAAUUACUCCCCUCAUUGAGAUCUACAUGCCUGUAAAAUUUGGUAAUUUUUGGAAUUAGUUGAAUUUUUUGACAAGUCGGCGGCGCGUGGGCCGAAUUAACCCCUGACCUUCCUAGGAUAAAUUUGAUACCCCAAUUCGAUAUGUGAAGUCUGAUUGAUGAAAUUUCAUCAUAUGACUAUAGAUUUGAUGGAGACCGCAACUUAGACAUUAUAUGAAUCGAUGAUUAGAUCGUUGGAUCGUCACCAAAAUUUAAUAUGUUAUAGUACGUAAUAUUUGAGGAUAACAGGAACUUACGGAUCGGGAAUCUGACAUAUGGAUCUUCUUGAAUUGGAUUUAUAAUUUUGUAAAAUAAAACGUCGACCGCCAUUUAAAUUCGUGAUUGGCGGAGAUUUGACAGUUGGAUCAUAAUGAAAUUUUAGUAUGUUAUUCUAGAAGCAUAAUGUGAACUUUGGGAAGUUAUGGAUCAGAAAUCUGAUGUGCGGAUCUUCAGGAUCAAAUUACGUAGAGUUGUGGACCCUAUCAUCGACAGAGAGUUGAUUUGUGGUCAACAUGUCUUGAAACGUUCUAAAUAAUAAAAUUAGUACUACGGACCAAUUGAAGUCUAGUGGGCCUAUAUUGGUUAGAUAGUGACUUGAAUAUAUGAGAUAUUAUUAUUAUCUUGAUUUCUUAUAUUGGUAUCAUUUGUGAAUAUGAUUUGGUCUUAUAAAUAUGAUUUCUAUUGAAAUGUGAUUUUUAUAUAUUUAGCCAUAGACCUAUGCUUAUUACAUAUGAUUUGGCUUGUGUAAUGAUGAUGUUUGUGAUAUAUAUAUAUAUAUAUAUAUAUAUAUAUAUGUGUGUGUGUGUGUGUGUGUGUGUGUGUGUGUGUUUAAUUAUCUUUUUAAUAAUGUGAAUGAUAAUUAUGAUGAAUGUUAUGACAAUUAUGGGAUCUAAUUAUUGUUUGAUAAUUAUUUGGAUAUGAUUGCCAACUGAAUACCUAUUUGAACUUGGCAUUACUACCUAGUAUGUGAUAGGGAUGAAAGUCAGGAGAUGAGUUAGGUACUUUAUUAGAUUUUUUUUUAUAGUAAAAAUAGUAAUUAGGGGAAUUCCUUGUACUGUGCUCCAUAUGACUAGAUGUUGGUUGAUAUGUGGAAUCGAUAGUGUGUAUACGUAUAAUUGAGUAUAAUGUGUGAUGAUGAGACCGCACCAUGUAGUAGUGGUACAUGGAUGGUCCUGCUUGAUAUAUCCGGGAUGAGGGACCAUACGUAUGUUAGGAGUGAUCAUGCUUGGUAUAUCCGCAAUGGGUGAUCACUACCUAGAGUUAUAUGAUAUAAUCCUGCUUGGUAUAUUCGUGAUGGGGGACUGUUAGGGGUAAUCAUGCUUGGUAUAUCCGCGAUAGAUGAUCACUGUCUGCACGAUGAGAUUAGGCCUAUGGUUCUGCUUGGUAUAUCCGCGAUGGGGGACCAUAUGCAUUCUAGAGGUGAUGAUGAUUAGUUGUACUUGGUAUAUUUGAUAGGCGAUCAUAUUUAGUUUGGUUCCGUUGAGUAGUCCGGAAUCCGAGGUUGUUGGAUUUCGUAGAGUGAUCUAAAAUCCCAUUAUUUGGAGAAGUAGGCUUGGGCUAACUGUGUCACUCUAGCCAUAGUUAUAUAUAUAUAUAUAUAUAUAUAUUUGUGCCAAUGGUUUCGAGAAUCUUGUGAAUUGAGUUAGAAAAGAUGUUGGACGUCUGGGUGAUUCCUUUGGGAUUUGCUACAAUUCGAUUAUGAUUUCAUAAGGUAUGAAUUUAGAAGAUAUGGGAAUGAUUGUUAUUACUUUGAUCAAAUUAAUUAAUUAAUGUGGCUAGAGAAUGUUUUUGUGUUUCGUCGGUUCUUAAAUACGAUGUAUGUUGUGAAUUGUGAUAUCAUGAUGAGACAUAAUGAUUUAUGUAUAGGAUGGAAGAGAAAUCAUGAUUUCAUGAGGGUUUGUUAUGUAGCCUGAGCCCAGGAAUUUCAUGCUAUUAGGUUAUAUUAAAUGAUUGAGGAAUGUUAUGCUUUUCUGCUUGAACUCAGUGGGAUAAAUGUAUGAUUUUGUGAAUGGUGAACUACAAAUGGCUUGAUCCUUAUUGAGGGUACGUAGGCAGUCUAACGAGGAGGUUAGAUGCAUCCAUAAAGUAUACGAAAAAAAUUACUAUGCGAUUCGAUUCUUGAGUUAUGCUUCGUACAUAUCCCAAAAAUGGGAUCUGUUAGGUUUAUGGUUACUUGGUGACGUCAUGUGUCGAUCAUGGACGUAGGUCGAGAUCGGGGCGUGACAAGGCUACAUAGAAGUACUUUUCGACCGCCAAAGACAUGUAGGAAGACUGAUAACUUUAUGACACAAGGUUUUAGGAGUAAACCUACUUAGACACUAAUCAUGCCACUGUCAACCCGCAAUUAAAAGAAAAAGUCUAGGACGGGACACAAAGGUGGUCCGGCCUGUUCUGAGUGACGUACGUGGUUAAUUAAUCAAGGUCGAAUGGGAUGCUAGGAACACAUUGGACCUUUGGAUGUUACUAGAAAUGUUGCCCAGGCGUUGAUGCGGGAAUACAAAUUGUAUGAAACAUUAUGUAUAAAUGAUAUAAAAGAUUAUGUCAUAAACGAAAUUGUGAGAUGCAUACAAUUGCCCUCUUCUGUGCUCAAGAGUAUGCUACUGACCGGCCAACCAUGUCGUCGGAUGUUUUCCAAAACAGCCUGCAUUUUUAUUGAGGAGGAAUUGUACUAGUGGAGAUCAACCAACAAGUACUGAAGGUGACAUGUACAGAAAAAGAAGCUCCCUAAAAACAAGACGUAGGAUAUCGAAAAUGUUCCACAAGAUACAUAUGUAAUAGUAGUAGUUUGCAAAAGACAAUAUUAAGCGCAUACAAUUUGAUAUUGUGUGAAGAAAGGGUGAACCAAAUUUACCAUGCUUUGAAAAUGAAGAUUCUCCAAGCAAAGUGAACCUUGCUGAUGUUAUUAAACACACAACAACCAAGCUUUACCCCACUUUAAGUUGAGUCGGUUGUAUGAAUCUUUGAACAUUACAGCACUCGGUUUUGCUCCAAAUCUUUUGUUAGAUAACCUUCUUGAUGUUAGAUAACCUUUUUGAUAUUAUCCGCGGGAUUGCCAGAGAGAAAGUAGAAAUGGCGGGGAGCCUUUUUUUCUCUUUCUUUUCCUUUUUUUUUUUACUUUUUAAGUUUUUAAAUAAAAAAAUUAAAAUGUUUUUAGUUAUUUUAAUCUUUCUAUUUCACACUCUCAUAUUGACAUUCAAUAUUAUGGUUUGGUGAUAUUAUUCUUUACUUGUAAGUAAGAGGUCUUAAAUUUGAAAAUGUUCCAUGAAAUAUAUGUAAUAGUAGUAGCUUGCAAAAGAUAAUAUUAAGUGCAUACAAUUUGUUACUGUGUGAAGAAAGCGUGAACCAAAUUUACCAUGCUUUGAAAAUGAAGAUUCUCACAACAAAGUGAACCUUGCUGAUGUUAAAUAAACAACAACCAAGCAUUAUUCCAUUAAAUGAAGUCGACUGUAUGAAUCAUAAAAUGUCACAUCACUCGAUUUUACUCAAAGUCUUUCGUUAGGUAACCUUAUUGAUAUUAGAGCUCAUAAAAUUUAAGAAAAAAAGAAACGUGACUUCUUGUGGCUUUUUGGUUGACGCAUGCAUGCCUUCACACAAAAGCUUGGACUCUUUCAAAUUUGGCGGACCUUUUAAUUCCUAGUAUUCCUAAUACAAGUAUGUUACGGUCAAUCUCAGGCGUGUAUAUAAAAGGUGGAGGAUGGAGCAAUGUGCAUGUCUACGAAUAGAUAUCAAUUCUCUGAAAAAAAAUUACUAGCCAUAAAUUCUUGGAAUGAAACAAUCAACGGUAUAUAAAAGGGUAUGAUAUCCACAUACCCCUUUUUACUUCUCUCACACCUUUUUGGUUUUCGGUCGUCGGAUCAGAUGAAUUGAAGAAGAUCAACUAACAAAAAUUAACAAGAGUGUGUGAGAAGUAAAAAGAGGUGUGUAGAUAGCAUACCCCUAUAUAAAUGGCCUUGUGCAACUUGUUUAGAAAAAUCAAACAGCUUCAUUUUAAGAUCAUCCAUUGGCUAAUUAACAAGUUUAUUUUUUUGUUUAUUUAUGUUGCUUAUCUUUCUUGUACUUCUCCCAUCUUGCAUUUUUACCCUAGCUUCAUUUUAAGAUCAUCCAUUGGCUAAUAAAAGUAUGAGUUCUACAGUGGCGGCUAAUGAAGUCAGUAUUAUGUUGCUUAUCUUUCUUGUACUUCUCCCAUCUUGCAUUUUUACCAGGGACGAAGCCAGAAAUUUAACUAAGGGGGGCACCUUAAAAUAUUUGAGUUCUUUUUUUUGGACAAAUAAAGCUAGUUCUUUUACAAAUGCUGAAAAAAUUAAUUACAAAAUGCCUAAUUUUAUUACUCUAUUGUCUAAUUUUGUCUCUAAUUGUUGACAAUCUAAUGCUCAUUUGUACUAAUUAAUCAAAUAAAUACAACUCAACAAGAUUUAGACAUUAGUGCGUGAGAAAAAUAUAUAAGAUAGAGGGACAUUUAAAAACUAAAAGCAGAUUUUCACUAUUUUAAUAUGAUUAAUUAAAUAAUCUGCAAAGCAAAAAAAAUAGGAAUGAUUAAUUGAAUAAUUUGUAAUGAAAAAAAGAGAUGAGAGGGGGCAUGUGCCCCCACUAGGGCUGGGCACGGGCCGGGCCGGGCCUAUUUUUGAAGGGACCGGACUGGACCCGGAAUUAAAGGAGACGGGGCGGGCCGGGCAUUACAAUUUUGAAAAUAGGAACCGGACCUUACCCGGCCCUAUUGAAACGGGCCGGUUCGGUCCGGGUACACGGGUCCCCUUUUUUUUUUUUUUUUUGCUGUUUAAAAGUAUUUGCUGCACAGAUUGCAGUUUCAAAAAACUGCAUAGAUAGCAGUUUAAAAAAAAUUGCACAAAUUGCACAAAUUGCAGUUUGAAAAAACUGCACAGAUUCCAGUUUGGAAAAAAUCACAGAUUGCAGUUUGAAAAAAAAUUGCACAAAUUGCUGCACAGAACAGAUUGCAGUUUGCAAAGAACAUAUUUCACAGAAUGCAGUUUGCAGUGCACAGAUUGCACAGAUUGAAAAAAAAAAGCACAGAUUGCAGUACUGCACACACAAAUUGUAGUUGCACAAAUUCAAUACAUCUAAAAUAACAUUGCAUCGUUAUGCAGAGGCAUCAGAAUUCGGAAAAACAACUAAUGAUCCUUAUCAAAUAUGGUAAACAACUACUGAUCCUUUUCAAAUAUAAAUAAAAAAUUCAUUAGCUCACCAAGGAAAGUCUCUGUUCACAAUAUAGUUUGUGGCAUUCUGUAAGGAUCUGAGUAUAUUCUUUCCUUGAUGCUCUGCUUUCAAUUUCCUCCAGCACUGGCUUAAGCUGCAGAGAUUCUAUUUGUUAGACAUCAACACUUAAACGAGUGUGAAGUUAAAAACUUAAUGCAGAAAAUUGCAUGCCCGCUUCAAAUAAUUGGAUAGAACUAAAAAUGCUUUUUAGACACAUCUUGCUUUCAGCUUUUCACACCCUGGUUGGUUAAAUGCUUUAAUCAAAUUUUAACUAAUUCAAUAGAAUCAUCAAUGUUACCUCACUUGCUGCUGCUUUGAAACGGACAUAUAUAACAGAUGCUUCUACACCCUCAGAAACAGAUGCGUUAUUGCCACCACUGCCCCGGAUAGCUGCCUGUACCUGAUGACAGUGGCCAUAAUUCAAAGCCAGGUAAUAUACACUAAUGCAUAUUAAGACUGAAGUCUACUACAAUGUGUUAAUGGUAACUCAGUUCAAUAAGGUAACAUUACCUGAGAAGAAGCACCUUUGAGAACUGAAGGUACAUGAGAACGAAUCAUUCCCAAGGCUCGAGACUGUCCAAAACAAGUAAACUAUAUAUUACUGAAGGAGAGGUCAAAACUAAUCUUACUAGAAGACAAUCUCCAUUCUAUACUAUUCAUCUAAUCAACGCUCUUGCAAAUCAUACCUGCAAUUGUCGAAAUUUGAGCAGGUAAACACUGGAUUCUGCAUAAACACACAAACACACACAUGUAUAUAUAUACACAUAUACAACAACAUGUUAUGCAGAGGCAUCAGAAUUCGGAAGAAAAAAAACCCUAAAAUCUCAAAUUCCAAUUUAAAAACCCUACACCCAAAAUUCAAAAUUUCAAAUUAAUAACAAAACCCUAAUUCAAAAUUACCUAAAUUUAGAGGGAUGAUGGCUGGUACCAGUGUUCUCGACGACGGUGAUGGGCUGAUGGGCUGAUGGGGUGAUGGCGGUCACAACGGCGGGGGUUGCUGUCGAAGAGGAGAGAAUCGACUGCAGGGGUGAUGGCGAGAAGGAUGAUGGGUGGUGGUGCCGUUGUCUUCGCCGAGGAGAAUUGACGGUUGGUGAGGGGGAGGAUGAUCGGAGUAGUCGAGGGAAGGGAACUAUCGAGGGACUGACUGAGAGUCUGAGAGUGAGAGAGUGAGAAUCGAGAUGAGAGAGACGGAUAGAGAACUUAGGGUAAAACUAAAACUAACGGUUCAGAUGAGAUAUGGUAGCUUAUUCAUCAAUCUGGUCCGUCCAUUUUAAUUACAAACGGGUCGGUCCGGGUACCCACGGUUCUUAUAUUCUAGGAACCGGCCCGAACCGAAAAUCACAAAGGCCCGCCCCGGCCCGCCCCGUUUCUCUUUUUUAAAAAUAGGAACCGGCCUGUACCCGCCCCGAACCGCCAUUACCCGCCCCGACCCGCGGUUCCUGUACCCGUUUGCCCACCCCUAGCCCCCACUAGGCCUUACCUCCCUUCGUCCAUGAUUUUUACCCUAGCUGGAUAAUAUUCGCAAUCGGAUUCUUCAGCCCCAGAAAUUCUUCAAACUACUAUGUUUGGGAUAACAAAAUUCCAGAGCAAACCAUCAUUUGGGUUUCAAACAGGGACAACCGUUUUAGCCAUUAACAGAGAUCAUGGAGGCCUCUAUGUAAAUGACCAAAAUAUCCCUCUCUGUCAAGAUUUUAGGUUGCUGCGUUCGAGACGAAGAAAAGACGUUAUAACCUAUGAAUACGUUCCGAACAAAGGUUUGGACUGUUGCGAGUUAUAAAUUAGUUAAAGUGUAAAUAGUAGUUUAUUGUUCCACAUUGGUGAAAUACGUAUGUAAUACCAAUUGUAACUCCUAUAUAUACUCCACUUUGAAGAUUAAUGAAUAGAUAAGAAAUUUCUAAAUAUUGUCAUAUAUAUUUUUGGUAUUUACCAUAUUUAGUUUAAUAUGGCAUCAGAGCAGUUCGCUCUUGGUAACCUGUGUGCUUUAAUUUUGUGCCUCAUUUUUUGUGAUUUCCUUCGUUGAAAAAAAAGGUGAAUAGUGUCGCGUUUGCUACAGUGCAUGAACAAUGGUCCUCUACAGUGCUGUAAACAGUGAUUGCUACAGUACGUGAAUAGUUCCGCUACAGUGCCGUAAACAGUAAUUGCUGCAGUGUCUGGUAAAUUAUUUAUUCCGCUACCUAUCUUUUGUGCCUUUAUUGUUCAUGAUUUUGUUCAAUAGCUCAAUAUAAUCAUAGUAUUGUUAUGCAUCUUGGUGGAACAAAUAAAUAGAUAAUUGAUAUUGGGACAACUGAUCAUGUGACUAGUGAUCCUAGAGUGUUUGAUGAGUUAUGUGACUAUGUUUAUGAUUCGUAUAUUACUAGUGCAAAUGAAGCACCUUCCCCUGUGAAGGGCGAAUACACUAUCUCUCUGACUCCAACCUUAUCACUGGUCUGUGUUUUACUUGUUCUUGAUGUUAAGUGCAAUUUUUUGUCGGUAGGAAAACUUCUUGAUACCUUAUGUUGUUUUAUUCACUUCUACCCUACAUAUGGUUAUUUUCAAGAUAUUCAAACUCAGAAGAUAAUUGGUUGUCGUAAAAGAAUAGGGGAUUUGUACAUCUUGACUAUGAAGGAUACUGUUGUUUUCGAUUCAAAUAAUCAUCAAGUUUUAAGUGCUAAAGUGGAUGACAGACAUCAAAUUUGGUUGUGGCAUCAACGAUUGGGACAUCCAUCAUUCAGUUAUAUGAAACAUCUAUUUCCUUCUUUGUUUCGCACUUGUAGUGAUUCAGAGUUCAAGUGUGAAACAUGUGUCAUGGCUAAAAGUCAUCGUACUUCAUUUCCCAUAAGUGAUUCUAAAGCUACUUUGCCAUUUGAUUUGAUACAUUCUGAUGUGUGGGGUCCGACGAAAGUUACUUCUAAUGGAUUUCGGUGGUUUGUUACUUUUAUUGAUGAUUGUACUCGGUUAACUUGGGUGUUCUUAAUGAAGAAUAAGAGUGAUGGUCCGUUACUUCUUUAAGAAUUUUGUACAAUGGUGUCUACUCAAUUUCAGACCAAAGUUAAGGUCUUCAGGUCUAAUAACGGAGGAUAAUAUGUGAAUCACACCUUGGCAUGUUUUUUUCGUGAUCAUGGUAUUAUUCACCAGACGACUACUCCAUUUACAUCCCAACAAAAUGUUGUGUCCGAACGGAAGAAUCGUCAAAUAAUGGAGGUUGAUCACUCCUUGAUGUUGGAUAAAUGUGUUCCUAAUCAUUUGUGGGGUCAUGUUGUUUUGGCUGCUGUGUAUUUAAUCAAUCGUGUUCCAAGUAGGGUUCUUGAUUUUCAGACACCGUUUGAUGUGCUAAAAAAACAUGUUUUUCUUGUUUCUGUAUCAAAGCUUCCUCCGAAAGUGUUUGGGUGUAUUGCGUAUGUGCAUGUCUACUCUCAUCAGCAAAGUAAACUUGAUGCAUAUGCUCUUUGAUGUGUCUUUAUUAGGUAUGCUAACAAUAAAAAAGGCUAUAAGUGUUAUCAUUAUCCGACUCAAAAAAAACUUAUAUUACCAUGGAUGUCACAUUCCACGAGGAAGUUUCGUAUUUUGUUAAGCCCUUUUUCGACUCUCCACUUCAGAGGGAGAGAGGGAGUGAAGUGUAGAUUCGAAGAUAUGGUAUGGAUGAUGUGUUACAGGCAGAGUUGGGAACAGAAUCUAUUAUGUUACGUGAUACAGAUCAUUCGGCUACAGAUAAUGAUCAAUCACCUGUCAUUCCAGGAACUAUUUCUACUGACGACAUAUUAGAUGUGCCCAGUGAGUUGUCUGUUAGUAUGUCUGACGAAUUACCUUCUGAUGAUUGGUUGCCUGCUGCUGAUAUGUCUAACAAGUUGCUUGAUGAUGGUUCGUCUAGUGAUGAUUCUUCUAACAAUUUGGUACAAGAUGAUGGCAUAUAUAAGGUAAAUUCUGACGAUUCUUCUACUUAUCAGUUGCCUCUACGAGCUAAUAGUGGAAAACCUAAAGUACAAUAUGAGUCUGAUAUGCAUGCCAAAGCCAAAUAUCCUAUUAACAAUUAUGUAUCUACUCAUCAUUUGUCCAAACCAUAUGCAUCUUACAGAUGUCAACUAUCUAGUGUAUUAAUUCCAACAAAAUUGCAAGAUGAUUUGUCUAACCCUAAGUGGGUUAAAGCCAUGAAGUUGAGAUGGAAGCUUUGGAAAAGAAUUCUACUUGGGAUUUGGUUCUUUUACCAAAUGAGAAGAAAGUUGUUGGAUGUAGAUGAGUGUUUACUAUUAAGCACAAAACAGAUGGUUCCAGUGAUCGAUAUAAAGCCAGAUUAGUUGUUAAGGGUUAUACUCAAACCUAUGGGGUAGACUAUCAGGAGACUUUUGCUCCUGUUGCCAAACUUAAUACUGUGUGUGUUCUUCUGUCCUUAGCAGCAAACCAGGAUUGCCUCUGUUGCAGUUUGAUGUUAAGAAUGAUUUCCUUCAUAGUGAUCUUAAGGAGGAAGUUUAUAUGGAUCUCCCACCUAGUAUUGGAACAUCUCUUGGAAAAGGUGUUGUAUGCAGGUUACAAAAGGCUUUGUAUGGUUUAAAACAAUCUUCUAGAGCGUGGUUUGGGAGGUUUACAAGUUCAAUGAAGAAGUUUGGGUAUAUCCAGAGUCAUUCAGAUCAUACUUUAUUUCUAAAGUGACAAAAUGUUAAGCUAAUUGCAUUGAUUAUUUAUGUUGAUGACAUGAUUGUGAUUGGUGAUGAUCAGAAAGAGAUACAACACCUUCAAAAGUAUCUAGUUACUGAAUUUGAGAUGAAAGAAUUGGGUGAAUUGAAGUAUUUUCUUGGAAUCGAGGUUGCACGAUCCAAGCAUGGUAUUUUUCUGUCUCAACAGAAGUAUGUUCUUGAUUUGUUAGCUGAAAUAGGUAUGUUAGAUUGCAAACCUGUUGAUACUUCAAUUGAGCAGAAUCAUCAUUUGGGCUUAUUUCCAGAUCAGUUCCUACUCAUAAGGAACGGUAUCAGAGGCUUGUGGGGAGAUUAAUUUAUUUGUCUCACAAUCGCCCUGACAUUGCUUAUGCAGUUAGUGUGGUAAGUUAGUUUAUGCACUCACCUAGUGAAGCUUAUAUGGAUGUAGUAACCCAUAUUUUAAGGUACUUGAAGAUGGCUCAUGGCAGAGACUUGGUUUUUCUCCAAGAAUGGUCAUUUGAAUGUCGAAGGGUAUACAUAUGCAAAUUUGGCAGGUUCUAUUACUGAUCGGUGAUCUAUAUCUGGAUACUUUACGUUUGUGGGUGGUAAUUUAGUUACUUAGAGAAGCAAGAAACAAAAAGUGGUGGCUAGGUUAAGUGCAGAAGUUGAGUUUCGUGGUAUGUCUCAUGGUGUAUAUAAGUUGUUGUGGUUGAAAAAAUUGUUGAGAGAUCUUGGGUUUAAACCCAAGGGUGCUAUGAAACUUCAUUGUGAUAACAAAGCUACUAUUGAGAUUGCUCAUAAUCUAGUGCAACAUGAUCGACCAAAACUUGUGGAGAUUGAACGACAUUUCAUUAAGGAAAAAUUGGAUGCUGGAAUUGUUAUGUUUCCGUUUGUGGGAUCUGAAGAUCAACUUGCUGAUGUUCUUACUAAGGUUGUGUCUAAUAGUGUGUUUUCCAACUCGAUUGACAAGUUAGGCAUGCGUGACAUCUUUGCACCAACUUGAGGAUGAGUGUUGCGAGUUAUAUAUUAGUUAAAGUGUAAAUGGUAGUUUAUUGUCUCACGUGAGUGAAGUACAUAUGUAAUACCAAUUGUAACUCCUAUAUAUACUCCACUUUGAAGAUUAAUGAAUAGAUAAGAAAUUUCCAAAUAUUGUCAUAUAUCAUAUAUAUUUUUUUGGUAUUUACCAUGUUUAGUUUAAUAUGGACUACUCUUUCAUGCACUAUCUUAUUUUUGCUUUUAAUUUCUCUACUUGUCACUUGAAACUAAGGAAGCACGAAUUCCUUAUUAUCCGCGGGAUUGCCAGAGUGAAAGUAGAAAUAGUGGGGAGCUUUUUUUUUUUUACUUGUUAUUUUAAUUAGAAUUGUUGGACUCAGUUACGUGUUAUAUUAACAUGUAAGUAUUUAAAAAAUUGUGACAAAGAGAACACAUUAAUUUGUGACAACCAUUUUGAAGGGUUGCAUUUAUCGAUUUUCAAUUUCAACGACCACCUUGAUUGGGUGAGUUAAUUUCAAAGAUUAUUCCCGGCAUGUAAAUUCUUUAAGGUAUGGAACUUGUGGAGAGAACGCGAUGCCCUGGAAAUAAUUGAUUCAUCUUUGGGUGAAUCAUACCCAUCAAAGAAGUUGUGAGAUGCAUCCAAAUUGCUAUCUUAUAUGUGCAAGAGUAUGCGCCACUGACUGGCCAAUAAUGUCGGCGGUUGUUUUCAUGCUAGUUAAUGAAGCAGCGGCUCCUUCAUCAAAACAACCAGCAUGUUAUUGCAGAGGAGACCCAUCAUCCAGUACUGAAGGAGAAAAUUCCGCAAAUGAAGUUUGACACAUUGACAUUGUCUAUCAAUCUACUUGAUACAACUAGGGUGUGGUCAGAAUUAAUGAAGUGGAAAUUUCAAACUGCGGUGUGUGAUUCGGAGUCACAAGUGAGUUCACUGUUGCAUCAACGGCUGGAAGUCGCGGGUAGGUUCAUGUUGCAUCAAUGAAAAAAAUAAUAAUAAUUACAACUUACAAGAUUACUUAAUCAAUAUAUUAAUACAUUUAGUAAGCAAUCAGUAAUGGUUGGCAAACCUUUGUUAUGCAAUAAUGCAUUUUGUGAAAGGUCUGCUGAAUGUUUUAGUUCUUCAGCUCCUCCUUCUCCAGCUCUGCUCUUCCUCGGACACCAUAAAAUUUGAUCAACCCGUCAGAGACGGUGAUUUCUUAGUGUCCAAGAAUGAGACCUUUGUCCUGGGAUUCUUAAGUGUUAGAGUAUAUAAAGCAGUUAGGAAUAUGACUGUUAGAAUAAUUAGUUAGGAUUGUUGGUAAAGGAGUGAGUCGGUUAAGGUGGUUAGCCUAGCACUCAUCUAUAUAGUAAGCAUAUCAUUGUAACCAUUGAAUUAAUCAAGAAAAUAUCAGUGCAAUUCUUUGUUUCUUCCUCUCUAAAUUCUCUCUGAUUCCUUCUUCUUUUUCCUCUGUGAUCUAUCUGUUUCUCCUUCUGCAUAUUGCUUAACAUGGUAUCAAGAGCCGUUAAAGCUUGAUCAGCUUCUUCGAUCCUUUCAGUUUCUGAUUGACCAGAAGAUAUUGGGUAUGUCUUCUCUGUUUUUUUGGGCAUCUCCGACUACCCAUUUCUGCAUUCUACAUUCAACAAAGUUGUGCACACAAGGUGUUUUCUCUUUGUUCUCAAAGAAAACUGAUCAACCAGUUUGAUUUGUCAGCAACAAAUUUGGGGUUUCUCUUCUAAAUCUCUAUCUGGGUUGUUCAUUUCUACAACAAAAGUUAUGGUUACCGUUGCACAAUUGCAACUUUUGCACUCCCCAAUUGUAUCGUUAAUUACGUCAGUUUCUUCCUCUACUUGUGUAAAAUUAGAUGAGACUAACUACUUGCAGUGGCAUUUUCUGAUGAAGAUGAUGCUACAAGGUCAUGGCAUUAGGGGAUUCAUUGAUGGAUCGAAUACUUGUCCUCCUCAGGAUGCGGCAACAUCUACACAUUAUGUAAUCACAUUUGAAUCAUCUGCCAGACCAGAAUUAGAUGAAUUUAAAGUGUGGAAAAUGCAUGAUCAUGCUUUGAUGUUGUUACUUACUGCAACCCUUUCUUCAUAUGCAAUUUCUUAUGUGAUUGGUAGCAAGAGUUCUCAAAAGAUGUGGGUUCGUCUUCAAGACAAAUUUUUCUUACCAGUCACAAGAACUAGUAUCAUCAAGUUAAAGACUGAUAUGUACAACAUGAAGAAAGGAUCCGAUUCUGUUUCCUAAUAUCUUCGACGGCUUAAAGAAGCAAUGGAUAGACUUUCUAUUCUUGGUGUUACAUUUCCUGAUGAUGACUUUAUGGUCUUUGCGCUGAAUGGACUCCCUCCAAAAUACAACACAUUUAAAUGUGUACUCAGAGGGCGUGAAAGUAUUAUUUCACUCAAGGACUUUCGUGCACAAUUGCUUGCUGAGGAAGCCAUUGUGGAUUAUUCUGCUGAUUGGAAUCCAACCAACUUUGUAGAUAAUCAACUGAAAUUUGAAGAUAUUUGGGCUCAACGCUAUGAUGAUCGUUCACAGUCUAAUAUGGGGGCUUCUACAUCAGCACCUUUCCACCGAGAGAGUGUACUUCAGCAUCAUGACCCUGGUACUUCCGCACAUCCAAUGCGGAGUCAUUGGUGGGCUAGAAUUGGUCAACAUGGUACACAGCCUCAAUUAAGUUUUCUCGAGCCUCCAGAUUUUGCCCAACACGGCAAACAACCUCAGUCAAGCUUUCUUGAUCCUCCAAACUUCAUGCGCCAGCCUUCAGACAAUUAUUACAGAAACUUCUCAGAAAGAAGCUUCAAAGAACAAGAACAAGAACAAGAACAAGAACUAAAACAAGAACAAGAACAACAGUUGGAUUGGAAGAACUAUCACAGUUUGUCCCGAACAAGGUAUGUGGAGGAAAAGACAGCAGUUGAAGAUGAGAAUGUGGUUAAUAACAAGGAACAGACUUCUGUAUCAUCAUUUGAUUAGUCCAGCAGCCAAGGUAAGAAGAAAUCUGGUGGCGAAGGUAAAGAACAAGAUCACUAUGCACUGUUAGGUUUGAGUCAUUUAAGAUCCUUUGCAACCGAGGAGCAGCCACCUAGUUCUGUUGGUGCAGAAAGUUCACAAAUUAGCAGAUCACAUACCAUUUGUUCGCAGAAAUAUCAUUUUGAUGCUGACUAUAAGACGAAAAUUGGUGUUCCUACUCAAAUUGUUGUACAUGAGUUCUGGGGAUUUUAUGUACUUCAGUUAUGCAAUGGUGGAAGUAUAUUUGAUAUUCAGUUAGGCUACCAUAUGCGAAUUUCUGAUAAGGGUGGGGGCACCGAGUCUAUGCUGAUUUGGGUACUAUGGUAUACACGGUAUAAUGGUAACAUACAAGCUCCAGAUGCUAGGAGGUUUCUUAUUGCAGGGUAUGUGUGCAUCAGUGACCAAAUCCUAUACUCUCUAAUUGUAACUAUCUCAUGCUUGAACCACCAUGAGCUUGCGGGGGGAUGUUAGAGUAUAUAAGGCAGUUAGGAAUGUGACUGUUAUAAUAAUUAGUUAGGAUUGUUGGUUAGGGAGUGAGUCGGUUAAGGUGGUUAGCCUAGCACUCAUCUAAUAAGCAUAUCAUUGUAACCAUUGAAUUAAUCAAGAAAAUAUCAGUGCAAUUCUUUUUUUCUUCCUCUCUAAAUUCUCUCUGAUUCCUUCUUCUUUUUCCUCUGUGAUCUCUCUGUUUCUCCAUCUGCAUAUUGCUUAACAUUAAGUCCCAAAACAUCUACCUACCGCUAUGUCGGAAUUUGGUACAAAUUUUCGGAAGACUUGGUUGUGUGGGUGGCCAACUGAGAUAAUCCCAUCAAUGGCAGGUCAGGAGUUCUCUCAAUAGGUUCUGAUGGAAACCUAGUGCUGCAAGCCAAUACUAGCCAAGGCCUUAUUCCUCUGUGGUCAACAAAUUUUUCGAUAUCAUCAGAGAGCAACGAUAAUAUUUUUGCGCAAAUUCUUGAUUUAGGAAACCUUGUUUUGGCUGGCAGCUAGGAUGUGUUUUGGCAGAGCACUGAUCACCCUACUAAUAUUCUUCCUUCCGAAUAUGAAAGUCGGGUUGGACAGAAGAAGUGGCAUAAACCGGUUCCUCACGUGUUGGAACUCGGACAAUGAUCCUGGGACGGGGAAUGUUUCGUUGAGAAUGGACUCAAAUGUCCUCAUAUGUUAUUACGAAAUUGCCACUGAGUCUCUCUGCCCCCUGAUUUAACGUUAUUUGCAAAAUUGCUACUGGGCUUCGGAAAGGGUUUUGGGUAUUUGGCGAAAUUUUCGGUUUUUCGAUCCACGCGUUGAUCAUCGAUGUGUAAUGAGGGGGAUGGGACAAAAACCGAAAGCCAAACCGCCACAAGAAACGAAGUCACGAACGCCACUCUCACUCACCCUCCACCGUUGCAUACGAACCCAAUCAUAAUUCUGAAAUCCAAACACAAACCAGAUGGUAAUCCUUCAGAGAAUGGCAAUGGCCACUUCUUCUUCCUUCCUCUCAAUCCCUCUCCUAAAGACCUCUUCUUUGCUUUCCCCAGUUAAACACUGCGCUUCGCCACUGAACUCCGAGUUCAGGGCUCUGUCCCUCUACGGCGGUAGAAAUGGAGUCUCCACCUCCUCGGCGAUGGCCACGGAGGCUCAGGUCGCGACCCAAGACGACAAAUU
rnacentral:lncRNA from 1 species